rnacentral:lncRNA from 1 species
AACCAAAUACCUUAACGAGGUUUUCAAUUCAGAGAAUGAAUUAUAGAUUGGAGUACAUUGUCAAUCCAAAACACACUAGAAGCUCACACGAGCCAAUCCCUCCAAAACACGCCAUAUGCUCACACGAGCCAAUCCUUCCAAACAUGCCAGAUGCUCAUAAGAGCUAAUCCAUCCGAAACACACCAAAUAGAAAGUAUAGCACGAGAGUUCGUAACAAAUUUUGAACCUUGGUUUACUUGGGUAAUAUGAAUAUACAUCACUCCAUAACCAUCUCAACUCCAAUCCCCCGUAACACACCAAAUCACGAUUGUACUCUAUCUUGCGUUCAAUUCAAUCUGAACAUCAAAUUCGAUAACAUAUCUCAAACGAUCGUUCAUCGUCAAAAAUGGAAUAUAUAUUGUAUCAUGAUAUAACAUUAAAAAAUUCAUAUAAAUGUUAAAUUUUAGACCGUACAAACUUACCUGGAUUGAAUUGUAGUAGUUGCAAAAGUUCAGGGACUAUUCCACAAAAUUUGCCUUUCCACGAGUAUCUACGGGAUCUUGAUCUAAAAUGUAAAAUUCCUCAAUUAUUAGCAUAUAUUUCACAUUCCAAUCCAUUUAAAAUUAGUACCUUUUUAUUUUUUAAAUUUACACAAUUAUCCCAAACUUUUACAAUUUUUGUAAUUUAGUCGUUUCAACCUAAAUUGAUCAAAUUAAUCAUUUUUUCUCAAAUAAAAAUUCUAUAUAAAUAUAAUAGGACCUUCAAGAGUCCCUAAUUAACAUUAAAUUCACAAUCAAACAAUUGAAUUUUGACAUUUUCACAAUUUAACCCUAAAAUCAAAAUUUUACAAAAAUCACUUUAUAAAAUCAUCAAACAACACAAUCAAAGCUUCAAACACAUGGUAGUCAUAAAAAAAUUCAAUAUUCAUCAAUGGAAACAUCCAAAUUUUUUAACAGAAUAAAAAACGAAGAUAUGGGCUAGCUGGAUCUAGUUGCAACGAUCGCAAAAAUAUAAAAAUUACAAGAAACAAGAUUAAAAUGAACUUACAUGCAAGGUUCCUAUGCUAGCAAAAUAUGAAGCUUUCAAAAAUGGUGAAAUUCCUUAGGUUUUCAGCAAGAACAUGAAAAAGAUGAUGAUUUUGGCUUUUGUUUAAUUAAAAUUUAAUUUAUUUACCAAAUUACAUAAUUACACUUAAUUAAAGCCUUAUAAAACUACCAUUUAAAAACCUAUUAUGGUACAUUAAUAUUCAAUUGGACUAAUUAUUAUUUAAGUCCCUUUUUAUUCCAAAAUUAAGCUAUCAAAUCAAUGGAAUUCAAGAUUUACUCAAUUUUGUACCUUUUUCAAUUUAGUCCUUUUUUUUUCUCAAUUAACUAUCUAAACGUUAAUAUUUCUAAACCAAAUUUUAAUAGAACUCUAAUGAAUUUUUAAGUAUUCUAAAAAUAAUAUUUACAAGUUGAUAUAACUGAAAUUUGUGGUCUCGAAACUACUAUUUCGUCACCACUUAAAAUCGGGUUGUUAUAGUGUUCAAAAGUUGGUCAAAGGAUUUUACUGGUUUUUGGGCCGCAUAUAACCUUGGCAACAAAAACCUAUGAGUUGAUGUUGAACAGAGGUCAACCGAUCCAAAGAGCAGAAGCGAAUAUAGCUAUCGCUUCUUCCUUAAAAGGGAAGGGAAAACAUGUUAAGAAAGGCAAGGCUAAGGUCUCUAGGUGACCGCCUCCGAACGUACUAACAUCCAAAGUGUGAAUACUAUAGUAAAAGAUAUGUAUAUGAGGUGGUAUUUGCAAGUAUAUUGGUCCAGUUAUAAUAUAGUUACAACUAAGUAGGUGAGUGCUCCAAGGAUCGUACCCAAGGGAGGCUAGUGCUAGAUCAAUUUUAACCUAAACACAGAAAUAUCUAAUUAGUACUCUAAAUCAGUUAUAGUACGAAAACAUAUAUGAAAGGGAUUUUUAAAUUUUUUAUAAUAAUAAAACAACAACGAAAUAAAUAACAAGAAAGUCAAAAAUAGGAUUAAUCGAAUUUGAAUAUGGGUGAUUAAGUCGCUUCGGUAAUCCUUAUUGAAUAUCGCUUUGGAUUUCUCAUUAAUUAACUAGUCACUACCUAGUAGGAUUUCCAAUUUUCCACUUAAAUAACGAGUCGAUAAGGACUACUUAUCUUCUGACCUCACAGUCCAGACCGGCUUGGGGUGAAGGUGUUCACGGAUAGUCCAUUCUAAUUUUGGGUUAAUUCCUACCUUGAUGACUUCCUAGGGUUGUCAGGUGGAACGAAGGAAAUUUGCAAGUGUACAUAACCGCAACAAGUAAUAAAGUGACAAGUAAAUGUCGAAUUAUCGUACGGAUAGGAAUUGUGAAAGAAAAAUAUUUAUGAAAUGUAAAUCAAACACUUUGGUGAUUAAAAACAUUUUGAGUUUGAGGAAAUGUGUUAAAAACUAAAACUUAAAUAACUAAUUAAAUAAGGAAAAAUUAAAAGUAGAAAUUUCAAUGCACAAUUUAUAAAAAAAAGUUUAAAUCAAGAUGACAUAAAUGUGUUGGAUCAAUCACAUUUUGUAACUUAAAAUUACUAAACUCAUGCUCAUGUUGUUACGAAUAAUUUCAUGGCAACUUGAUAACUUGCUAACUAGUGGACAUACAUACUUAUGAAAUUAACCAAUCUCCUGAACAUUUUCUAAUGCCAAUUAAAAAGAUUAAUCAAUCUUCAUAAGCACAUAUAAGUUUAAGCGAAGUAACAAAAUAUACCUAUAUUGAAACAGUUUAAUCACAAUAAACUUGCAAGUUAUGCAUGGCUAAUGUAUUGUUUAAUACCGCCGCUAAUUUAACCUUUAGCUACCUUAGAAGAUUAAACAAGCACCAAUUAAGUACUGUGUCUAUUAAUUACAAUUUCAUUUUGUUUAAAUAAUUAAUUCAAUUGUUACCUUAAAAUUAUAAUGUAAGCAUAACAUAAACAUGAUUUCUGGAUGGUUAUUCGUGUAACAACCUGAUUUUGGGCCUAGUCGGAACAGUGGUUUCAGGACCACAAAUUCGACAAGGAUAAAAUUUAUUUUUAUUAUAUUUUUAUGGUCUACGAUUUCACAAAAUGAUUUUGUGAAAAUUUCGACGUUUGGGCACUCAAUUUAGUCAAAAGGACUAAAUUGUAAAAAGUGCAAAAGUUGAGAUCUACAUGUUAGAGGUGUCCAAUUGUUAUGAAAUUUUAAAUUGGAGGUUCUUAUAUGGUAAUUAGACCAUUGGUUAAGUUGGUGGACAAAAAUGGACAUGGUUAGGCAUGUUUCCAAAGUUUUUCAUUAAGGGCAUUUUGGUCAUUUAGUUAUUAAAAUGAAUUAAAAACAAAAUUAAAAGCCAAUUUUUGUCCAUCUUCAACCCCUAGGUCAAAAAUUGCAUGGAGAAACCAUGGCUAGGGUUUUUCAAGCUUCCAAGCUCGAUUGCAACUCCGUUCUAGCCCCGUUUUUAAUAAUUUUUACGUUUUUGAAAUCCUCAUAAUAAGAUUUACCUAUUUUUACCAUUAUUUUGAACUAGGGUUUGUGUUUAAAAAUUUACCCAUGAAUGAUAUGUUUCGAAACCAUUUUUUAUUUUUUUGAAAAAAUAAAAAUUAGUUGUCGAUGAAAAUAGGAGUUGCCACCAAUUUUUUUUAAGGUGUGAUUGGAUCACCUAAAAAUGACUUUGGUCUACGAGUUUUAGAAAAAUGGGUUCGGGAGUCAGUUACAUACGAGGAAGGAUCAGCACCCCCGUAACGCCCAAAAAUUGGUACCAAGUUGAUUAAUAAAUAUCUUAAUGUCGAGAGUUGAAAAAUACGAUCCUUAAUUAAAUUAAAUUAUUUCUUAAGACUUCCUCAUUUUGAAAAGAGAAAAUAUCACAUCCAAUGCGUUAGGGCACAAUAUUUUAUUCUUUUCAAGACGAGUUGGUCCAAAAAAAAACUCGUGUAAUAAAACUUAAGAAAAUAUUUAAUUGUUUAAAUUUAUGAAGAAAUCGUGGUCCAAUACGUUAGGGUACGAUUUCCUAAAAUCCCAAACAUUCAAUAUUUCCUUUAUCAUUUUAAAAAAAAAUCUUUGUCUUGAGAAAUCAACGUGUCACAUCCAAUACGUUAGGACACAACAUAUUGAAUUCGCGAUGAUAAGUUUUAUUUUGUUUGAUCAAAGAGUAAUUCUCGAUUUUUGGAUUUAACAAAGAAAAUCGGAACCCAAUACGUUAGGGCUCAACUUACUUGAAAAUCCUAAAUACGAGUAUUGUCUCUAUUUUGAAAAGUUCUAUUUUUUAAGUUCGAGUAAAAGAUGACGUGAUUGAAUGUAUGCAUAAAUGUCACAAUAACAAAUACAUCAAUAGCAUAGAAACAAUAUAAGCAAAUAAAUAAACGAAAUAAAAUAAUCCAUUGCAUGCAAAAUAUUACAUGAAUAAAUGUAAAUACAAUUGAAUAACGAAUGAAGAAAGCAAGCAAAAUAAAUAAAGAUAAGAAGGUAUAUAAUAUACACAUGGAAAUUAUGAAGAUUAAAAUAUACAUAUGAUUUACAAAUAAAUUUUUGAGUUAUAGAAUUUAUAUAUAUAUACAAUUCAUAAUAUAUUUAUGAAAAUAAAGAAAAAUAUAUAAACAUAUAUAUAUAUAUAUAUUAUAAAAUAGGUGUUUAAAAAAUAUAUAUUUGAGCAUUUAAAAAACAACUAAAUAAUAAAUGAAUAAAUAAAUACGUAUAUAUAUAAAUAUAAAAAAAAAUAUUUGUUUUUUUUUAACUUAUAUGCGCGUGUGCACAUAUAUAAGUAAUAAAUAUAUACAUAUAUGGAUUAUAAAAAAUUACAUAUGGAUAAAACAAAAUAAAAAUAAUUAUAUUAUAUUACAAAAAUAAAUAUGCGCUUGUAAAAAAAUAUAUACAUAUAUUUUAAAAAAUAAUUAAAUAUGAAAAAGAAUAAUAAAAAACUAAUUAAAAAAAUAAGGAAAAUGAAAAAGGACUAAUUUGAACUGUAAAUAAAAAUCUGGGGCAAAUUUGUGAAUAUUUGAAGAUCGAAGGACCCUAUUGAACACGUUAAUAAUUCAAAGGGGCUGGAAGGGAAAUUUUCCCUUCUCCUCUAAAACGACGUCGUUCAAAUAGGGCUAAAUUGAAAUUGAAAGUAAAUUAAAGGGCAAAAUUAAAAAAAAUAAAAAAAAACUAAUCGUAAAAAUAUUAAAAGGCGGAGGGGCUAAAAGCGUAAUUUACCCCUCCGUUCAAAACACGUGGAUCCUAAGCUGGAUCGGGUCGGAUUCGGGUCAAACCCGGGCCUUAAACGGCACCGUUUUGAAGGGCUAUUUAAGCCCAAAAUCAGUUCAAAAAACCUCAUUUUCAUUCUUUUAAAAAAAACCAAAAAAACCUUCACAAAAAGCUCUCCCCUUUCUCAGCUCAUUCGGCCUAGAUCCGGCACCGGCCGAUCGUCGGCCACUGCGCUGGCCGCCGGCCUCCGAUGACGGCUCCACCGUCUGUGGUGGCCGGAGAAGGAGAAAAUCUCCUAUUCGGCUCCUCCGACCUCUCCAAGCCCAAAUCUGGGUUCGAAUCCCUAAAAAAAAACUACCCAAAUGUCUCCAAAUUUUCGAGAAACCUUUCGGUUCCCUGCUGUCUAUCCUCGAAGACGACUGCCUCGGCCGUUCACGGUGAUCUGAGCAAAGAAUGUUGUUUCUUUCCCUUUUUAUAUUUGUAUUUAUACGCAUGCAAAUAAGAAAAAACAGUAAACUAAAGUAAAGCAAAUAAAUAUAGACCUUUAAAUAGAUUUUCUGCUUUCUCUGUAUUGAACUUGUUAUUUGUAUUUGCUGUGAAAAUAAAAUUUUUUUAUUUUUCGGAUCCCGAUUACAGUGUAUUGGUGGCUUUUUUAUAGCCAAAUGAAACAAUUAAAAGAAGAAACAAAAUCUGUUUUCUUUUGAUUUGCGAAUCUUUUAUUCUUUCCAUAUACUGCUAUUUCUCUUCUUGAUGCACAGGUAUGAAGAUCACGUGGAGAUUCGGGGCAUGGUUGCGGCGCUGUUGAUCUUGAGAAACCCUAGGGUUUCUGAUUUUGUUUUGGGCCAUUUGUUUUGGGCCACCGUAUUUUAGUUUAUUUCAGUUUGGGCCAUACAGUCGCACUAGUAAUUUGGACUGCUUUAUUUUAUUCAUGUAAGCCGGGAAAAAUUGAGGUAUUACAAUACGGAUGUAUUUUGAUGUUUUAUGGAAGAAUAUGAAUGUUUGGAGUGUGAUGAACGCCUUUUACUAAGUGAUUUUCGAUGAAAAUGCCUAAAAGGAUUAAUUUAGAAAAGUUAUAAAAUAUGUCACAAGUGUGUGAAUAAGUGAGAAUUGUGGACUGCUAUAGUUAUGAAAAUGGUUUGGCUAGGUCUAAAAUCCAAGAAAAUUGAAUAAAAAAUAUUUUACGAGCCUAGGGGCAAAAUUGUAAUUUUGUGAAACUUUAGGGGCAAAAAUAUAAUUUUUCCAAAGUGUGAUUUUUGGACUAAAUUGAAUAAUGUGAGUUUUAAACAAGUUAAAUAUGUUAUUAUAAAUCAAGAAAGACGAGAAAUUGACUUGAUCAGUAAAAAAUGAAAAGUGAGAAAAAGUGAAAUUAUGAAAGAGUACAUUUAGCAACAAAACAGUUUAAACAGCAACAAUUGUGUGACUUUGAAAAAUCACCAAAAAUGGUGGAAAUUGAAUUAGAGGCUGAAUAAUAUAUGAAAUUAAAUCUGAAUGAGCCUAUUUUCACAUAAAAGAGACAAAGCAAGAAAAAGAGUUUUAUAUUAUGAGAUAUUUCAAUUUUAGUGAGACAGGGCUAGAAUGAUUUCGAAAUCCCCUAUUCCGACUUUGGAAAAUCAUUAAAAUUUUACAAAAAGAAUUAUGAGAUAAACUUUAUAUUUUUAUAAUCCUGAAUGAGUCUAUUUUCAAGAAAAAAAAAGAACAUUAUCUAAAUUCUGUACUAUGAAAUAAUUAAUUUUUAGUGAAGAAAGGUCAGAACUAUUGAGUAGUGAAAUAGGGGAAACUUUAAAGAAUAAAAAGUACUUAUUGGCUACAAAAAAAAAUCAAAAAAAUUAUGGUAAGAGUAUAUGUGAGUCUAGUUUUGGGAAAAAUUAACAGAUCUUAAUUUGGAGCUUGGUAGCUCGAGAUAUAAAUAAAUUAGUGACUUUGACUCUGACAAACGGUUUGAAUUUACAUACAGGAAAAUAAUGAAAGUAUGGAUAAUGUUGUUUAAGUGUGUUAUACACAUUAAGGAUGUGGAAUGGAGAGGAGGAGGAGGAAAAUUGGAAAAUAUAUGAAUGAUUUGUGUAUAAUUGGUCAUAUGCUCGAUUAUGAUGGAUAAACAAUGAAAUAGAAAUGAUGCUUAUAUUUGCGUAUGAUUGGUAAUGGUUUAAGCUCAUGUGGGAAAAUAAAGUUUCAUAGUAUGUGUGUAUGGUAUAUUUGGAAUAUGAUAUGGCUUAAGGUAAUGUCAUGAAUGGUUUAUGAAUUAACACAUGUUGGUAAGUUUGAUACAUGAACAAAUGUUGUGCUCAUCUAUGCUUAUAAUGCUUAUGCUAUAUGUUUAUUUGGUUAACAUAUUUGGUGUACAUGCUUAGGCUUUGGCCAAGUUGUGGUUGGAUUAUGCCACGUUAAACUUAUAAGUUAUGCAUUGAGAUGGUAAGUGCCUAAAUUGAAAUAUGCUUGUGAUCAUGACAGGGGUGGUAAGGUUUAAUAUAUGUAAUCUCUAGUGAAAUGGUUUAUCACGUGGUUAAUUCCAAAAAAAGGAAUUAUGUUUAAAUGCAUUAGCUUGCGGCUAUGGUUGAAUGGUAUGCUUAUGUCUUGUGUGAUAUGCAUAGGAAACGGGUGUGGAAGGAUAAUGAAAUAGUAAGUUCAUAUUUGAAGUGAAAAGUGAUGAAAAAGGGGAUGAUGAGUUUAAUUGAUGUUGUUAUUUAAGCUAAAGUGUUAUUUUCAUUGUAAAAUUGAGAAUUUCAUAAAUGUGUUAAUGAAUGGUAUAAUCGAUAAACGUUGAGUUAAAUGGUAAAUACGUAUUAGUAUUGAACUUACUAAUAUUGAAUUGUACAUGAAUUAAAUGGAAAUUGCUAGUGAUAUGAUUUGAAUUGUGAGCAUGAGAAAUUGUGAAUUGAAUAAAAAGAAAUGAAGCAUUGAAUUGCAUGAGUAUGUAUCGGGUCUCGUAGGCCCUUUUUAUUAUGAAUAUAAUAUUUUGAGGAUAAAUUGUGAAGAAUUAUAAAAGCAUGCUAAUAAUUUGAAAGUUUAAAUUUAGAUGAAAUUUUAUAACUCGGUUCAAUACGUUUACAAGUAUAUGUGUUCUGGUAAUGCCUCGUACCUUAUUUCAGUGUCGAAUACGAGUAAAGGGUGUUACAAUUCGGGGUACAACCAGAUUGCUAGAGCUCUUACUAAUCAAGAGAAGACCACAUUCACAUGUGUUUAUGGAACUUUUGUGUUAUGAAGAAUGCCAUUUGGAUUAUGCAAUGCCCCUGCAAUAUUUUAGCAUUGCAUGAUGACAAUAUUUUCAGACAUAGUCGAGAAAUUUUUAGAAGUUUUUAUGGAUGACUUCUUAGUGUUUGGCGAUACUUUUGAAGACUGUUUAGAAACUAUGGAGUUAGUUAUUUGUAGGUGUGAAGAAACCAACCUUGUUAUCAAUUGAGAGAAAUGUCACUUCAAGGUCUGUGAAUGUAUUGUUCUGGGACGUAAAAUUUCGCAGCAAGAGAUUGUCGUGGACAAAGCAAAAAUUAUGGUUUUUGAGAAAUUGCCACCACUUUGCACAGUUAAAGGUAUUCGCAGUUUUCUUGGCCAUUCAGGAUUCUAUCUAUGAUUUAUCAAAGAUUUUUUAAAAGAAAUCCAAAACCCUGUGUACAUUUUUAGAACAUAACAUAACUUUCAAUUUUGAUGAGUCAUGCUUACAAGCAUUUGAGGAAUCGAAAAAGUGGCUAGUCACAACACCAAUAGUCAUAGCACCAGAUUUGUUUUUACCUUUCCUUGUGAUGCUAAUGAUUUUGCUGUAGGGGUAGUACUUGGGAAAAGAAAGGACAAGGUAUUUCAUGCUAUCUACUAUGCAAGCCAUACAUUGACAAAUUCAUGGUUAAAUUAUACCACCAUUGAGAAAAAGCUAUUAGCUUUGGUAUUUGCCUUCGACAAAUUUAGAGUUUAUUUAGUGGGCACCAAAUUUACGGUUUAUGCGGACCAUUUUACUAUUAAGUACUUGGUGACCAAAAAAGCUGCCACGCCCAGAUUAAAUCGAUGGACACUACUACUGCAGGAAUUUGAUUUGGAAAUUAGAGAUAGGAAAUGUACAGAAAAUCAAGUGGCUGAUCACUUAUCUCGAAUUGAAGCAGGAAAUGAAGACGGUAAUAUUCAGCGCAUUCAGGAUGAUUUCCCAAAUGAGUAACUGUUAGUUGCCAUGGCAUUACUGUGGUAUGCCAGUAUCGUAAAUUUUUUGGUUAAUGGAUUGCUGCCACCUGAGUUCACCAAUCAAAGACGAAGUAAACUUAUCCAUGAUGCCAAAUAGUAUUAUUGGGAUGAGCCAUUUUUAUUCAAAUAUUGUGCAGACUAGAUAAUUCAGAGGUGUGUUCUGGAUGAUGAGAUUCAAAGUAUUUUAUAUAAUUGUCAUUCAACACCGUAUAGAGGACACUUUGAAGGCAUGAGAACUGCUGCAAAAAUUCUCCAAUCUGGUUUUUAUUGGCCAAACAUGUUUAAAGAUGCUCAUGAAUUUUUUCAAGCUUGUGAUCGCUGUCAAAGAAUUGGAAAUCUAUCGAGGAGGUAUGAAAUGCCUUUGCAAACUAUUUUAGAAGUGGAACUAUUUGAUGUAUGAGUAAUUGAAUUUAUGGGUCCAUUUCCACCUUCUUGGGGCAAUGUAUACAUACUUGUAGCUGUUAAUUAUGUUUCCAAGUGGGUUGAGGUUGUUGCUAUACCAGUGAACGAUGCCAAAUCGGUAUUGAAAUUUUUACAUAAGAAUAUUUUUACUAGGUUUGGUACCCCUCGUGCUUUGAUUAGUGAUGAAGGUUCACACUUUGAUUGCAAAUUAGUUGCUAAUGCUCUGACCAGGUGUGGAGUUAAACAUAAAAUUACCACGGCAUACCAUCACCAGAGAAAUGGACAAGUAAAAGUCUCUAAUAGAGAGAUUAAACAAAUUCUGGAAAAGGUAGUCACUCCCACCCGCAAAGAUUGGUCAGCCAGAUUAGAUGAAGCUUUGUAGGCAUAUCAAACUACAUUUAAGACACCAUUAGGGAUGUUUCCUUUCAAGCUUGUUUAUGGGAAACCUUAUCAUUUUCCCGUUGAAAUUAAACAUAAGACAUAUUGGGCAAUUAAGAAAUUGAAUAUGGAUUGGAGUGCUGCUGGUACUAACCGCCUAUUUGAGUUGAAUGAGAUGGAAGAAUUCAGAGCACAAGCUUAUGAGAAUGGUAAGCUGUACAAAGAAAAGACCAAACAAUGGCAUGACAAUAAGAUUUUGCCACGCCAAUUUUCACCUAGACAACAAGUCUUGUUAUUUAAUUCUAGGCUUAAAUUGUUUCCUAACAAAUUAAAAUCUCGUUGGUCUGGCCUAUUCGAGAUAGUGCAUGUCUAUCCUCAUGGAGUUGUAGAAUUCAAAAAUGGCAAGAUUGGUUCUACUUUCAAAGUCAAUAGGAAAUAAUUAAAGCAUUACUUUGGAGUUCCUAUAAUUCGUGAUAAAAAUUCCAUCACUUUUCGAACUGCUUAAUAUUUCUUCCCUGUAUUGUUUUAUUCAUUUACUUUUUUUUUAAUUUCAUUGUUUAUUUUAUUCAAUAAGUUUACUGAACUUUUAUUUUCUUUUAAUUUCACUAGGCACCAUCUUCUUCCACCUCUGUGCAUCUGAGGUCAUUCUUUAGCAAAACCCCGUAAGAAAAAUAUAACAAGAACAUAUCAAAAUGACCUUUUUGCCUGGAAAAAUGUUUCCUUUUCCAAGAUGCCCCUUUUAUGGGCUAUUCUGAAGCCAUCUCAUCUAUCGUGGAGAAACACAGGUGGAAAAUAUUCUGUGUCCACUCUGAUGACCUCCUCACUAAGAUAGUCAAAGAAUUUUAUGCACAUUUAACCUCUCUUGAAAAUGCUUUCACCUAUGUGCGUGGUGUCUCAGUGUUAUUUGAUGAAGAGUAAAUCAAUGUGAAAUAUGGGUUACUUGAAGGCCCUGAUGAACACUCUAAAAUUUUCAAGACAAUGACGACUGAAAGGACUCAACCAAGUUUUGACAGAUUUAUGUGUAGAAGGAACAACAUGGAAAGUUUCUCGAAAUGAUUGCUAUACCAUCGACUGUGUAACUUUGAAGCCUCAAUGUAGGGUUUUGUAUUAUUUCCUUAAAUCUCAUCUUAGUCCUUCUACGCACAACUCUACUAUUUCGAAGGAAUGCAUGUUGUUGCUACACUCGAUUAUGAAUAGAAGAAAGAUAAAUGUUGGAAAAAUUAUUUUUAAGUAAGUCCACCACUGCGCAGAAAAGAACGUCGGUACCUAAAUCUUUCUGUUGCUCAUUGUGACACUGUGUCAAAGAGUAAAGGUUCCUACUUAGGCAAAUGAAGACAAAAUCCCCAAUAAAGGAGCCAUAACCAAGCGAUUUGCCCUGAGAUAUUCAGGGGAGGAAAUGCCAAACCAUCUUGGCUCUACAUCCAUAGCUUCUCUACCUAUGACUACUAAUGCUGCCCCAUCAACAUUUCACAGCGACUUUGAGCAGAAAGUGAUUGAUGCUCUUGAGAUGUUGCAACAAGAAUUUCGGAUGAUGGAAAAGUAACAAUUGAGGGUAGUCACUGAUUGUGCCGAGCUUAAGAAGAAAUGACUCUAUUUUGGGGAUAUGUCAGACAAUGGAACAAAGCCAUUAAGAAAUAUCUUCAAAGUAAAUUUACCUGACCUAUGCCUACAUUCCCUAUUUUUCCUAAAGAAUUAUUGUUGGAGCUAGAAGAUGAUGAUAAAGAUAGAGAAGAAGCCACUGCAGAGAAGAAGAACAUAGAAAAAGAGGGAGAUGAGGAGAAAGCUAAAUUCGUGCAUAUUGAAUUUGAUAAGGAUGAAGUUGAUAUGACUCAAACUUCUAUGCUUGCUACAAUUGCCACUACACCGAAAUCCACUACACCUAUGACCGAGCAAGAGCAUGCGGUUCAUCAACUGAUUGAUGAUUUCACAAAAUCAGAUACUGGUGAUGAUGAAGAGGUGCCAAUUAACCAACUAAAAAGGAAGUGCUACAAGCAAGUUACUAGGAAAUCAGUUCGAGAUGAUGCUGGUGAAGUGGAAAGGAAGCAGCGCUAAAAUUACGCUGCCAGAAAACCAACCCAACCCAAUUAGAGUAACCAAAAUUCCUUCCAAGCUUUUGUUUUUAUUUUCAUUUGCAUCUUUUUCAUUUUAUAACAUAUGUUUCAUGCAUUCAUAUUUGGUUAUCAUUGUAUUUUUAUAUUUGUAAGCUAUUGUUUUUGCAUUUUGAAAUGUUUCAUUGUUUAUGCAUUGAGGACAAUUCAUCCCUUAGGUUUGGGGUUGUGUUGAGUUGUAAAUAUUGUAUGCAGUAGAUAUAUGUUUUAAUAUUCAUGCAUUUUGUCAUUCUUUUUUCCAUUACAUACAAAUGCCAAGUAACUGCUAGACUGUGACAAGUAUAUUGUUAUCUAUGAUAUUCGAUGAAGAUAAUAAUUCUUCGAUAAAAUUAGAAUAUUGUGAUGCGUGUAUAGGUAUGUUUAGUUUUGGAUAGUUGUGUAAAAAUUGAUUCCUAAAAGUAGAGUGCCCUAUUUAAAAUUUUUAUUAGUUUAUCUUAGGUUUCUUUUAAUACAUUUAGGAAUUCUUAAACUUAAAUUCAGUAAACCGACUGUAUGUAAUAAUGAAUAUCAUGACAAAAUGAUAAGAAUCACUCCAAUAUUUGAAAAUGUUGAGUAGAUUAGUAAUGCUUUGUUUGCUCCAUCGCAAUAUUGAUCAGAAAAACAAGUUCAAAUAAGAGUGAGUAAAAAAAAUAGUUGAGGGACACUCCACUGUAGUAAUAGGUUGAUUACCUAAGGAGGUAGUUGUUUGCCCCAUCCAUCUUUUUAGUUAAAAGCCUUAGCUUCAUGAGUGAGUUCUAUUCAAAUUCUGGCAUGAUGUAAUACCAGGUAAUCUCGUGUAUGCUCUGUUGAGAUUGUCAAGGAAAGAAACCAUGUGACAAGAUGAAUUCCCUAGAAAAAAAAAUAUUUAUAAUUAAAGUUUUGAAAUGACAGAAUAAAUGAGAAUAUGGAAACUGAGUUUAGAAGAAAGAUAAACUAAGUGCAUUAGGAGGUAUUUACUAUAGUCAGAAUUGCAUGAAUAUUUAGGAAUUUUUAUUUUUAGGUAACAGUUUCUAGACUUCGUUUGCUAAACAAACCUACAAAAAAUGAAUAUAUAUAUUUUUUUUGUUUUAAUAGAUGACUGUUGAGAAUGGAAGUAUAGAAUAUGCGACAAAUGGUUUAGCAGUAUAUAUGGUAACUGUGUGUUAUGGAAAAUUCAUGCAUUCAUGCAUACUCAUACAUAUUUUUCUUGAGGACAAGCAAUAAUUCAAGUUUGAAGGUAUGAUAACUCUUUUCAAGAGUUAUAUUUUAGGUCUUUAGAUUGAUUUAAUUGUUUGUAAUUAAGUAAAUAUGUUUGCAUUUUUAGGAUAUUUUUAGAACAUUGCAUAACAAAGCUUGGAUUGUGCUAUAAAUGUCAUUAUUUGUUACUGAGGAAGAAAGGUGUUGGUUAUUGUUGGCAGUAGGUGCAGGAUGAAGAAGAGAAGAGAGAAAAGAGAAAGAAAAUGAAUGAAGUGAAAUAUUUCCAUAGAAAAAUGUUGGUUAGAUUGCCAACAAGAAUGCCAUGGAAAUUCCAGGAAGAUGACACAACACUCAGUUUACGUCACUCUCAACCAGCUAUUCUUGUUCUAGAUAAACCACCCUGAAAAAGAGGAAGCAAAAGGUGUGUGCUGAGAAGAAAGAACCUACCCUAUAAAGGAGGAAAGAGAAAAGAAAAGAGGGGAGAGGAUUUUGGGGAGAGAGGAAUUGGAGAGCAGUUUUUCUCUGCAUCGAAUUCUCGUGGAAAAUUUUAGAGAAAAGCGAGGAGAGAGUAGUAGCUUACAGAGCAAAAAUCACAAAUGCAAGGAAGGGAAAGAGAAAUCUAUCCUGGGUUUUGCAUCAAAUUUCAGUAUUAAAGUGAAAGCUGGAGUAACGAGAGCUUCCUGCAGUUCUGCCUUUAUUUUUUGAUUUGAACUUUGUGAUUUGUAAACUUGAAUGAUGAUGCUGAAUGGUUUUAUUUUGGAUUUUAAUGUCCAAUCAAUGAGCUAAAUCUCAUUAGGUUGGAAUUAUUUAGGUGAAUUUUUACUAUUAUUAAUGCCCAUGGUCUGAUUUUGAGUAGAUUACUAUUUCAUUCGAUUUGUGAUUAUUGUAAAUGCAUGCAUGCAAGCUCUAGACAUUAAUGAUUGUACAAUAUGUUGUUAGAUCUAAUUUAAUUCUAAAUAGACUAAAUAAAUUAGAUUAUUAUCGGUUGAUACUAGCGAGUAUUUGAAAGAAUAUUCACAUCACUCUAGAUGUAGAAGUUGCGAUCUGUACAGGAAAAGCAUGAACAGUCUUGAUAUCAUUCUUGAGUUCUGUAGACAUACAAAAACUCAGAAUGAUAGUCUGGCUCUCAAAAAAUUAAAAUUAUAGUAGUGAAUCCCUUAGCAGUAGAAUGGUCAAGAUUUUUCCAUGGCAUUAUUAUGAUAUAAAAUAAAACUUGAGUAAUUCCAGCAUUUAUCAUUCAAUAGUAUAAAUCCUCCUCACUUAUUCUUUGGGAAUUUCCACAGCAUUUCAAUUGCCCUAGCAUUUUUCAUUCAUAAUUGUUUUUCAAUUGCCUUUAAAAGAAUGCCCUUCGGAUUAUGCAAUGCUCUAAAAAAUUUUAUGGGAUGCAUGAAUGCUAUCUUUGCUGAUAUGUUGGAAGAGGGUCUAGACGUUUUCAUGGACAGUUUUUUGGUUUAUCGAAACUCAUUUCAAGAAUGUUUGGGUAAUCUUGAGAAAGUCCUAAAAAGAUGCGAGGAAACUAACCUAGUGCUCAAUUGGGAAAAAUGUCAUUUUAUGGUAAAAGAAUGACUUGUCCAAGGUCACCAAAUAGCAGAAAAGGGCAUGAAAGUAGAUAAGGCCAAAAUUGAGGUGAUUAAACAUCUUCCACACCGAACUAACAUGACAUGUAUUCGAAAUUUUUUAGGCCAUACAGGAUUCUACCGAAUAUUUAUAAAAGAUUUUGCUCAUAUUUCUAAACCUCUAAAUCAACUUCUUCAGAAAGAAACACCUUUCAUCUUAAACCAAAGUUGCAUCGAAGCCUUCGAGGUAAUAAAAGCCAAACUCAUAUCUGAUCCUACAAUAAUCACUCUAAAUUGGACAUAACCCUUUAUUAUUAUAUGUGAUGCUAGUGAUUAUGCAGUGGGUGUAGUUUUGGGACAAAAGCGAAAUAAUUUAUUUAGGGCUAUUCAUUAUGCUAGCAAAAUGCUUAAUCUAGCACAGUGUAAUUGUACUACAAUUGAAAAAGAGAUGUUAGCGGUAGUGUUCGCUUGCAAAAAGUUUUGACAUUAUUUAAUGGCAAACCGAGUCUAUGUGUACACUGAUCACUCUGCCCUCAAAUAUGUUAUGCAGAAAAAAGAAACAAAUGGAAGAUUAAUGUUAUGUGUUUUGUUACUUUAGGAAUUUGACUUAUGGAUUAUGGACAGAAAGGGGACCAAAAAUCAAAUCGUAGAUCAUUUAUCCAGAAUUGAGGGCAAUCUAUAGGUAGAAAAUACGGAAGAGAUUAAGGAGACCUUUGUAGAUGAGCAACUAUUCAGGGUAGACGUCAAUCAACCAAGAUAUGGUAAGCAUAGAAUAUCAUGGUAUGUAGAUUUUGUUAAUUGCAUUGCAUGAGGGGUCUUCCCGACUCAAGCAUCUUGGUAGCAGAAAAAGCGGAUAGUUCACGAAUCUAAAAAUUAUGUGUGGGAGGAACCAUACCUGUUUUGAAAAUACAUAGGUCAAUUAGUUCGGCGGUGUGUAGCAGAGGAAGAAAUACAUGAUAUUGUACAAGGAUGCCACAUAUUUCCCUGUAGAGGACAUUUUGGUGGGAAAAUGACAGCCUAGAAAAUAUUACAAUCAGGAUUUUACUGGCCCAUUAUGAACAUAGAUGCUUAUGAAUUUGUACAAGGAUGUGAUAGAUGUCAGAGAAUUGGGAAGAUAUCUAAGACAAAUGAAAUGCCACAAACACGGAUAAUUGAAAUCGAAGUGUUUGAAGUUUAGGGGAUUGAUUUCAUGGGACCUUUUCCAAGUUCUUUUGGCAAUCAAUAGAUUCUCUUAGCUAUUGACUACUUUGUAAAAUGGGUAGAAGCUAUUGCACUGCCUACAAAUGAUACAAAGUCAGUUGUGAGAUUCUUAAGAAAAAACAUAUUCACCAGUUUUGGUACACCACGAGCGUUGUUCAGAGACAAAUGAUCUCACUUUUGUAGCAAGCAGUUUGAAGUAACUUUGGCUAAAUACAUCAUAAGGCACCGAAUGACCAUGAUAUAUCAUUUAGAGGCAAAUGGACACGCAGAGGUAUCCAUCCGAGAAAGAAAAAAAAUUCUGGAGAAAACAAUAAAUCCAAGUCGAAAGGAUUGGGCGACUAAGCUAGAAGAUGCCUUAUGGGCUUAUAGAAUAGCAUAGAAAACUCUGUUAGGAAUGUCUCCAUACAAGCUAGUCUAUGGUAAGAAUUGCCAUUUACCAAUUGAAUUAGAAAGGAAAACAUACUGGGCAAUUAAUGAGUUAAAUUUAGAUCUAAAAUUAGCUAAGAAAGAAAGAUGAUUUCAAUUCCAAGAAUUAGAAGAAUUCCAUUUCAUAGCCUACGAAAAUACUAAAAUGUAUAAAGGAGUAGAAUUUGACAUGAUGCGAAGAUUAGAAAGUGAGAACCUACUGUUUAGGUCUCGGUUGAAAUUAUUUCUUGGGAAAUUGAAAUCAAGAUGGACAGGUACAUAUAGAAUACAUUAUGUAACUCCUCAUGGAAUAAUAAAGCUGAUCGAAAAAGAGGGGUAGCAUUUUCUUGUAAAUAGUCAAAGAGUGAAACUAUUUUGGAGGGUUAGUUGACUCGAUUGUUGAUGAACAAACUUUACACUGUAACACAGUAUGGGUUGUAUCAGGAGUUAAAGGAAAGCUAAUAACUGAAGAAAGUGAUGAUGAAAAAGGUAAACAAGGCGUUCAUUCCCCAAGGUACCAAGGAAUCUGGUCUGCAUGUCGAAACACCAAAAUAGAAUGUCACGGCAACGAAUAAUGUUUAGAUUGGGGAACCUGCCCUCGGUGUUGUGACAUCCCUACAUAAUCUUACUUUCUAAAUCAACAUUAACCACUAACAUUUUUCGAGUUUUGUUACAUUGGAAUUCUUAUUUCCUAACUCUUUUCUUAGUAAUUUUAAAUUGUACCUCUUGAAUAUUUUAUUCGUUCUCUCUGAUCUAUAAAUAGGUUACCUUAAUCUUCAUUCUUACCAUCAACAAGGGAGAGAAGAAAUCAAAUUAUAGAGAUUACAAAAUAAUAUAGGGAGCUUCAGAAAAAUAAAGCAUCAAGCAACAAGUUCUAGUAUAAGUGUCUCAGGCCUAUAUAUUGAGUUUCAAGAAAACAAUAUAGAGCAAUAUUUGCAGAAACUACAACCAUGUACCUCUGUUUAAUAGCAAGGAUUCAAUCUUUUAAUGAGGGAGUGCAAAGGAAUCUGGGAGAAUGCCACCGAAAGAGAAUGGACAAAAUUUUGCUUGCCAGCCGAAGAACCUACAGUAAGUCCCUUGGUUCAAGAAUUUUAUUUAGCAUUGAAACAAAGAGCAGCAACUAGACCAUUCUAUAAGAUGCGUGUUUUUGUGAAAGCCAAAGGGAUUAAUGUUUCAGUAACUAAAAGAAGUAUUUGUCAAUUCUACGGUGCACCAUACUAUUAUUGGGACUACCUCUAUAGAACCAAUUUAAAAGAGUUUAGAAACAUUGACAUGGAAUAAAUACUAAGGUUUUUAACAGAAGGAAAGAAGAUGUGGACAUAUAAGACAGGUACAACAAUACAUGAAGCAUUCAAUCAAGAAUUAACGGCCCCAAAGGCUAAGAUGUGGAUGAAAUAUUUCUGUUUCUAGAAUAUGGCCAACCAUAGAGAUUUCUAAGGUUGGUCCAGCCCAUGCUAUCAUAACAUACAAGAUCCUUCAAAAGAAAAAAAUAUGCAUUGGUACAUGGAUAUACCAUAACAUGGUUGAGUUGCAAGAAACUUAAGAAGGGGGAUAUUUUUCCCCCAUUUGAUUACAGAAUUAUGUAGAGAAGCCGGCGUCCCGAUUGAACGAAUGGAUAAAAAAAUGAAUCCCCAGAAAAGCUACUCGGUGAUGAUAUGUUCAAGCAAUUUACCCAUUUGCAAACAAAACAUAAAGAGGAAAGGAGGAACUUAGGAUUUCUAGAAGAUGAGGAAUAAUCUUCAAGAGAUAAUUUAGUAGGGUUUUAAUUUUUAGGAACAAUAGACUUUAGGAACAUGGAUUUUUUUUAAAGAAACUGGCAUUCUUUUUUUUUAUAAGUAGUUUUUCUUUAAAAUAAAAUCUAUGAACGAACCCAACACGAAGGAGAGAAAAACAAAUUCAAACCUUAUACUAGCAAGGGAGGAAACACCCACCAAUAAAGGAUGGAGCAAUCACGAUCAAUCAGGGAACUUCUUUCCUCAUCUAUUUAUGGGCUACAUAUUGAGGACAAUGUGUUAACUAAAGUGUGGGGGGUAACAAAGAAAACUUGUUUAUUUAAUUUACUAUAUUUUUCUUUAAUUUUCUUUUAUGUGCUUGAGCUUGUAGAAAAAAAAGUGAUUUGCUUGGAGCAUGUAGAGAGGUUGCUUGUGUUUAUGAAUAAAUUUGGCAUGAUGAUGAUAGGUAUUAAGCCAUCGUUUGUACCAAGUGAUAUAAAAAAUACAAGGAAAUGAGCAUACUAGUAUGAAUGAUAGAUUGAAUUUGUGUUCGUUUGGUUGAUUAAAUUUGUGCAUGAUGAGAUAUUUAGGGAUGACCAGAGGCAUUGUUUGGAACACAUCCAGAGCCAAAAAGGUAUCCUAUUUAUACUUCAACUUUAGUACCAAUUUUGAGCCUUUUGACACUUCUUGAUGAACCGCAUUACAAACUCCGAGCCUGAAAAUGUUAAUUUGUAUAUGCCUUUUUUCUUUGGUCCUGUACCGCAUGAUUAUAGAUGUCUGGCCAUACAUAUUGAUGGUUAAAUAGAUACAUCACAGUGAAGUUUGUAAAAUUAGAGUGAAAUAGGAAAGAUUGGUUUGAUAUAGGAACUAUAAGUUAGCCUAAUGUGUGAAAAAAAGAGAGAGAAAUCGAAAAAGAGAAUUGGUAUGAGUAGAAAAAGUCUUAAACUAGCGAAAAAGCAUUCAUGAGUCAGAUGUAUUGAAAAAGAGAAAAGUCACAAAGUCACAAAAAAGAAAAAAGAAAAAAUCGUUUAUUAGUGUACAAAAACUCAUAAGGCUAGCCAUAGUUACUAUGUCAUUUUAUGACUUCCUAUAGUUGGAGAGAUAAGGAAGGUGAGAGAAGGAGAAAUAAGGCGGUGAGCGGGUAAGGGUCAUUAAAAGGGGAAGAAUAGGGAUCAAUACGAUAUGCCAAACUAUUUCCUUGUUUGUAACCUUUUGAUGCUUACUAUUUUUGAAUUCCAUACCUGUCCUAAGUGUUAGAACGUUACAAGCCGAAAAGCCCUAUGUGACCUAAGUAUCCUUAUACAUGAAUGGACAUCAUACUAAACAUUCACAUAUGACUAUUUGUAUUCUGCUCGGAUAGUCAAAGUACUUGUAUGAUUUGUUGAUGGAUUCCUAUAGGUGAGAACCUUAAUACUUGUAUAUUUUGAAACAUAAUCAACUUAGAUGUUUGUGAUCACAAGUGGUAAGUCAAUUACUCAUCAUGUUGAAAUUGUUAGUAAACAUGAAAGGCCUUAGUCGUUUGUAUUGUUUCAAAGCGGUUUGAGAGUCUAUUGGCUGACACUUUGCAUUGAUACAAAUUGAAUGCAGACUUGAUUUUUCAAAUGAAUCGUAUAUACUUGUCAUUUAUUUGAUUUAGAUUCAAAAUAUUGUUCUGGAUUAUAGGUUCACAGCCUGGGCGUACACUAAAAUGGACACUUCCAACAGAAGUUUCUUGUCUUUUUACCUUUAGUUGGUAAAUUGUUAGAAAACACUCAACAACGAUGGCUCAUUGUACAUGCAACAAUCUAUAAAGAACACCACCAAUGUCCACUAGGAUAGGGCCUAUAACUACCCUGGUGCGGUGUUGUAUUUAGUGAGUUUCGCACAAAAUAAAGGAUUGAAUGAUAAAUGGAUGCCGACCUCCAACAGGAUUACGGGAAGAAUAAAACCUAUAGAAUUAUCGCUUAGAUGACAUCCUUGUGGACAUCGAAAGUCAUAAGCAAAGUUUGGGUUGUGGAUACCUCAGGCUUCUAAGUAUCGAUGUAUUUCAUCUUAGGUAAUGCUACAGUGGUACAUCGGAGCCACUGUACGCGGUGAGGUAUCAUUUGGACCUUGUGGUCUAAAUUUUGUAAGACCUCGGGGAAUGUUGUCUUGUUUACCCUGGCCACGACCCAUCCCACUAGUGGUAGUUCUAACCAUUUGUGUAAAUGAAAUAAAAAAGGAAAUAAGAGCAAAAAUUACCUUUGAGCAAGAUAAGAACUGGAGACUAAGAAAGUAGAAUGUUUUGAAAAUGGUUUUAAGUUUUAGUUUUAUAUAGAAAAAUGUGUGCAAGAAGUUUAAUUUUUUAUGAUUUUUCAAGAUCCCUAAUAUAAAUUUGACAUAUAUCUACGAGUAAGAUAAGUAAAGUUUGAAAUCACACAAGCAAUCGCUAAGUUCUGGAUCUGCCAAUUGGAUUAAACUGUUGGCAUUCUUAUCAGCAUGGGAUCUCUAAGGUAUAUGCCUUUGAAAAGAAGUUGUUAAGAAUAAGUAGGAUAGUUCGCCAAGUAAUGGUAUUUGCCUAGCAUAAAAGCUUAGUUUGCAAUAUGAAAAUUUCGAGGAUGAAAUUUUGUUAAAGGGAAAGAGUUGUCAGAACCCAAGUCUGGCGAAUCUGAGAAUAUGGCUUAGAAUUGUGAAGUUCUUUGCUUGGCAUAAGUGUAAUCCACCAUGAUACAUUCUUCUAGCGAAUUGGAAUAUGGUGUAUAGUACCCACCAAAAGUAUGGUUCACCCAGUUACCUUAGCACUAUCCCGAAUGGGUUCUGUAAGACAAUUUGGUUAGAAGCUAACUAGAUUGACUUGUCAAAUAUUAAUUGUACAUAAUUCUCAUUUAUGUUUCUCUGGGAAUCUGUGGGCACUACAAAGGACAAAUUUUGGAUUCGGGUGACACUUGUUAUGUUCCACUAAAAGGAAUCUGGGUAUAUAUAUGUGUGAGAAAGGUUCGUGAGUGAGUUUCUUCUUCUUUUAAUAUAUAACUCUCUAAUAUUUUCUUAAAUUUAAAUGUUAUCUCUUCCUGUUAUUAAUAGAUUAGGAUGUUAGCAGAUUCUUAAUAGUGAAUCUAUAUUCUUUAAGAAAUUGUGGUUGCUGGUUUGAGAUGGAUGUUCGAAUCUAGAGCUUCGAGCUACAAUUUAAGUAAGUAACAGGUGAGUCUUUAUUUUGAAUCCUUCAUGUGAAUUGUUCUAGUAAAGAAAUAUACAUAAUAUUAACACCUCAGAUAUUCAGUAAGCAGGUAAAGCAUAGUAGUUGCAACAUGUACAAUGAUGGCAUGUUAGAAGUAUUUUUUGAAUAUGAAAUUGAGUGGUAAGCAUACAGGAAAAGUUUGAUAUGGGAAGAGUAUGAAUAAUUUAGGCGUAUAAACAAAUCCGGGUAAGUGAAUUCUAGGUAAUAUGUUACUUUGUGAUGCCUCUGGUAGGGAAUUAUAUUGCUAACUAGAUCAGCAGAUCAAGAUAUGAAAUAAGUGCAUGAUUGAUCUGUCGCAAUUCAUUGUUGCAGAUUAAACUAGUUUUCAAACUUAGAGAGUUUGAAUAUCAUCAAAUUUAUUAUGUUUUAUUUAGUUUUCCAAUCUUAGUUUUUAUUUAAUAAAAAGUGUAAUUGAGUUGUUUUAUGACCUUAGGGGCUGAAGGAGGCCUAAGGGAAGGCUAACAUACUUAAUAAGUGCGUAGGACACCAUUCAAAGGCAUAAGGAUUCAAAGUUGGUCACAGUUUUGCGACAUGAGGAGUUCAAGGUCGCAACAUAGUGAACAGAGUUCCAAAAUACCAAUACUGUCUUUGGUGUCCUGACAUAGAUAGAGGAUGUUGAGACACACCCUUGAAGCUGAAUCUGAAGCUAAGCAAACUGCCUAUAGUGUUGCGACAUAGGCAGUGGGUCUUGCGACAUCACCCCUGUACGUGAAAGCAUUAACGAGCUGAGGGCUUUUUGGUCUAUACAAUGAAAAUUAAUGUAAAAAGUUAGUUGACCUAGGGCUAAGGACAACGACCAGCCCUAAUAUUAUAAAUAGGCUCAUUAAACAAUUGAGAAGUGAUUUUUUUUUUGUAACUUAGAAUUUUCCUUUCAAUUUUUAUUUCUUUUUAGACUUAAGAUUUAUUUCAAUUUUUUUUCAUUCGUGACAUUUGAAGAAUCUGAUUUGUGGAUUCAACCAAACAUUUUGUUGAUUUCUAUGCUUUAAUCAAUUAAUAUAAUUAAGAUUUCUUCUUAAACUUUUAUUCUUAUUCGUUAUUCAUGUUUACUUUCUUUAUCAAGUUUAUAUUGUUUAUGAGAUCCAUGAGAAACUAAUCCUUUUAUGGGGGAUUAGUUAGUGGAGUUUUGAUUAAUUAAUAUUUAUGUAGGGUUUUCUUAGCGGAUCAGUUGUUUGGGAUAGGAAGAAUUUAAACCCUAGGUCUGACAACCCUAAGAAUUCAUCUAGGUGAGAUUAACCCAAAAUUGGUACUGCCUAUCCGUGAACCUUUUACCCCAAUUCGGUCUAGACUGUGAGGUCGAGAGAUAAGUAGUUCUUGCCAAAUCACUAGUUUAGUGGAAGAUCGAGAGAUCCUGCUUGGGUAACGACUAGUUGAUUGAGUAGAAACCCAAAAUAGGAAUUAGUUAUGACCACUGAAGCGAGCUAAUCACCCAUGCUUAGAUUUGGUUGAGUUACAUAUUAGUUUUUCGUGUUCACUCUUUUAUGUGUGUUUUGUUCUUUCCUUAUUAAAUAAAUAUUUUUUACUUUAGGCUUUAUCGUACUAUAAUUUAUUGACGGUACUAAUUAGUUCUAUUUACAUUUAAGUUAAUAUUAAUUUAGUAUUCGCCUUCUUUGGGUACGAUCCUUGGAGUACACAUCUAUUUUGUUGUAAAAACUAUAUUAUAGCCUGACCCGUAUGCUUGCAGAUAGUGCCUCAAUUCCAUAUCUUUGUUGCAGUAUUGACACUCUGGACAUUAGUACAUUCAAAGGUGGUCAAGUUGUUUGCGUCGUUGCCGAGGAGGCAACGUGACUAGAUUAAUUUUAAUUUUUUUGUUUUAAUAGAAUAAUGAGGAAAUUUUUAAAUUAUAUAAGAGUUUUAUUUUUAAAUUUAUUGAUGUUUUUAUUUUUCUUUGUGGUUUCAGUGUAUGAAUCGAACUAGGGGAACACUUAUAGAGCCAUUUAGUGAUCCAGAAAGAUUAAUCCGUAAAAUCCAUAGAUAGCAACAACAAUGACAACGACAAUAGAUGCAAAAUCAACCACUUGUUGUAGGUAAUCCACCACGAGAAAACCCGCCAUUCGAUGAAAUUAACGAAGCUAACCUACCAGAUCUACCAUUAUAACUACUGUUAAAUCUACAGAUGGAACGAGAAGAACGAACUUUAAGGGACUAUGUCUUACUUACUCUGGAUAUGGUACAAGGUAGCAUUACAAGGCCAGCCAUUACGAUGGAUAUGGUACAAGGUAGCAUUACAAGGCCAGCCAUUAUGAUGAAUAAUUUCGAGACCAAACCAGCCAUGAUCCAGAAUAAUUUGUAGUUCAGAGGAACUGUGACGGAGGACCCAAACCAAUACUUACAAUAUUUUCUCCAACUUUGUGACACAUUUAAAUUUAACGGGGUCACCGAUAAUACUAUUCAUCUUUGAUUGUUCCCUUUCUCUUUAAUUGAUAAAUCUUUGUUUGGUUAGACUCAUAGGAAUCAAGAUCUAUCACAACAUGGAAUGAACUUGUGUAGAAGUUUCUACACAAGUUCUUUCCUAUUAGCAAGACAGUCCAAUUGAGAAGGGAAAUAGCUACAUUUAAGCAACUAGAAGGAGAAAGCUUUCACGAAGCUUGGGAGCGUUUUUAGAUGUUGAUCCAAAGAUGUCCACAUCAUAGUCUACUUGAAUGGUUAAGAUUGCAGAUGUUUUAUAAUAGGUUAGGUGGAAUGCGCGAUUAAGGCUCGAUAGAGCCGUAAGAGGUGCCUUGAUGAAUAGAACAUAGAGGAUGCGUAUGAUCUAAUAGAAAACAUGGCAAUGAAUUCCUAUCAAUGGCCAACUGAAAGAUUUACUUAUGGAUAGAGACUAUCCAUUGUAAAAGCUGUCUAGGAAGAUGACAAGUACCAACAAAUUUUGGACAGACUUAACCAAAUAGAGUCCACAUCUAGUGCAUCUUCAAUGUUUGGUAGAGUUAAACCUCUUAGCCAUUAUUCUGAUAGCACAAACGAGAAUGUGAAUUAUAUUGGGAAUAGGGGUGAAACCCUUAUUCAAACACUUACAACCCUAGUUGGAGAGAUCACCCAAACCUAAGAUGAGGUGGAAACCAGGGAGGAGGUAAUAAUUCUAACCCUAUUAAAAAUACUAUUUACCAACCUCCGUAUUUGUAGAAGCCUCAAGAAAGGGCCAACCCCAAUGACCAUACUAUAUUUGGUCAAAGCUUGGAUCGAAUCCAAGGAGAGAUGUAGUCAAUGAGGACAAGUAAAAUAGCGCAGUCUGAGUGCACCCAAACAUCUAAAACAUUGAAUAAACUUAAAGAUCAAUUGAGCCAAUUAAUGAGGAUGAUAGGAGAUAAGAAAAGGAAAAUUGGCACUGGGAUCCCACGUAAUACUGAGAACAAUCCUAAGAGAGAAGGGAAAGAGCAUGUAAAGGCGAUCACACUCUGUUCAGGUAAAGUGCUGAGUAGUCUAGAGAACCCAACUCAAGAAGAGAACGAGGAGGAUACUGAUCACAUUAAAAAAGAAUAUGCUUAAAAUACAGAUGCUAAAAUUGGACCAGAAGAGGUAGUAGAGCCAGCAACUGAGCCAAAGGUUGAAUAGAGAACCCGCACUAGCCAAGGCACCAUUCUUUUUAUGGUUAGAAGAUAAGCAGAAAUGAGAUGAAACAGAAUCUACAAGUUUUCUAAACUUAUUCAAAUAUCUGAUUGAUAACUUGCUUUUAGUUAAAUUAAUUGAAAAAGUUCCUAAAUACACCAAAUAUUUAAAAGAAAUUAUGUCUAGGCCUAGGAAAAUUAAAAGAGGAGAUUAAGUUAACAUAGACACAUCAUGUAGUGUAAUAAUUUCUAAAUAGAUUCCCUAAAAACUAAAAGACCCAGGAGUUUUACAAUUCCUAUAUAGAUAGGGGAUAUCCACUUUAGUAAGGCUCUGUGUGAUUUAGGAGCAAGUAUCAAUUGAAUGCCCUUGUUGAUAUAUGAAAAACUCAGGUUAGAGGAACUUAAAAACGCACGCAUUACACUGCAUUUAGAUGAUAGGUCUGCGAUACGACCGAAAAGAGUACUUGAAGAUGUAUUGGUUAAGGUGCACAACUUUAUCAUCCUAGUUGAUUUCGUAAUUUUAGCUUUUGAGGAAGGCUGUGAAAUCCCUAUUCUGUUAGGGAUGCCAUUUUUAGCCACAUCAAGGUCCAUCAUUGACCUAGUGCAUCCAUAUACACACUGACAAAGUUGAUAAUGAAUUCGGCAGCAAAACAUGAAUUUUUUUUAGCUUAGAUAAAAUUUUUUAUAUUAUUGUAUUUUAAUAGACUCAUAAGUAGUUUAGGAUUUAAUUCUAUUUAAAUUGAUUAAAGAGUUAAUCUGAACACUUUGAAGUUUGAAAAGAGGGGAUGAAACAAAGUCGGUGUCGCAAGAUGGAUCCUCCAUGUCGCGACACCACUCACAGAUUGAAGAAAUUGAGUAACCAAUCUCGAUGACACGACAUAGCACCUUUGUGUCACAAAAAUGAAGAUAAUAUACCCUAGAGUUCAAAAUUUUCAAAGUGUGUCACGACAACGUUGCAAUUUUAUGUAGGACCGACCCGACCCAUUGUGCAACCCUGUAGAUUAGCCCUUGUUUUAACCCAAUUUUUAAAUUUAAAAUACAAAAUUUUUAACCUAAAAACACUUCUAAUUAAGUUUUAAACUCUCCUUAACCUUACACUCUCUCAAAUCCUCUCAAACCCUAAAAUCUCUAUUCUUUUUUCUUCUUAUUUUGGUACAAAAUUUCCCUAUUCUUGUAUGUUUAUUAAGUGCAAGUUAAAAUGCUUCGCAUUCACAAAGGAAUUUGGAACAACGCUCGGAAGGAUUAACGAGCUUUCAAGUCAAGGUGAAUAGUUCAAACUUAGAAUUUUACUAUUUUUUCAUUACUUGAUAUUUAGUUAGUUCUUCUAGUUAAAAUUUGUAUUAAAGGUGCUUCAUAGAAAAUCUAGAAGAACUAGCGAAUUCAAACCAUCGGUGGUUGCAAACCAGUCAAACGUUCCAAACCCAAACAACAAAAACAAUUGUUGUUAGAACUUUAAGGAAAGACAUUUAUACAAGAACGAGGGUUUGAGUCAUCGAUGAUUCUAUGUAGGGAAAUAUGGCCAUUAGUUUAAUACCAUAGGUGGGAAUGCUUUUGUGUAACCCCUAAAGACUUUGUUGUGGUACCAAUAGUACAAGAGUUCUAUGCAUUUUUCAGGGACCAAGAGUUUAGGAGGCUAAAUGGCCCCACUUGUGAAACUAUACGAGUAUAGGGGAAGGAAGUACUUGUCACCCCUAGAGUGACUUGUGAAUUUUAUAACGCUUCAUAUUAUGAAUAUGAUUUUGUGGAAGAAAACGAUUUAAAAUAUUUUAGAGAUAUUAAUAUGGAUAACAUUCUAAAAUAUUUAAUAGAGGGUAAGGUUGAAUGGAAAUAUCUCCCUAGUAAUGAUAUCCCCACGUACUUUAAUCAAGCAAUUAUGUUUCCUAUUGCAAAUAUAAGGACACAAUUUUUAUGCACUUGAAUUUCUCAUGCUUUGAAUGUCUCUAACGUCAAUACUUUUUGAGUGGUUUUGUUAUAUGCUAUUUUGUAGAGGAAACAGGUGUGCAUCGAGACAUGGAUCUAUCAUUAUAUGAAGUGGUGCAUUAGUUGCCAGAGAGUCAGAGUUUUCUUCCCCCACUUAGUGACGCCUUUGUGCAAAAAGGCCAGAGUUCCAAUGACAACGACUGAGCAAUUCAUGAAGCCAUCCAAGAGUCUCAUAAGGGAUUCAUUUUAUAAGAAAUAUACAGAGCUUCAACGAAAGCAAAUAAGAGAUUGAAACAAAUGGCAAAACGAAAAGAUGGAAGUUUCAGUUUCACUUACAUGAAAAGCAAAAUCGUAAUCUUGAAAAGAAAUAGGCGAGAAUAGCAUUCCAGAUAUGGAAUAGAUGAUAAGAUGGAUGCAAGAGAUGAUCCCAAUUCUUCAAGAAUUUGUGGGGGCAGAACAACAUGAGAGUACCAAACUAUCCACCAAAUAUAUUUGGUCCAAUGCAUUCUCAUCAUGAAGCAGAAGAGCAAGACAGCGAGGAAAGGGAAGAUAGUGAUGAUGAGGAAGCUGAAGAGGAGGGACAACUUCUUUUUGAGCUGUCAACAAACAAGGAAGGGAGCACCCAUCAUAAGUCUAAGACAAUGUCACGAUCAAUCGGACAACUUCUUUCUUUAUCUACAUGGUUGCACAUUAGGGACAAUAUGUUAUCUAAAGUGUGGGGGUAACAUAGGAAAAUUUGCUUAUUUUGUUUUAUGCUUUUUAUUUUAUUUUUCUUGUCAAAGUAUGCUUGAUCUUGUAGAAAUAUAAGUCAUUGGUUAUGAGCAUAUAUAUAGGUUAAUUGUAUUUACUAUAACUUUGACAUGAUAGUGAAUAAUUUUAAUUUUUUGAUUAUUAGACUACUAAGUUCUAUAUAUUAUACUGUAAAUAAGCAUUAAGUUAUUAAAUAUACCAAAUGGCAAAAAAUACAAGGAAACGAGCAUGCUAGUAUGUAUGAAAAAUAAUGAAAUUUGUGAAUAUUGAGAUACCCAAAGAUGACCUAAGGCAUUGUUUGGUGUAACCCAAAGCCCAAAAGUUAACCGUAUUCAUCGAACCUUAUACCUAUUUUGAGCUAGAAAACACUUAUUAAUAAACCUUCAUACAAAACUUGAGCCAAAAUAUCAAUUUGUACUUAUCAUUUUCUUUGGUCCCAGAAUUGCAGAAUUUAGAUGUUUGGCCAUACGUAUUGAGGUAUAGGUUGAUUCAUCAUUGUGAAAUUUGUAAAAAUCAGAGUGAAAUAGGAAGAAAUAAUGUGAUAUAGUGAUUAUAAGUUAGCCAACAUGUGCGAAACAAAAGAAAAGAUAGAAAAAGAUUAAACGAGUAGAAAAAGUACUUGAGCAAUGAAAAAAAAGCAUUGUGAGUGCGAUGUAUUGAAAAAAAUCAAAUGUGACAAGGUUACAGAAUUAGAAAACUCAAUCAUUAAUGCAUAAAAAAUCGUGAGCUAGCCAUAAUUACUUUAUUAUGUUGUGACUUCCUAUGUGGAGAAAUAAGAAAGGUGAAAGAAUGAGAAAUAAGAUGGUGAGCGGGCAAGGGUUGUUUAGGGGGAGAAUAGGGAACAAUACGAUGUGCUAAACUAACUUUAUGCUUGAAGUUGUUUUGAUGCUUCCUGUUUUUGAAUUCCAUACCUAUCCUAAGCCUCAUAACAUUACAAGUCGAAAAGCCCUAUAUGGUCUAGGUAAAUCUAUUCAUGAAUUGACAUUAUAUUGAGUAAUUACAAUAAUAACAUUUUGUAUUCUGCUAAGAUAAGAUAAGCAAAUUACCUUAUUGUUUAUAUACUUUGUAAUAUAGUGAACUUAGGUGUUUGAUAUUAAGAGUGGUAAGUCGUUAAUAUAUCAUGCCAAAAUUAUGUGUAGAUAUAAUUUUUCCUAGCUAUGUGUUCCAAAACUUGUUCUUGUAUCCUAGUUUCUCAAGAGUCGUCUUUGAUAUUUUGUUUCUUUGCUUGAGGACAAGUAAUGACUUAAGUGUAGGGGAGUUUAAUCUGUCGCAAUUCGUUGUAGCAAAUUAAAGUAGUUUUCAUACUUAGAAAGCCUGAAUAUAAACAAAUUUAUUAUGUUUUAUUUAGUUUUCCAAUCAUAGUUUUCAUUUAAUAAAAAGUGUAAUUAAGUUGUUUUAUAACCUUAAGGGUCGAAUGAGGGGUAAGGGAAGACUAACGUACUUAGUAAGUGUGUAAGGCACCAUUCAAAGGCUUGAGGAUUCAAGGUUGGUUGCAAUGUUUCAACAUGUGGAGUUCAAGGUCGCAACACAGUGACCAGAGUGCUAAAAUAAUAAGACUGCCUUUAGUGUCGUAAAAUUGAUAGAGGAUGUCACGACACACCUUGAAGCUGAGACUAAAGCUAAGCAAACUACCUUCAGUGUCGUGACAUCGACCUUGUACGUGAAAGCAUCAACGAUUUGGGUGCAUUUUGGUCUGUAAUGAAAAUUAAUGUAAAAACGUCAACCAACCUAGGGCUAAUGAUGAUGGCGAACCCUAACAUUAUCAAUAAGCUUAUUAAACAUUUGAGAAUGUACCUCUUCUGUAACUUAGAAAUUUCAUUUCAAUUUUUUAUUUCUUUUUAAACUUAGGAUUUAUUUUAAUUUGUUUUCAUUCGUGACAUUCAGAGAAUCUGAUUGCAGAUUCAACCAAGCACUUUGUGGAUUUCUGCGCUUCAAUAAAUCAAUACAAUCAAGAUUUCUUCUUAACCUAUUAUUCUUGAUUCGUUAUUCAUGUUUACUUUCUUUAUCAAUUUUAUAUUGUUUAUGAGAUCCAUGACUAACUAGUCCUUUUAUGGGGGAUUAGUGAGUGGAUGUGUAAUUAAUGUCUAAGUAGAGUUUUCUUAGCAAAUCAAUUGUUUGGGAUUGGAAGAACCUAAACCAUAGGCCUAACAACCCUAGGAAGUUAUCUAGGUGGGGAUUAACCCAAAAUUGGUAUUGCCUAUCCGUGAACCCCUUACCCCAAUCCGAUAUGGACUGUGAGGUUGGGAGAUAAGUAGUUCUAGCAGACUCGUUAGUUUAAUGGAAGAUCUAGAGAUCUUGUUUGGAUAAUGACUAGUUGAUUGAGUAGAAACCUAAAAUAGGAAUUAAUUAUGACCACCAAAGCGAGAUAAUCACCCAUUCUUAGAUUUGGUUGAGCUACAUAUAAGUUUUUCGUUUUCACUCUUUUAUGCAUGUUUUAUUCUUUCCUUAUUAAAUAAAUAUUUUUCACUUUAGGCUUCAUCAUACUAUAAUUUAUUUAUGAUACUAAUUAAAUCUAUUUACAUUUAAGUUAAUAUUAAUUUAGUACUCGCGUCCAUUGGGUUCGAUCCUUGGAGUACUUACCUACUUUAUUGUAAAAACUAGAUUACAACCUGACCCGUAUACUUGUGGACACUUCCUCAAUUUCAUAUCUCUAGUUGUAGUAUUGACACUCUAGACGUUAGUACGUCCGAAGGCGGUCAAUGACUAUGUGGCUGAAACUCAUGGCAUUGUGUGAUAUGAAGACACUCAUGACGAUACCCAUGGUUGGAUUGAUAGAUCACAACAUGAGAAUGUGUAAGUCCAUGUGGCUGAGACCCAUGGCAUGAUAUGAUAGUAUGAAUAUUCAUGGUAAUGCCUUCGGUAAUAUGUAAACCGAACUGGCAAAUCACGACAUGAAAAUAUGUAUAAGUCUACGAGGAAGAAAUCAAUGUCACCUUCUAUCAAAGUUUUUCGGGACAAUAAACACGUGAAUAUGUAUGUUGCUUGUAUGGCGUGAUCUGCUAAUCAUUUAUGGCGUAUUUUGUAUAGCCUAUGUGGCGUAUUCUGUAUGGCCUUUGUGGCAAAUUCUGUAUUGUUUCAUUGGUAUAUUUGUUGAUGUUCAUGUGGCAUAAUAUGAUUAUUUGUCCUUAUGGUAAGUUCUAGAUAAGUUCUAAGAGUUCUUUGAUAGAUAAGUCUAUGAUAAGGAUAUGAUGUGUUUGAAGUCAAUUUGAUUUGAUUAGUUUUGUGAUAUAGUCAAAUGCGUUUUAAGGAAAGUUCCUGAAAGAAAAUAUGUAUUUGUAUUGUUGAUGGGGGGUAUCCGCUAUAGUAACCUACCAUUUUAGAAUAUGGGUUUAUUCAUAAAUAUAGAAGGUAUAAGUAUUCAUCGAUUUGAGUUUGCUUGUGUUAAAUAGAGAUUAGAUCUAUGUCAUCUAGUAUUCACUAUAUCUGAAUAGCAUUAUGUCCCGUUCUGAAAUCUUAUGGAAUCUGAGUUGUUGUCAUCUUGGGUUUUCUUAUGUUCUAUAAAAAAGUGUUUGGAAUCCUUUUUAAGGAUCCGGAUAGUUUAGAAUCAGUUUGAGAAUAUGUUUGGCUUUGAACUUGGAUAUGACAUGUUUGGUAUAUUGAUAGUAUCAAACUCAGUUUGGGAAUCCGCCAAAAUGUGAAUUCAGAUAGUAAGUAUCCGCUAGUGGGUAGCAUCUGUGAACAUCCAUUGUGAAGAAUGUCUAUAUGAAGAGUAAAUCCGUAUGAAGAGGGCUCGAUAGAAAUAUUCCUUUGAGAAGUAUCUUUGUUGUUCUAUGAGAAAGAAUAUAACAAUAUAUUAUCUUGUAAGAUCUGAAAUUAGCCAAGUAGUGAAGUGGAAACUAAUACGUUAAGCAUGACUACUGGCGUAUAUGCGCAUGUCCAAAUAUUUUGAAAGUGUCAGCCCAAAAAAAAUGAUAGGUUAAAUACAGAAAUUGGCAUAUAGGCACGCAAUCAAUAUUAUAACAGUAUCCACAAAUGUAUUAUGUACUUAUGCUUACUAAGUUCAUGUAACUUACUAGUGUUAUGUUUAUGUUUUAGGUAUAUUGUAAGAGUGAGUAUGCCGGGAGGGACAAUGCUAGUAAUAUGCCAAGGAAGCGGUGAGUCGAGUUAUUAUGCAUACCAUAAGAAAUUUUUCGCAAAAUCCCAAAGUUUUUUUUGAACUCAAUAUUACCCCUUUAUAAAUAUCUAAUCUUCCUUGCAAUUUUAAACCGAGACCAAUCCAACACAACCAAUCCAUUUCAACAUAUUUUCAAGAUAGAUUUAAUGUAUUCAUAAGAUAACCUCAUCACAUACCAAAACCAAAAUUUGUUAGCCAUACCAAUGGCUAACCAUACAUUCAUUUCACAUUAACAUUUACGUUACUAGCUUAUACAUACCAUUGAUUUCCAAAAUAAAGUUUCUUUAUAUACCGAGAUCUUGAGGUUGAUAGUGUGAUAUGUCUCUGACCGAGUCCGAUCUCUGAGCUCUUAACACUACAAAACAGGGGAAAAAGAAACAGGGUAAGCACUUUGUGCUUAGUAAGUUCAUGUAACAAGAAUUAUACUUACCUAAUAUUUUCAAUACAAUGAAAUAAACAUUCAUACACCCAUUCAAUACAUUAUUCCCCUAUCAUACACAAACUCAACAUUCAAAUUAAUCCAAUAAUUUCCAUGUAUCAAUAAUAUGUACCAUGAUUGAUGAGCUAAUCAAUACCAUUAUUUCUAUUUCCUUGUUAUUUUUCCAUAUUUAUCCUGUUAAAUUUCUUGAAAUUUCGAUGGAUUUUCAGGGGUACACUUUAGUGUACAAAUCCGGGUCCGUCAAUUCAUAUUCAUGUGCGCACAUUUCCAUUUCAGAGAGCACACUCCCGCGAACCUCAUCCUUACAGUGGGAUUAAUAAACUCAUAGAGUAUUGUCGAGAUUACCAGUCCAGGCUAAAUCCCCUGUAAUAUAAACUCAUAGAGUAUUAUCGGGAUUACCAGUCCAGGCUAAAUCCCCUACAAUGACAAUUACUCUAAUGAGCCUGAAUCUGAAUUACCAGUCCAGGCUAAAUUCAGACCCUAAUUCGGAUUACCCGUCUAGGCUAAAUCCAUUUUCCACAUAUUCUUUGGGAGGGCUAUAUCAGAAUAGGAUCAUCCGUCUGGGCUAGAUCCUUUUUACCGUCAAUUCCUUUUCAGAGAUCCAUCGAAUUUUCCUUCCAUUCAACCGGGAUUUCUUCCCUUUUUUAUUAAAUAUAUCAAUGUUUCAUUAAUUUUCAUACAAUGAACAUUCAAAUCAUAUUCACAUCAAUAACAAACAUUUCAAGAAUUUAAGAAUAUAAUUCAAGUUAUACGAACUUACCUCGAUACUUGUUCGUAAAAAAAAUCUACUAAUCCCAAACUUUUUCUUUUCCUCGAUCUACUAAUCCCAAACUUGUUCAUAUGUAACAUUCUCUAUAAUUCCAUUAUUAUUUAUAGUUCAUUCAAAGUUGUCUCAUUGAGUCAUAGUCACUAAAUUAUUUAUAUCUUGAGUUACGGAACUCCAAAUUAAGAUCCACUAAUUUUCCCGAAACUAGGCUCACAUAUCUUCUUACCAUAAAAUUUUCAGAAUUUUUGGUUUAGCCAAUAAGUACAGUUUAUUCUUUAAAGUUUCCCCUGUUUCGCUGUUCGACAGUUCCGACCCCUCUUCACUAAAAAUUAAUUAUCUCAUUGUACAGAAUUCGGAUGAUGUAUUAUUUUAUUUUUAAAUACUUUUCUUUGUUCCUUUAAUGUUGAUUCUUUAAAUAAAAUGAUAAAAAAUAUAUUUUAAGUCAAGUGUACAUGUUGACUGUUUUGAAAUUUUGUUAAGUGAAAUGUAAAGUAAUACCCGAGAUUUGGAUUCGGUAAUUCGGGUUGGGUUAAGGGUGUUACACACAUAGAGACAGAAGUUCUAUUUUGUUAAUUUAUGAAUUGUUUUAGUGCAUAAUUUGUGCAAGUAAAUUAGUAAAUUGGAUUAUUCAUUGGUUUACAACUAAGGUUUCAAAGGGAAAUAGUUUCUGAGAGUGUGAUCUAGUUUGAAGUAUAGAAGUGAGGUUGCAAGUUAGUUUAUGACUUGAACUUAAACUACGAUUUGUACUUUAUUAAUUUAUAUUGGGUCACUCUCUAGGUAAGAUCUCAUAGAUGUAAGAAGUUUUCAAAUUACAUAAACAAUUGUGUUGUCCAUCUCUAUUUUAUAACUAUACUAACUUUGUCCAAUUGUAACCAAACGAAUAUUGAAAAACAAAAUCAGUGAUUCACACAUAAUAUACUAUUUUAAAAAAAAUGAAUUUUCAAGUAAGAAAAACAAAAUUUUCAAGUCAAUCCAUAAACAUAUCUACCAACAUCAUGUUUAAUUUUUUUUAAACAGUCUUCCAUGAAAUUUUUUAUUAAAUUUGCUUGCACGAACAUCAAACGUAUUAUAUUAUACAUAUUUAUCCUAUGAAGAAUAAAUUACACUUCUAUAAUAUACAAAAGGUACCUAAAUACUUUUAAUAGUUUGAGCCUUGUGGUUUCCAAAAAGUUUAAGGUAUCAACGUAUUAACCUCGAAACAAAGAGGAAGACUUUGAAAACAAAAAGAGGGAGACAGAGAGAGCAGCCCAAAGAAUGGACUUCAGCUUUGCAAGGUGGGCCUUUGGGCUUCAUUAUGUAUUUGAGCCUCUGGACAAGGUUUUCAUCAAACAAUAUAAGCUGGUGAAGUGCAGAUAGAUAUUAUGUGAAAUGAACGGCUUAAUGUUAACAAAUUGACCUUAAGAAUAUGCCAUUGGUGGCGAUAAGAAAAUUGUGGUGGGGUAUCCAACAUGAGGUCCAUAUCUCACACAUCAUAUCAUCUGGAUAAGAGUAGAAUCCAGAGACCUUCAUUUUAUUGGACAUUAUUUGAUUUGCUUCACAUUAAAUCUUAUAUCCCAAAACCCAAAUCCUCAGCCAGAGGCAAUUGAAACUCCAUUUCUCUGCCACAAAAAGCUCCCCCGCCCCAACUCCCCUGGGAUCAACAGCACAAUUCUAAACCCAAAAACAUAAAAAAAUGGCAGCAAGUGUAGCAACAAUGGCGAUGCUCAAUGCAAAAUGCCUAAGCAUCAGCUCAACUAAGAUGAGCAGCCCAACAAAGCCAACCCCAAAGCCCUUCUCCCUUCUCUCCAUGCAGAACCUCCCCAAAGGCCUCACCAUCUCAAAACCAGCCAACAACUCAAACCUACCGUCUUCACUCGCUGGCAGCGCCAUUGCUGGAGCUAUCUUCUCAACCUUGAGCUCAUGUGACCCCGCCUUAGCUGCACAACAGAUUGCUGAAAUAGCUGAAGGAGACAACCGUGGGCUAGCUCUAUUGCUUCCCAUAAUCCCAGCGAUCGCUUGGGUCCUCUUCAACAUCCUCCAGCCAGCACUUAACCAGCUGAACCGAAUGAGGAGCUCCAAAGGGGUUAUCAUAGGGCUAGGGCUCGGAGGAUUGGCUGCAUCAGGGUUCAUGUCAACACCGGAAGCAUCGGCCAGUGAGAUAGCUAUGGUAGCUGAUGCUGCAUCUAGUGACAAUAGGGGUACCCUUCUCCUCUUCGUUGUAGCACCAGCUCUUCUUUGGGUGGCCUACAACAUUCUGCAACCGGCUUUGAACCAGCUUAAUAGGAUGAGAUCUCAGUGAGAUUGUGGAUCUUGUAUGGGGUGUAAUGGCAUGUAAAUUACCUGUAAUUGCACCUUAUGUUAAUGAAGCUUUCUCGUUAUUUACUUUAAACAAAAAAUAACAAAUUUUCCUUGGUUAUAGUUCCAUUAAUUUCAUCCCUUAUAAUCUAUAUAUUCGUAUUAUUAUAUUUAUGUCAUUUUUUAAUAUAAUUGUAUUAUCGAAGUUAAUAUAAUUUUAAGCUUUUACAUAAAAUUUGAUACAAUAGUAUAUCUAUACAUUUCUAUUAUUGUUUUAAUUUUUUUUAAUAUUAUAUAUAUGUGGUAACAGAAGAGAGCUAAGCUCUGGCAAACAUCAGAUUACACAGUACAGUUUCCCCUUGACUUAGAGGAAUAUCGAGCAGCUCUGAAGGGGGAUGAUUGUAUCUAUAUAGUCAGACAGACAGUGUUAAUUUGAUCAGCCGCCCGGUUUGCUUUCCGGUAAAUAUGGCCAAAACUACUUUUCAAAUUGACCCUCCCCUCAGGUGGAGAUUCCCAUCGAACCUAUAGCUGUUGUUCCAUAGUUCCCAGCAUAUCAGUCUGAAGUCAUAUCCCAUUCAACGCCACCAACCUUUUCCCGACCACAAUUCUGAAAGUUUGCUGUUAACAAUCUUCCAACUGAGAAUCAAAGAAAUUAUCCCUUAAAAGAUUUAAGCAGAAUCUGAUUUCAUACCGACAUAGCAAGGGAGCACUCACACAACACAUCAGAAAUAGUUUCAAAAUUGUUCCCGCAAAUUUGGCAGUAUGGUUCAACGGAGAGUCCCCUUCUACAUUUCUCAGUGUUUGUUAAAAUCUUACUAUGGUAAACUUACCAAAGAAAUUGUCUCACUCGUCGAGGUCAGUUAAACUUCCAAAACUAAAGACCAUUGUGGCCCCUUUCGCUGCAUGUAGCCAUCCAUUACCGUAAAGUUUCCAUUACGGGUCCAUAGCCAACGUCAACGAUCACCGAUAUCUUGUGCACUAGGGGAUUCAGAACCUGUAAUAGAAAGCAAAACCAAGUAUCCUAGGCAUGCUGGAAAUUUAUUCCAGUCCCAAUUGCCAGAAACAGUAACUAAAUCUUUUAUAAGAAUCUCAUCCACAACAUGAUCAGGACGAGUAAGAUAAUUUUUAAGAGGCCUCAAUUCCGGUAACCAAUUAUCAGGGCAAAAUACCAAAAAAAGCCCUAUUUUUUAAAAAUUUACCGAAAUGGGCCCGGUAUUUUAUCAUUUACCGGAAUGGGCCAUUUUCCCCAAAAUCGCGUCCACGUUAGCGCGAUGUCAGGGGACGUGUCCAAACAUCGCGUCCACGUCAGCGCGCUUUGCUUACGUGGACACAAAUCGCUCCUACGAGGACGCAAUUUGCUGACGUGGAUGAACAGUUUAUAUUUUUUAGCUUGGAAAACUUUGAAAGGCUAUAACUUUUGGCUCGGUUAUCUGAUUGAAACGAUUUUUUUUUUAUUUCGAAUAACUUUUCGAGAUCUACGCGCUGACAAACUGUCGAAGGCGAUUUGUCAUAGUUUUCAUCAAAAACGAUCCUUUUUUGCCCCUAAAUUUUAAUUUUUUCGAUUUAAAAUUGAAUUUUGAAACAUUCAAAUCAUUAUUUUCCUUAUUUAUUUGAAGUAAACACCGGAUUUUUUUACAGAAUUGUUGUAUUAUUUUUUCUGAUUUGACACGUGUAUGGAAUAGGUCCGAUAAAUCGUUAGAACGUAAGUAAUAUAAUUAAGAUAAUAACAGUAUUUCUAUAAUAUGUCAAUUAAUUAGUUUAGCUUAGUUGGUUAAGAUGCUUGCUCUUUUCCCUUAGUACCUUGGUUCAAAUCUUGUUGGUAACAAUUUUGAAUCUUUUUUGUACUUGUUGCUAUUGAUGUAAUAUUGAAGAGUUAAUUGAUUAAAAAAAUAAAUACAAGUACAAAAAGAUUCAAAAUUUAUUUUUUCAAAAUACCAAAAAAGCCCUAUAUUUUUAAAAUUUAUCGAAAUGGGCCCAGUAUUUUAUUUUUUUGACCGUUGGGUACUGUUCACGCGCGGGCCGAAAUCGCGUCCACGUCAGCAUUUCGCGCUGACGUGGACGCGAUUUCCUGACGUGUACCCUGACAUCGUGCUGACGUGGACGCGAUUUCCCGGAAAAAGGACCAUUCCGGUAAAUAAUUAAAAAAUGGGCCCAUUUCGGUAAUUUUUGGAAAAAAGGGCUUUUAUUAGUAAAUUGCCCCAAUUAUCAUGCCUAAAUUUUAUAAUGUUUCCAUUCCCUAUAGUCCAUGUGUUACUGUUACGCAGUAUAUCCCAUGGACAAACACCUCCACACACACGCAGACACAAAAAAAGUCUUUAGCUGUUAAUACCUUUAGAAAUCGCCCUUUCCACUUUAUAUUUGCUUCUCAGAAUCUGAUUAGAUUGAAGCCAAGGUUUAGCAUAAAGGACUUAUUCUGAUGUUGCAAACGUGACGCAUGCACCAAUCACCUGGACAAUAUAAAGGAUUUGAAUUUUUCAACUGAACCAAUCACAAGAUCAAAAUCCUUGUAAUUUAAGAUCAAAAUCUAUUUAUGUUUAUUGAUAUGAUGACUUGAUCAACUUGUAUAGUAUGGAAGGUUAUAUGAGUUGAAUGUAAUGAACUCACCUAUUGAUAUAAAUUGUGGUAAUAGGGUAAAAUGUUUAGUUAACUGUUUUGUCAUUUAAAUGUGAAAAUUAAGGUAUGUUAUAUUGUUUCCAACUUAUGAACUUACUAAGCUUAAUUUAAGCUUACUCUAUUUCAUUUUAUGUUUCCUGUAGUUAUUCUUUUGCGGAACUCAGCGAUCGGAUCAACUUGAAGAUUACACUAUCCAGUCACUUUUUGGUAGACUUUUUGAACGUUAAAUCUGGUUAUGUGGCAUGUAAUAGGGGUUAAAUUGUAUAUAAGUGUCUUGUAAUAGUAAAGUGUGAAUGGUAUUAUAUCAUGAAUGUGUGCUUGAUGACCUUUUGAUAUGCUUGAUCAUGAUUUGAAAUGGUAAAUCUUGAUUGUGGUUGUCAAGCAUGGAAAAAAUGAUAGAUUCAUAUGAAUGAAUGGUAUGGUUAACUAUGUUGUGUAAUGGUUGAAAUGGGUGAGCUUGAGUUGGAAAUUAUGGUAUGAAGACUUGAUGAUAAAAUUGAAUGUUUUAGGUAUGAUAUGUGAAUGAGUUUAGACAUUUAUCUCAUAUGUUGUGUAUGUGAUGUUUUAGUCAAUAAAAAGUGAAAGUUGAGGCAUAUGAUUGUAUUUAAGAUAUAUGUUAGCCAUUCACAUUGUUUGUAUGAAAUGAGAUUGGUAUGAAAUGAGAUGAACUUUUGUAUUGACUAUUGGUUGUGAUGGUGCCUUGAGGCAUAUUGAUUAGAAGCUUAGGCCAUUUUUUUAUGUGAUUUUUGACAUGAUUUGAAUAGGUAUAUCUUUGAUUAUAAGCAUUGGUAUGUGUUUGGAAUUUCUUGAAUUAGGUAACUUGCAUGUCAAGUCAUUUUAUUCUACACACGAUCUAGCACACGAUCGUGUGUCUCCACAAGGGUUGGUGACACGGCUAUGUGACCGCUAAAGGAAGUUGAUUUAUGUACUGCAUGGUUACAGAAAGUUACAUGGGCUGGGCGCACGCCCGUGUGGUACUACUCAUGUGGUAUUUAUUUUAGCACGGUCUCAGUUUGUUACAAGGUCCAGGAACACGACCGUGUGACUUUAAGUUAGAAUUUCUGCAUCUAGGUCCAUACAAUUUCAGUUAGUUACACAACUUGGCAAUAAGGUUGUGUGAAUCAAGCACACAUGAUCAUAGCUUGUCACACGGUCUGGAAAGAUGACCGUGUGACCCUUACUUUUUAAAAUUUCCCUACUUUUUGUUAAAUUUUCAAUUAAGUCCCUAUUUGAUUCUAGAUAGGUCUAAGAGUUUUCAUAAGCUCGUUUGAGACUCGGUUUUGUUUGUAAUUAAUGUUAUACUUAGAUUAUAGAAUGUUUUACUGUUUAAAUGAAUGUUUAAAUCCAAAAUUAUAUGUGAAAAUGUUGUUAGCUAUCGUAGCAUCCUAUAGCUCGUGUCUGACGAUCAGACCGGGUGAGAGGUGUUACAUUUAGUGGUAUUAGAGCUACCAUUUUGAUUCAAGGAUUGAACGUAGCAUGUAUUGGGUCUAGAAAGUACAUACUAUAUACACCUGUGAUAGUGUGAUGUUGCUUGAUCUGAUCUUACCUUAUUUUCUUAUAGUUCAAAGAUGUCGUCAGAGUUCAAUUGUGCUGUCCCUAAUGAAGUGGACAGUAAUGUUCCAACUUCCGACCAUGAAGCGACUCAUAGUCUGCUAGUUCUGCAAAUGUCAGAAAAUGAAGUGAAAAUGUCGUUUUUGGCAUGAUGGGUCAAUGGUUCUCAAAGUUCAUGCGAGCCAAUCCUGUGGCUUUGCAACCUCCUCCCCCUAUUAUGCCUCUUGUGACACCUUCGUGUCCUCAAAAUACUAAAAUUAUACAAUGACCCCCGAUUGAUAAAAUUAGAAAAUAUGGUGUUGAGAAAUUCAAAGGGUUUUUUUAAUGAAAUGGCAUGUUCACCUGAUGAUUACUGAAUAUAUGUGGUAUCCUUGCUAAAAGAUGAAGCCUAUUAUUGGUGGUCGACAUUGAUAACUGUAGUACCGAAAGAUAGGGUUAAUUAGGACUUCUUCAAAAUCAAGUUUCAAAAGAAAUAUGCCAAUAAUUCUUAGAUAGGAAGAAGAAAUAAUUCCUUAAGUUGAAGCAAGAAAAUAAAUCUGUAGCAAAAUACGAGCGAGAGUUCGUACACCUUACUAAAUACACUCGUGAAGUUAUACCGACCGAAGAAGAAAUGUGUGUUCGUUUUCAAGACGAGUUAAAUAAUGAAGUUAAUAUGUUAGUGGGUGUGAUGGAACUGUGAGAAUUUGAAGUCUUAUCUGAUCAAGCACAAAAGAUGGAAGAAAUUGUAAUAAUAAGAAACAAAAUGAAAUGACGGUUCGAGAUUUCGAUAAAUGGAGUUCGUCUAAACCAUUUUUAACUCCUCCAUCAAAAAAAUUGAGGGAAGCCUUUAGUCGCUUCACUUCACCAUUAGGGUUCUCAGGAAGAAAUAAAACGAGACCGGAUGAAUUGAGAUUUUAGACUGUGCUUGCAAAUAAUUUUGGAAGUUUUUGUAAUGUUCCUAGACCUGCUUGUCAACAUUGUAGAAAGUUACAUACUGGUGAAUCUAGAAUCAAAAUAGGUGUUUGUUUUAAAUGUGGUUCAACAGAGCAUUUCAUGGGAAAUUGCCUGAUAAAUACAAGUGACAUUGAUAAUCAGAGUGUGAAGCUGUUGUCCACUCCUCAAAAAGGUAGAUGCAUUGGCCAUAGCGGUAAUACUAGAGUUAAUUAAAGUUGAACUAAAGAAACGACUGUCAGGUUUGAAGCUAGAGAGCAUGCUUGAGUGUAUGCCAUCUGAGCUAGGGAGGAAGCUGUUGUACUCGAUGUUAUUGUUGGUAUUUUAUCUCUCUUUGAUGUUACUAGGUAUGCAUUGGUUGACCCUGGGUCAACUCAUUCAUAUAUUUGCACUACAUUAGUAACAUAUAAGAAUUUACAUGUCGAGUCAAUUGAGUUUGAGGUUAAAGUUUCGAAUCCACUAGGUCAGAGUGUGAUAGUUAACCUAAUAUGUCAAAAGUGUUCGCUGAAAAUUCAGGGUUAUGACUUUCCUGCUAAUAUAAUGUUACUACCAUUUCGUGAAUUCGAUAUUCUUCUAGGAAUGGAUUGGUUGACUUUACAUGAUGUCGUGGUGAAUUGUAGACUGAAACAGAUUGAUCUAAGAUCUUAGAAUGGUGAGAUAAUUAUAGUUGAAUCUGAUAAGUCAGAUUGUGCUACUAAAUUUAUUUCAGAAUUCUUUGCUCAGAAAUUGAUCAGAAAAAUAUGUGAAUUUUUUUAUGUAUAUACUUGAUACUUAAGAACUGGGACUGAAGGUUGAUCAUGUAUCGAUUGUUAAUGAGUUUAUAGAUGUGUUUUCAAAAGAAUUGCCUAGGUUACUUGAUCGAGAGUUAAGUUUGUGAUUGGUUUAGUGCCAAAGACUACUCUGAUAUCUAUUACAUCAUACCGUAUGACACCAGUCGAAUUAAAAGAACUGAAAGCACAAUUGCAAGAAUUUUCUGACAGACUCAUUUCCUUAAAUUUAAUGAUUUCUAUCCAUUUCUAUUCAUUUGAUUCAACAUGCAAUUCAUUUUUGGUUUCAACUAGCCAGCGGAGGGACCGAUUGGACAUAUGUAAUUUGGGCUCAAAUGAUAUAUAAUUAAGUUCCUGUUUUUCUCUUAUUAAUUAUAAACUUAUUUAGUCAUGAAGUCAUUUGUAGUAUCGUGACUAAACUCUCCCUAACAACAUACCAUUACGAAAGCUACUCGAUCAGUGCUCAUCCAAUGAUCUUGUCAUGAGUGUGUUACCCUCAUAGGAUAUCCUUAAUCUCAUUGGGAUAAAUCUUCUCUCCUAAUAUGAUCUUAUUUGAUCUCAUGGUAACUAUUACAUCUUCUUUCAUGAAAAGUCAACUACUAUAAAAUAAUAAUUAAGUUAUUCAUCACAAAGACAAAUGACCAGUGGCUACAUUUACUUUUCAUCUACCAUGUAAUGUCAAUGAGAGGAUAUCAUUUAGCCAUUUCUUUGGCUAUGAAUUCCACUAUUGUGAAUGAUGCUACAUACUGUAAAAGUCGUAUACCUAAUGCACCAGCUUCAGUUACUUUAUCUGUUUGAACUCAGGUUUUUACUUACAUCAAAGUAUACAAGUCACACAUUUAUAGUCCAUCAUCCACUCAGGAUUAAGGUAUGUCGCACUAUGAACGUUACAAGUGAAUAAAUCCAUAAAUGGAUUCAGGAUCUAUUAUACUUAGGUCUUGUCUGAUGUACUAUCAGUCCAAUCAGUCACAUCUAUGUCUCUAUUUUUUGAGAGCCAUUUGCUCCGAUUCUAAAGACAAAGCAUCUCACCAAUUGGACUUGAUAAACGACAUAUCUUUCCAUUAGUUUUUUCACCUUCGAUUAGACUAAGUACAUGUUUAGAUUCAUUUACUAGUAUAAGUUUUCUUUUAGUAUUACGAUCCAACCAUGUAAAAUCACUUAGUAUUGGUUAAACAUUAGAUAACAAGUGAGCUAAUAUUUGCUUCCAUUUUGCUUUGCAUGCAAAAACCAUUGAGGAAAGUAUACAAAAGGGUAUUAUAUAAUUCAUGAAUAAUUUUAUUAAACCAAUAUGUUCGAAAAAAUUACAAGUAUACAAACGAAUAUACUACACUUAGGGAACUAGAUCCAACAUUGUUAAUACUAUGACUAGGCAUGAACUCUUCAUAAUUUCCUUUGCAUUGUGAUUCAUAUACCAAGGAUUUUACCAUAAUAUUUAAUAUAUUUAAAAAUUAACGAAAUGAGUUAACAUAAGCAUAGCGUAAUAAAGAAUGUCACAAUUACUAAAAUAUUCAAUUAUAUGAUAUUAUCAUUAUUACAUCAAAUGCUCUAAGGCAUGUUACUAACACUACACACAGAAAGAAGGUAUCAGUUAUGAGGAAACCUUUUCUCCAAUAGUAAUGCUCAAGUCUAUCCAUAUUUUGUUAUCCAUUGCGAUGACUCUCAUUUCAAGAUCUAACAAAUGGAUGUCAAUAUAAUGCUUCUGAAUAACUACCUUAUAGAAAGCAUCUAUAUAAUACAACCUAUCGGAUGUAUAGCUAAAGGAAACAUGCAAAAGCUUGCAAAUUGAUUUAGUCUAUAUAUAUGUGCUUAAGAAAAUAUCACGCUUAUGGAAUUAAAUAUUUGAUCAAGUGAUCAAAACUUUUAGAUUUGAGGAAAAUGUUGAUGAACUUUGUGUUUAUAAACGUAUUAUGGAUGGAAAUGUGGUCUUUCUAAUUCUAUAUGUUGAUGACAUACUAAUCAUUGGGAAUGAAGUAGGGACAUUUUAAUCAUUUAAACUAUGGUUAACUCUAUAGUUUAGUGUGAAAGAUUUUUGUAAAGCUAAUUAUGUUCUGGGAAUUCAAAUCCUUUGGGAUCGAAAGAAUAAAGAGAUUGCUUUAUUACAAGCUUCAUACAUAAAUAAGAUAUUGGAACAUUUUUGUAUAGUCUAUUCAAAGAAGGGUACACAACCCUCUGCAUCGAGCUUUCUUCUUUAGAGCAAUGUACCAAGACAACAAUAUGAAGAGAGCAUAUGAGAAAGGUACCUUACUUUUUUUUGAAGAGAAAGUCUAAUGUAUGUGAUGUUAUGCAUAUGCCCAGAUAUCUAUUUUACAACAGUAGGAUUGGUAAGUCAAUAUCAGGUGAAUCUUGUUCGAAGACACUGGUAUCCAAUUAAGCAUAUACUCAAGUAUUACAAAGAAUGAGGAAUUAUAUGCUAAUAUAUUUUGGAGGGGAUUUAACUGUCAUAGGAUAUACUGAUUUUGAAUUCCAAACGCGUUGUGCUUCAAGGAAAUUGUGGAAAAUGAAUGUCGAUAAUGACAAUAAAUCGUAAAGAAAGAGAGAAAAUAGAACACACAAAAUUUUACUUAGAAACCCUCUCAGGAAAAAAACCACGGGCAGAAGAAUAGAAAAUUCACUAUGUCGAAUUUGAAUGAUACAAGAGGAGUAUAGACUAUGUCUCUUUAUAGGUUUGUAAAACCAUAUUCUAAUUAAAGUCUAAUAGAAGUAAUGCAAUAAGGUUAAAACACCUUAUUCUAAUCAAAUAUCAAAUAGAGGAAGUAAACUUCUAUAUAGAUUCCACUUGUGCAGCCUGUCUUGCCACUUAUAUUUUAUUUUAAUAGGAAUUUGGGUCACACAACUUUUAUAGAAACCGACACUAAGAUGUGUUGUUGUCCUAGGUGGCAAAGCCAUAGUGUGAAGAAGUGUAAAGUAGAGUUUUAUUGUUGACUCUACUAUGGAGGUUGAAUAUGUGGCAACUUUUGAGGUGGCAACAGAAGUAAUCUGGCUUUGCAAGUUCCUUACAGAAUCUUGAAGUCAUUUCUAGUAUGGAGAAAGUUAUCACAUUAUAUUGCAAUAAUAGUGUGGCAAUAGCUAAUACUAAGGAAACCAGAAGUCAUAAAUGGAUAAAGAACAUUGAUUUUAGAUAUCACAUAAUCCAAAAUUUGAGAGGCGGUGGUAGAAAAAAUAGUGGAUGUAGUCAAAGUCGCAUAUGAUGACUACUUUGCGGAUAUGUUUACAAAGACUUCACAGAUUAGUCCAAAACCACUUAAAAUCAUGCCUAAACAUGUCCAAAUCAUUUCCAUAUGUUCCAAAUCACUUUAAACCCAAUUUAAAUAUCAUUUAAACUAAUGUUCCAAGCCACAAAAAUAUUCAAAGCAAACAUGAAAUAAAGCUUGAUUAAAAACAUCAAAUUUACAUGGAUUACAAAUCAAGUUGUACAAAUACCAUAUUAAAUAUAAGUCCUAAUGUAAAUGCAAAAAUCCUUAAACAAUAACAUCUAAUAUAAAUAUGUUACAACCUUAACAUAAGGGUGAUGUGAAACUCCUAAGCUCGAACCUUAAAUUUCUUGUGGAAUCCAUUAUCUACGCAUUUAAACAACUAACACGUGAGCUCAAUGAACUCAAUAAGUAAUAAUAGAUAAAAUUAUUUAUCCUAUUUCAAUAUUAGUGUUGUGCCCUUAUUAAUAUUUUCUAUUACCAUGUACUCAUAUCACGUUUUAAGAUUUCAAUCUGAUUCAUUUCAUAUUAUCAAAUCCUUAAGGCUCAUGUUUCUCCUUUAUAACAUUUUAGUCACUCACUUUGGUAAUUUAUAUUCAAGUCCUUUUAUCAAAUGUACCAUUAUUAUUUAAUCCUAAGUUCAUUACCCUUGUUGGACUUUUCCUACUAACAUAUUCACCUAUGAGUUCAGAUAUGGUCUUAGAUGCAUUAUGCAAUUCUUAAAUUCUUUUGUUAACUAUUUUAUUAAGGCCAUGAAAAACCAUAUACUUAAAUCUAAAUUUUAUAACUUAUAAGUCAUUUUUCAACAUUUUUUAGGCACAUAUUCUUUAAUAUGGUGAUAUUUUAACAAUUUUCACUUUAGAACACAUUCUCGAUUUAUAGCCAUAACCACAUCUUAUUAAUAAGGUUUUAGUUUGAUUAGCCUAUAGUAAACACUAAGGAAAUGAACCGGAUACAUGGAUUCCCUCUAGAACACGCCAAAGAAAACAUAGUGCUAUUACGAAAUCACAUCCCUCCCAAACACACCAAGGGCACUAAGGGCACCAAGUCUCAAUCUGCCAAAAACACAAAAUGUAAUAUUCGUUUUUCAAUAAUACUGGAAAGUUUGGUUUUGGAACCCUAUUUUUGUAAAUUGUGUACAUAAAUUUUAAUUUUUAAUUUUUACGUGUAUAAUAUAAAAAUAUUGUUCAAACUUUUUUCGAAUUGAUAGUUAAUUAAGGUCUAGGGACUAAAUUGUAAAAUUUUAAUCACUAUAGAAUUUUAAUUGUCAAAAGGCUUGAUGACUCAAAUAAAAAUUCACCAAAGGUCCAAAAUUGUAAAUAAACCAUUUUAUUUUAUAGAAUGGUGGAUGAUUAUGUUGUUUUUCGCUAAUUUGGUUAAUUGUCAUUAAGGUAAAAUAAUUAAAGAUUAUGUUAAUUAAUUAAGUUAAAUCAUGGUAUAUAAGGAAUAUUUUAGUGGAAAUACCAUCAUCUUCUUUGCCCUCCAAGUGUACAACAUAGAAAAAUCUAAGGAAGAAGCCAUUUUUUAAGCUUGCACAUUCGACCCCCAAUUUGUGAGUGUAUCCAAGUCAUUUUCAUAAAAUUUUUAUAGAGUUGAAGUCAUGGGAGCUUAAUUUAGCUAACCCAUAUACCAAUUUGAGAAUUUUUUAAAGUUUUAAGAAGUUUCCAUUGUUGAUUUCUUAGAGAAUUAGGCUUGAAAUUGAUAUAUAUUUUAAGCUUAGAACAUGAAAAUGACUAAAUUGUAACGUUAAUUUAGCUUAUUGUUAACUUUGUUACAUUAGGGACCAAAUUAAAUAAAUGUAACACUUGGAUGAAAAUAUGAUAGAAAUAGAUAAUAUAAUGUCCCUAAUUGGGAUAUGUGAAAUUAGAUUUUAAUUCAAAGCUAGGAAUCGAAAGUUAUACUUAUCCCAAGUUCAAAAAUUAAAUUGAAUAAAAUAUAAAAUAUGAGGGGAAUGAAAAAUAGAAUUUCAUGAAAUCAUGAAUAUCAUGAUAUAGUAUGGAAGUUUUUGAUAUUGAUUGGUGACAUGAAUAAUUGUAUAGAUCAAGAAUUGAAACGAAGUUAAUCGGGAAAAAGCUAAAAUUACCGACUAGUCCUUGAAGAAUCAACUCGUGUUGGUAUUUCCAAUAGGUAAGUUCAUAAGGAACUUACUAAAAUAUUUUAUAUUAUGUAUGAAUUGUGUUUAAAUCUAUCUAUAUGUUUAUAUUUAAUUAGAAUUUAUUGAAUUUAACAUGUGUGGCUUAAAAAUGAACCUAAUUGAAAACUUAUGUGAAUAUUGGCUAUUAUUAGAUAAUAUAUACUGCAAAUGUAAAUGUUGAUUGAUUAUAAGACUUGUAAGUGAAAUACGUAAUAAUGUUCAAAUAUUGGUAAUGACAUAUGUAUAUGGAAAUGAUGCUCGUGUAAACUUAGUAAAAGGUUAGGAUGCUUAUGGCAUGCGAUCAUGGUUAUAUACGCGCUUGAUUAGGAAUUUUAUAUGUUAUAACGAGGUCUAGCAUUUGUUUAGAUUCUCGGGAUAUAUGUAUUGUAGGUUUAGCCUAGAUGGGUAACAUCGAUAUAAUGUCAGCUUGUGUGAACAACUUAUUCACCCAUGUGUUCGAGUCCAUUUUACUAUUGUUCCAUCAUUUGCUAAUCAAUAGAAUGGAAAUAGAAACUUAAAUGUGAUUUGGAAAUGUUGUAGAAUAUGUUGAUAAUUGAAAUGUGAUAAGUAUGAGACUGCAUUAAAGUAGUGAUCAUAUUCAUGAUAUGGUAACAUGACUAACACAUUUGUUUGGUAAAUGUUGACAUGUGUAUAGCUAUGCCAUUAUGUGCCAAGGAUAGUCAUGUUAAAUAACACAAUGAAUAUUUUAUUUAUGCUUUAAAUAAUAAAGGUAUGUUUUGUGUUUCCAUUUGAACUUACUAAGCAUUUUUUAUGCUUACUCUACUUGUUUUAUUUUCCUAUAGAUUGUAACUGAUAAGGGGUCACAAAGAACAUGAUCGCAAGUUUGUACAAGUCGCAGAUUUGACUCAGGGCUAUAGAUGAUCGAAAUUUUUUUUGGAUAUUGACACAACUUGCAACACAAACAAAUCCAAGUCAGAUCUAAGAAUUUGAAAGGGAAAAAAUUAAAAUACAUAAUAAAAGAUAGAAAAAAAAACAAGGAAUCCAAAUUAAAGAUUAGAAACAAUGAAACAAGAACAAAACAUAAUAACAAAGAAACGAAACAAGAUAGAUGGAAAAGAUGAGAAGUGGUUUGUAGAAGUCUUAAGGAUCCUUGAAAACUAGAUGAAGCCACAACCCCUUUCAAACGACUCUAAUUUCCCCACCAUGAAAGAAAACUUGGCAAGAAAAAUCCUGAAGAUGAUCCACACAGUCUCAAAAGAUUGUUAAAACUCUUCUUGUUAAAACUUGGCAAGAGAAAUUCUUGAAAGGAAAAACUCCAAGUGAGUUUUAUUAAAUCGAAGAAAGAAUUUUUAUGAAUUGAUGAAUUGUGUACAAUGAAGAGGCCUUUAUAUAGGCUAGCUAAGUACAUUUGAUCUGCUAUAAUUCGGUGCAGCAGAUCAAACUAGUUUUCGCACUUUAAGAGCUUGAACAUAAGCAGUUGAGUUAAUUUUUAAUUACAUUUCUAUAAGUUUAGUUAAUUUUAAUAAAGUGUUUAAAUUGAGUCUUUUAUUGACCCUGGGGGCCAAAUGAGGCCUAAGGAUAAACUAAUAUACUUUGUGAGCAUCCAGGAGACCAUUAGAUGGCGUGUUACUCAGUAUUAGUUGCUAUGUUGCAACACGAAACAUUAGAUGUCACAACACAGGGAGUAGAAUAAAAGAAUUCCAAGAUUGCCUUCAAUGUCACGACACAACCUGAGGAUGUUACGACAUACCCCUAAAAACACCCUAGAGUUGAGCAUAUUACCCUCGAUGUCACGACACAGGACCUGGUGUGUUGCUACAUCACCUUUGUACAGGAAAUAUUUAAGAGCCAAGUGUGUUUUGGUCCACACAAUCAAAUGUUAAGCACAAGGACAAUAGCUAACCUAGUGUUAAGGACGAUAACCACCCUAGAAUCUAUAAAUAGGCUCAUUUAGCACCUGUUAGACACCUUUCGGAUAUUGUAUAAUUUUCUCUUUAGAUUUAGUCUUUAUUUUUUCUCUUUUCUUAGGUUUUAGAUUUUAUUUUUGUUCCUAUUAUUUACUUCUGUAGAGAAAUCAUAUUUGGGAAAUACUGUCAAACUCUAGGAGGAUUUUGCGUUUAAUUUUAAUACAAUCAGGCUUCUUCUAAACUCCAUUCUCUUGAAUUGUUCUUUAUGUUUAUUUUUUCUACCAAGUUUAUAUUGUUUAUUAGAUCCAUGAGGAACUAAUCUUCUUGUGGGGGAUUAGCGAGUGGAGGUAUGAUUAAUUAACUAUUUUGUAGGAGUUUCUUUGCAGAUCAGCUAUUCAGGAAAGUAAGAACCUAAACCCUAGACCUGACAACCUUAGGAAGUCAUUAAGGUAGGAAUUAACCCAAAUUUGGUAUGGCCUAUCCGUGAACACCUUAACCUUGAAUUGGUCUAGACUGUGAGGUCGAGAGAUAAGUAUUUCUUGUCGAAUCAAUAUGUCAGUGAAAGAUCAGAAGACCCUACUGGGGUAUUGACUAGUUGAUUGAACAAGAAAACCUAAUAUGGCAGUUGGUUAUGAUUACUGAAGCGAGCUAAUCACGCAUACCCAUAUUUGAUAUAUAUUUAAUUAUUUGAUUUCUUGUGAUUUAUUUAUUUCUUUUCUUAUUAUUAGUAUAGAUUACCACAACAUCUCUUUUUAUUCCUCAUAUUAUAAUCCAUUUAAAGUACUAAUUAGAUCUAUUUAUGUUUAAGUUAGAAUUAAUUUAGUGCUCGCCUCCCUUAGCUAUGAUCCUCAGAGUACUUACCUACUCCGUUGUAACUAUAUUACAACUUGACACGUAUACUUGAGAAUACUGUGUUUCAUAUCUUUUGUGCAUGAUUUCUACUCUAGACGUUGGUACGUUAGGAGGCGGUCAACAUUCAUAUAAAACUCUAAAGUAUACUGAAAUUCUAAUAAUCUAAACAAGAAUUAGUUUUAAACUAAACUUUCUUGUUAACUUAAAACUCCUAAAUAACUUAAAAUACUUUAAAAAAUUUCUAAAAUUUGAAAUAAAUAAGUAAUGUGUAACAAUCCCUUUUUAGUUGUGUAAAAAAAAUGGUUUCAGAACCCUAUUUUUCAAUGAUCGAGUUAGUAAAUAUUUUUUUAUUAAUACUUACUAGUCUAUUAUAAGGUUGUAUUGAAUUUCGGUCUAGUAAUUUUUUUGAUUGGAUGGAUAAUUAAGGUACAAUGGCUAGAUAAUAAAAAUCAUAAAACUUAAUCGUUAUAGAUUUUUAAUGGCUAAAAGGGAUAAAUAGUAAAUAGUUAAGGUUUUAAAUGGAAAAUUAAGCAUUUUGAAGAUGGUUGGAUGGUUAGUGCAUGUUGAUUGUUAAUUUAUAUGUUAAAAAUAAUGUUCAAAGAAUUAAAUCAUAAAACAAAAAGGUAAUGGCCAAUUUUCAUCAUCUUUUUCCUCUUUUAUUUACCGUUUCCUCCAUGGUUUGAAGCCAAAAAUUUUAGCCAAUCUUUCACUUUUCAUGGUAAGCUAAUCCAAGCACUGUUUUCAAAAAUUUUAUAUUUUGAGAUCGUUAUAGCUUAAUCUAACUAAUCCGAGUAUAAAAUCAUAAAAUUGUUAAAAUUUUAAAAUGUUACCAUUGAUAUUUUUGAAGCUUUUGUUGUUAAAUUCCUUUACUGUAAGCUUAGGUGUGAUUAGGAACUAAUUUGUAAAGUGAAAUUUCUUAGUUUUGAGUAUAGGGACUAAAAUGAAAAAAAUAAAAUUUUAUGAAAAUUUUGUAAUUAUGGAUAUUAGAAGGCUGUAGAAGGAUGUGAUUGAAAUUGAAUUGUAAAAUGGAGCUCAAAUGUGAGAGUUAUGAUAGUUACGGUUUUAGGGACUAAAUUGAAUAAAAUGCAAAACUUCAGGGAAUUUUUAAAAGAAACUUAACUAUAAUAUGGAUAAAAAUAAACUCCUAUAAGGUUAUUGAAACUAAUAAAUUGAAAUGAAUUACCAUUUAGAUCAAGAUUCGAGUCAACCAGAACUUAAUUGAAGAAAAAAGAAAUUUACAGAGUAGUCCCGACACCUUGUUUGUGCCAGGUAAGUUCAUAUGGUAGUUGUGUAUAUAAUUAUGUUAUGUGGUUGAAUUAUGAAAUUCUGAAUGGAUAUUAAAUUGUUUUCAAAGUAGUAGAAAAAGGUGAGAAUGGACUGAAUUGUAUAAAAUUGAAAGUAUGUGUUAAAAGUGUCUGGAUAAACGUAUUACAGGAUAAGAUACAAUUGACACGCUAAUAGGGUUAUUUUUUUGUUGUAUGAGAUUUGUAAAAGAGAUGAUAUUGAUGCAUGAGAAUACACUGAUUAUACCGGAAUCUAACAUUUGUUGCGUAUUACCGAGUUUGUCUCUAUAAAGACCACUGUUAUUGAUUAUGUCUACGGAGAUCCAGUAGUGUUUUGGAGGGAUGUGAAGCCUAUGGGCUUAGCACUUUGGUGCUUGGAUGUGUAUUGGAGGUAUCACUCGAAUGAGCAUUUAGGUGUGUUUUAGUGGUUAUCCGUGUAUCCGAAUAUAUUGUUUAGUUCAUCGGGAUUAAUGAUAUAAAAGUAAGCAUAUGUGAAUGAUGAUAUAUAACUUGCGAAUAGAAAUGGUUAUAAUUGAUCGAAUCGAUAUAAAUGGUAUGUAUGUUUGAUAAUUUGAAUUGAAUGGUACUGAUCUAGUUAGUAUUGAAUUGUUUGAGGUGUUAUAUGGAUUGUAUAUGUUAUACUCACCUUAUGUUUGUGAAUUGUGUAAACAUGAAUGUUACGUAGUUAGUUAAUUUGUUUUGUUAAUUGUAUAUCGAGGUGAGUUAAUGUUUUAAUCUAUGAACUUAUUAAGCAUAUAUGAGUUUACUCUAUUUUUUUUCUAUUUCUGUAGUUAGCAUUUUGCGAAACUCGGCUACCAGAACGCGUCAGAGCUCACACUAUCCAGCUUCUGAUUUGGUAGUCUUUUUAUUGUUCCAGAAUCGGUUAUGUGGCAUGUACAUAGGAAAUGUUAUGCACAUGUACCUUGAGAUAUGGUGCUUGAAUCAAAGAUGUGGUUUUGACUUUAAGUUUUUUUGUGUUAUAUCCAUAUAUGUAAUUGUUGUCAAUGUCUUACGCUAUGAAAUAAGCACUGUUUUUUAAAGUAGAAAUUUGAAUGCUUGAAUUUAUGGUGAAUGUAUUUAGACCUUAUUAGGUAUACAUGACUACAUGGAUGUAAUAGCUUUGAUAUUUGGGAAAUGCUUGAAUUUUUGUAGUUUUAUAUGGUGAGCUUAUAUGUGUGUUAAUGGUAUUGUGGUAAGUUAUAUGUUAAGCUAUAGAAUGACAUAUUUUAAGGGUGAUUUUGGUUUAAUAUAAGUGUUAGAUCUGAAUUAUGAACUAAGUUUGAAUAGUGGAUGAAAACUUAUGCAUUAGAAAAUGUCAAAUUCGUGUAAAAUGGCUUGGUUGAUUUUGUGGUUGGUUAAAUGGAUGUUUUGGUAUGUGUUUAAGUUGGCUUUGUGCAAGUUUGGUUGUGAAAAUAUGCGCCAUUUGAGCUAAUGGUAUACCUUGGAAAAAAAAGGUGCCAAAUGGCUUAAAUUUACCAAAAAAUAGGGUUCUCAUCUCGACAUGAAAUUCAUCUCAUCGCAAUGUCGAAUGUCAGUUGGUGAUGUCCUGACGUCAAGUGGUCUCACAUUGUGACAUGACUCACUAUCCGACGUCAUCACGACGUGAAGGAUGACAUGUCACAACGUGAAGUCCAAAUUAAAAGCCUGAAACUUGCAAAAAAGUCAUAACUUGAGCUCCCAAACUUGAAAUUGAGUGAUUCAAGGCACGUUUCGAAGCUAAGAGAUAAAUAUUUAAAUGCUAUGAAGACAUCUCAGCCCAUAAAUUCCUAAACCCAAUCCAAAAAAGUCAUCGCAAGUUGAUUGAUUUUCCAAACUUGAAAAUUGGCAACUUCAAUGAAUAGAAUUUAAUAAAUUUCACACCAUUCGUGCAUGUAUCAGUAACCUUCCAGAACUUGAUGAGCUGAAUCAACAGAGGAGUACACAUUAUCCUGAGAUGGUAGUUAUAUGUUCAAUACUAUGUCUAGACUAUGUGGCAUGCACAUAAGGGCUUUUAGUAUACAAAUGGCCAUGUUGGAAUGAAAGUCUUAUGUCUGUUGUGGUAAUGUUGAAUUUGAACAUACCAUUUGGUAUAUAACUUAAUGGUGCAUAUUUUAGUUAUGUUGAUGCUAUAUAAAUGAUUAUUUUGCUUUUAAAUGGUUUGGUACAUUUAAGCUAUCAACUAGACUAUAUGAAUUAGUUAAAUUGGAUUAAUGAGUUAUGAAUGGUAAGCUAAAUGUUGAGCACAAUUUAUAACUUAGUGUAUGCUUUGGUUGAUUUGUGUCAAGCUCUAGAAUUGUUUAUUUACCAAAUGGUAUGACGAACAUGUUUGUGGUUGUAAUAGAAGCAUUUUAGUAUGGAUAGAUGAAAUGGUUUUGUAUAUGCUUAAAUGUUGAAUUGUUGGAUUGUAUGUUGAAGAUUGGUUGGUUUAAAUUAUUAGAUACUUGAAUUGGUUUUCAUUGAAUUAGUUUAAUAGUUUUAUUCUUUUGUAAGGUUGAAUGAAACACUUAGGAAAUGGUUUGAAUAUAAUUGAAUUAGGUACCAAAUGUGUAUUUUGCCAAAAAAACGGGGGCAACGUCGCAACCACAACUCUUAACGUUACAACAUUUUCUGAAACAGAGUGGCGUUGCAAUAGGCACAUACAUGUCAUCUUGAUGUGACUUAUUGAGAUGACCACACCGCGAUGAGGGGAUAAUGAAAUUGCAACAUCGACCUAAGAAUUUUAAAACUUCACAAUUUGGUCCUCAUUCAAGAUCGGGCAAGUAUAAGAGUUUUCGUAAGCUCGUGUAAGACCCAAAAUUCAUUGUAUAUCAUAUCAUAUACAUGUUUUUCUUUUAUUUAAAUGUAUAAAAACAUAAAUUGAAUAUAUAUUCAAUGGUUUUUGCUCCAACAAUGAGUGUAGCACUCCGUAGCUCAGACCCGACAAUUGAGUCAGGCAAGGGGUGUUACACCAAGAGAGCACCGAAGUGCUAAGCCCAAAGGUGCAGAACCUUGUCUUUAAAACUCUAGAUAUAAAAUUCUUAGUACACAUAAGUCUUUAUUGGCAUGCCAAUCAUAUCCUAACUAUUUAUUUAAGUUUACUAGGUCAUUUAAAAUCAUAAAUAGAACAAUUUACUUAAGGCCAUUAGCAUAUUAGGUUUUUCAAAAAAAAACAUAAACAAAGUUACUGAAUUUAGAAAUUGUUUAGACCAUUAUUGUCCAAAAACAUAUAUUGGCACCCUAAGUGCCUAGCACAUGUGCAUAUUUCUUAAAGAUCAUCUCUUAAUUUAUCAUUUAAGAUUCUCAUCAUGUUCACAAAGGAUCAUUUACGAAGAUCUGAAAAAGAGUUAUUUUGGCCAAACAUAAAUUAAAUUUCACAAUUUCAUGAUUAUACAUAUAUUUAUUUCCAUUUAAUUAUUCUUAAUGGUGAUGAGUCAUUAUCUCAUCACUCAAUAACUUAUAUAUAACCAUUUCGAUGUUUUUAACUAGUGCCAAUUUUAUAAAAAAAAACUUGAAGAAAUUUACAUAUUAGUCUCAUUCUUAGUUAUACUGACAUUAUUAUGUGAAUAAAUAUGUGAAUAAUUCAAUGAAGUAGUAAAUGAAUGUGAUUAGUGUUGACGUGAAUAUAUGUCUAGAGAAAAUUCUAAAAGGUAAAAUGUUGGAAAGUUAUGUGUGAGUAUGAAAUUAUGAAACAUGAUUGUGCUUAUGAUGAAUAUUAAACUUAUAAAAAUUUUAAAUCCCUUGUAAAGAAGUUUUGAACUUGUGGGAUAUAGAUGGCAUUAGAAAUUCCUUAGCUCACUUGUGAAUUUAACACUUCCGGAUCUCAUGUUUUAACACUUUUAGUGUUCAUGAUAAUUUAGCACUUAUGUGCUCAUGUACUCCACAAUUACAUUCUGAAUAUGUUUCUUGUUCACUUGAUUCUACAAUGGGCAACGUAAGUGGUAUAUGAAUGAUAGGUGAAUGAUGAAAGUAUGGUAAGUGAAAAUAUGUUAAUUAACUUUGUUGCUAUUGUGUACUUUAUCUUUGGUUUAAUUCUUGUGAUCAUGUUAAUUUUAUUUAUUUAUUUAUUCAUUGAAUUAGCUAAUUGACUUCAAAAGUAAGAUAUGAAUUCUUGAGUAUUUACUAAGUUUUCACAAGCUUAACACAUUGUUUUGAAUGCAUAGGUAAAGAUCAUUUUGAAGAUUCCUUUUUAAACGGUAACCCUCAUCCUUAUCUCAUCACCAAAGGCGUAACUCCUCUCACCCGUCUCCGUCACUAGAUUAGGAUUACAGGAUUCUACGAUAAAUAACAAAAUAGAAUCAUGUUAUUUUAAUUAAAACUUAUUAAAACAUUUAUUAAUCAACAAACAUUCAAUUAAACGUGUUAUGAAUGCAAGACCGAGCUUAAUUCGAGCUUAGGAAAGUGCUAAAAAAUAAUUCAAAACUAAAGAGGGACUAAUUUGAAACUUUUCAAAAAAAUGUGGCAAAAAUACAAAACAGGGGUCAGAGGGCCAUGCGGCUAAGCUAUGUGACAGGUUGAGGCUAUGUGGAACUGAACCACACAGUUGUGUACUCCAACCAUGUACAAGGCUGAUGCCGUGUAAUGCAGGGUCACACGGCUGUGUCACCGAGUUGUGUAAUUAACUGUUGCCAUGUGGAACUAAUUUUAAAAAUUUGCAAACAUUCACAUGACCGUAUGGUUGGAUCAUGUCAAUUAUCUUGCACCUAAAUUAUCAGUGGCACACAACCAUGUGGCAAAUCGUGUGACAUCAAAAUGGUCAUUUUGCAAAUGAUGCAAUCAAACCUAUGCACAUUAAAACACAAGUCAAGUACAUUAUAUCUGGCCUAAAGCACUUCAGAAACUUAAUCCAAAGUAUGAUAUAAAACAUCCUAGUAAUGCCUAACAAAUAUUCCAUUUGGAACCAUCACAACCAAAUUCAAAACAUAUCAUUCAAUUAUAUAUAUAAGCAUGUCUUAUUACACUUUACGAAGAAUACUUCCCAAACUUUACCAUUUUUCAAGUCCAAAACAUGCUUAAACUCCAACAAAGUUGAAUAUAUAAAUAUAUAUCAAUCACUAAAACAACUUAAUUUAAUGAAUGCAUAUACCACCACUAUUAACUAACACAUAUACCAUACAUUUCACCCAAGAUUACCAUUUUCCAACCAUUUCAUGAUCCAAAAUCAAGCAUACCAUCACCACACAUACUAUUAUCAUUUACCUUAUAUACAUACCAUAGUAAUCAUUAAAUUGAACCUUAUUCAUGACAACCAUUAUAACAAAUUGCAACUUCAACUCAUAACUCUAAAACAUCAACCCAAAAUAGCCUAUAUAUGUCAUAUCCCAAAAAUUGAGUUACUAUAAAUUAGGUUAGUGAACCAAGAGUGGUCACACCCCAAUUUUUAAAAGUUAUCUUUGCACAUUAGAUAAUAAACAAGAAUUUGGUUUAGUGGUUAAUUAGUGAUGGAUUGGUCUUUGAAGACCUGAGUUAGAAUCCCUUCACUGACAUCAUUUUCUAUUUUGUGCAAUUUUGCUUCAAACUCUAGUAAGUGUCACGCCCUGACAUCAUAAUUCUGAAUUUCAUUCUUGCAACACUCUCUCUUUCUCUCCUUUCUCCUCCCUUUCAACCUCAUUCUACCACCCCUUUUUUUGUUGUGCUCCACCACCUUUAGCUUCUUUUUCUUUCAAUUUUGUGUGACUAUUAAUCGCCUCUGGAUGUACCAAUGUACAGAUUAGAACUCCUGCAUAAAAGAUAUAAAAGACGAUAUCUGCAAGUAUACAUGUCAGGUUUCAAUAUAGUUACAACGGAGUAGAUGAGAACUCCGAGGAUCGUACCCAAUGGAGGAGAGCACUAAAUUAAUUCUAACCUAAGCAUGAAUAGAUCUAAUUAGUACUUUAAUUGGAUUAUAUUACAAAGAAUAAAAAGAGAGGUUUUGGUGAUCUAUACUAAUCAUAAUAAUAAAAGAUAGUAAAUAAAUAAAACACGAGAAAUCAAAUAGUAAAAUAUAUCAAAUCCGAUCAUGGGUGAUUAGCUCGAUUCAUUAGUCAUAAUCAACUAUCACUUCAGGUUUUCUUGUUCAAUCAACUAGUCGAUAUCCCAGCAAGAUCUGUAACAGCCCGUUUUUUAGUGGUGUCAGAAAUAGUGGUUUCAGGGCCACCAAAUUUGACGAGUAAGUUUGUAAAUAUUAUUAUUUAAUAUUUAUGAGCCAAAUUUGAUUUUAAAAAGGUUUUUCAUAUGAUAAUUUAUGUUAUAUAAGCGAUUUAUAAAGUUCAAGCGGUAAGACCCUAAGGUCAACUAGUUUUAGAAAAUGAGGUAUCGGUACCUCGUUUUUAUAAACCGAGUCGUAAAAAUUUUAUAAAUAUUUAUGGGAUACCAUUAAGGUCGUAUUAAAAUUUCGUUGAAAAAUUUUAACGUUUCGAUAGUUAAUUAAGCGAAAAGGACUAAAUUGUAAAAGUUGAAAAAGUCAAUCGCUAUUAGUUUAAAGGUGUUAAUUGAUUAAAGAAUCUUAAUUUGAUGGACUUCAUGGGUAAAUUACCCAUUCUUAAGAUGGUGGACAGUCUAAGUUUUAAUUUCCUCUAAAUUUAUAUAUGUUUUAUACAUUAUUUUUAAUAUUAAAAUAAUAUAGUAAUGUUAAAAUAAGAAAACACAAAGUUUUCUUCUUCAUUUUGGUUGUUCACCAACGAAUUCACCAUGGUAAAAGCUUCAAGCUUCGGUUCUUCUUUUGAUGAUGUAUGAUAAGCCAUUUUUCAUCCAUUUCUUUUAAUUUUUAUGUUUUUGAUUUUGAAAUUGUUAAAGAUUUUGAAUGUUUCCGCUGAUGAACCUUGUGAUUUUAGGUGUUAAAUGAUGAAUUUGAGAUAUUAGUUGUCAUUUAAAAGUAUUUUAUUAAGUGAUUUUUGACGAAUUUUCUAAUUAGAGACUAAAUUGUUAAAAUAGUAAAAAUGAAAGGAUUUAAUGUGAAAUUGUUGCAUGAAUGGGCUUUUUUGGAUACUAUGAGUAUUCAGCUAGGCUCAAUUUUGGGUAAAAAUGGUUAAUUUGCAGGUUUUGGGCUUAGGGACUAAAUUGAAUAAAAGUAAAACUUUAGGGGCAACUUUGUAAAAUUGUAAAAAAUGAAUAAGUUGCACAAAAUACAUUAUUUCACUCUCUAAAUUAAUAAAUUGAAUGAAAUGACUAAUUUAGAUCAAGAUUGGGUGAAAAUUGAGGAAAAUAGAAAAUUACCAAAAUACCCCUAAACUUUGGUAUUUCUGCAAUUUAGCAAGGUAAGUUCGUAUGAACUAUACUAUGUAUAUGUUGAUUAAAUUGAGUGUUAUUAUAUGAUUUUAUUGAAAAUGAAUCAAUAUAUAUAUGUUAAUUAUACAAUUUAUCGAGUAAAGAAACGAUGAAAAUUUGACGAAGUAUGACAACUAUCUAGCCUUGUUUGAACCUUAGGAAUAUAUAGGAUCAAAUGACAUGUCAUUAGGGUUAUCGUGUUUCUGGUACUGGUCCUGAACAUCCUACUGACAACUUGUGUGAGCAGACCUAGGUUACCAUGUUUCGGGUGCUGGUCUUGAAUGUCCUACCGAUGGCUGGGGUUUGGCAUUAGUUGCAGAUACUCAGUAGCUUGUGUGAGCAGCAUUGUGUAGCUUACAUUUUGACUGAUAGCUUGUGUGAACAGACCCAUUUUACAACUCGUGUGAGCUACGACUAUAUGUUUAGCAAACUUUGUGUGAGCUUUCCAGCGUAUCCAGUAUUAUUCUAUGUGGUUCAACGAGUGUGAAAAGGGAUGAACCGGUAAGUUUUCCGAUUGAUUUCACUAUGAUAAUUAUUGAAAGGUAUGACGUAUGGAUGAUUCAAGUAAGAACAUUCAUGAUUAUGAAAAGUGUGAUUUAAGUGAUGCUAUGUUUAUGUCUUAUGUGUUAUGUAAAUGAAAUAGUAAAGAAAACGAUAUUAAUUAAUACAUGAAGCUAUAUGAAUAUCCUUGAUAUUGUGAUACAUGGAAAUUAUGUAAGUUAAGAUGAGUAAUAGAUUCAAGUGAUACAUGUUGAGAUUAAAUGGCUAUUCAUGUUAAUUUGCUUAUGAUUUGUAUCAUGUAUGCUAACAUGUUUGGAGUGAAUGCUUAGACUUUGGCCAAGCUUUGGUUAGAUCAUGCCAUGUUAAUUUAUAGGUUAUGCAUUGUACUGGUAAGUGCCCAAAUGGAAAUAUGCUUGUGUUCAUGAAAGAGUGGUAAGCUUUAAAUUAUGUAGUUUCUUAUGAAAUGGUUUAUCAUGUGGUCAAUUCCAAAAGAGCUAUGUUUAAAUGCACUAGCUCGUGGCUAUAGUUGAUGAUAUGCUUAUGUCUUGUAUGUUAUGCAUAAGGAACGGGUGUGGAAAGGCAAUGAAAUAUUAAGUUCAUACUUGAAGUGUUAAAUGAUGAAAAAGGGAAUGAUGAGUUGAAUUGAUGUUGUUAUUUAAGUUAAAGAAAGUAAAUUCAAUGGAAAGUAAUGAAAUGCAAAUGAAAAUAAGAAAAUCUGUAAGGGUUUAAAGUUUUAUAAAAUUCUAUUAUGCUAGGGAUGAUAUGUAUAUGUGAUGUUGUGGAUUUAUUCACUUUAUGUGUUGUUGAAUAUGGUUUCAUGAAUCUUAUGGUAUCGAUAUAGGAUUAUUCUUGAUAUAUAUAAAUUUCAUAUUUGAAAUGGAUUGAUAUGACCAAAUUUUAUACGAGCUUAUUAAACAUUCAUUGCUUACGUAGUUGUCUUUCAUUUACUUUUCAGAUUAUCAAAGCUCGAUUGGGUUAGAAGCUCGUCAGAGAUGUAUCACACUAUCCAGCAGUUAUAUCGGUAGUUUUCGAUGUCUUAGUUAAGGUUAUAAUGGCAUGUAUAGGUGGACCAUGUCUAAUGUUUAAUUUAAGAGUUUGGUAUAUAUGUCAUCUUGGUUGAUGAUUAUGGCAUGAAAUGUUGCCUUGGAUUGAGGUACUUCAGGUACUAUUGAUAUCUUGUUGGUAUGUGUUAAUGUAUCUUUAAAUGUCCAAAUUGGUAUGGUUAUUAUGUAUCAAUUAUGUUAUAUUUUGGCAUGAAAACAAGUUAAGUGAAAAUUGUUUAAAUAUGUACAUGUAUUGGUGUUUUGGUUGAUAUUAUAACCAUUAUAUUUUGGCAUGUAAUUAUGACGUUUUGAGUGAUUGAAAUGGUUGUUAGGUUGAUAUAGGUUUGUUUCCUUAUGGUGGUUGAUUUUGUAAUCUUUAUGAUGCUUAAAUGAUGGAAGCUAAAAUGGUAUUUAAACUGUAUGUAAUGAUAUGUUCUUUAACUUGGUUAAAUGUGGUCAUUUUGGUAUAUAGAAUGUAGUUGACAUGUAUGGCUAUUGGUGCUAAUUGUUAAAUGAUAAAUUUGGUAUAUAUGAGUGUGGAUUUGAUAUGUGUUCAAAAUGGUAAGUUUUGGCUAAACUAAGCAUUUAGUUAUACAUGUAUAAUUGUUGUGAUUGGAGGUGCCCAUUAGGCAUAUUGGUUGUGUGAAUAUAUAUACCUUAUUGAUUUAACUUGUUGAUGCACUAUUUGAUGCAUUUUGAAUGCUUAAUUACAUGUGUAAAAAUUAGUUGUAGGUAUGUGCAUGAUUGGGGAAGAAAAAUGACUUGGAAAUGACCUAUUUUUCGUCCACACGGCCAGAGACAUGGGCGUGUGUGACACACAACUAGGCGACACAGCCCUGUAUCCCCUAUAGCUUCCUAAGGGUUGCAAGUCAGGCAGUUACACGGCCUAGCACACGGCCUGGCACACGGGCGUGUGGCUUGGCCGUGUAACCCAAGUUAGAGAGUUACACUGGCACGGACACGGGUUGGGACAUGGUCGUGUGUCCAUACUUUGAAUGUCUACAUGGCCUAAGACACGAGUGUUUGUCUCAGCCAUGUGAGUCAUAUAGCCUAGCCACACGGCCAUGUGACCCCUGCAGUUUGAAAAUUUUCAUCUUUUCCCAAAAAAGUCUAAAUGUUUCCGAUUUAGUCCUGAUUUUUUCUAAUGUGUUUUUACGGCCUCGAGGGCUUGCAUAAGGGAUAAUAUGUAUGUUAUUGAUGGAAUUUGCUAUGAUUGAUGUUGUGAAGUAAAUGAUUUAUAUUUUUUUAUAGUUUUGAAAUGUAAACUUCGGUAAUGCUCCGCAACACUAUUCCGGUGACAAAUACGGUUAGGGGUGUUACAGGAUCUUCCGAUCUUCUACUAGAAUAACGAGUCGACAAGAACUACUUAUCUCUCGACCUCACUGUCCAGACCGAUUUAGGGUUAAGGUGUUCACGGAUAGGUCAUACCAAAUUUGGGUUAAUUCCCACCUUAAUGAAUUCCUAGGGUUUAGGUUCUUCUUUUCCUAAACUGUUGAUCCAUUAAGAAACCCCCACAAAACAAUUAAUUAAUCACUUAACACAUCACACAAUAUACUUUUCAUGAACAACGAAUAGGGUCACUUAGGUUUCUCCUCAAUGGGAUUUUCAACCCUCUUUAUGACUACUUAGCGAACCCGCGCAUAAACAAUUGAUAACAUACUAAUAUAAUAAAAAUAAACACUCAUCAAAUGACGUUAGUUAAAGAUCCCACACCUUGUUUUAUACCUAAAUCAUACGCUCCCUUUGUAGAAGUCUCGCUUGGAUCUAGUCCCAAUCACAAAUCCUUAAUUCGGGCACUCGGAUCUGUUACUCUCACGAUGCCACACUAUUGGUUUCUCAGAGGUUGUUGUUUAGUCCUUCAUAUUACAUGGAGAUUGAAAGUUCAUCUCAAGAAAGCAAUUAUAGUUGAGUCAUUAUCUGAGAAGGAGGGAAAAACAAAGGAAAGGUGAUGUUUCUAUCACUUUGCAUAACUUACACUACUAGAUAGCACAACGAAGUUGAAGAUGAAUCUCAAAGAAAGGUCCAGAGGUUUAACAAUCUACAAUGGAUAAUGUUAUCGGUGAGAUUUGUACACAAGUUGAGUGAAAAGAAUUAAAGAAUGAGUCAAUUAGAACAAAAAGGUGAAAGAAAUAUGAAAGGAUAGGAAAAGAGAAGAAACACCCAAAUCUCGAUGACAAUCAACAUUGAUGACGGCGAUAAUGGCGAUAGUCUGACGAUAGUUCACGAUGGCAACGAUGACAACGAAGGGAAAUGGCAACGACAAGGAAAAGAGGGAGAGAUGAGGGUUGUAGACAGUGGUGAGAUGGUGGUGCAACUAAGGCUCACGGUGGAGGAAUGGAAGCAAAGAUGAAGGGAAAUGGUUUGUGGUUGCCAGAAAGAGAGAAAAUGGUGGAGGAAAAAGUGAAGAAAAUAGAAAAUGGAAGAAAGUAAUGGUGGUGGACGGUUUGGGAGGCCUUUGAGGGUGGUCAACAUCUUUGUUUUGGCAAGAAAAGAGUGUAAGGAAGUAGAGGGAAAAAGGAGAAAAAAGGGGGAUGUGUCUCACAACUUAUGCCAAGUUUGACUUGCUAAAAAAGGAAAAGAAUCCUCUACAUAAGGCACAAAUGGGGGUGGACGGUUGGUAUCUAUUGUACUCAUGGGAAUUGUGCAAAAAUAAAAAUAGAACAAGGGAGCAAGGGUAUUCAAACCAGGGACCUCUAGGAUAUUUAAGGAGCUUCCUACCACUAAAACACUACAUUUCCUUGUUUUUACUAUUGUGCAAUUAAUUUAAAACAUAGUAGAUGACAGUAACACUCUUGUAUAAUUAAUUGAAAAUAGUAAGGAGGUGUAGUAAGCUUGGUCAACAGUGACCAGGUUCAAUGAAUCAUAGCAAAUAGGCGAUAUAAGAAGUUUUGGCAAUGGAGGGAGACAUGGAGUGAAAAAGGGGAUCAUGUUACCUCAACAUAUGGUAAGUUUGAGUCAUAAAGAGGGAAAGGAAUCCUCCUAAACAUGGUAACAAUGGGGUGGAUAGCAAGCACAUUAUGUACAUGGAAAUUGUGUUAAAAAUUAAAUAAAAACUGAGAAUAAGGAGACUUGAACUUAAGACCACUACAAUGGUUUAAGAGCACUUAGAUACUUGACCACUUCACUUCCUUCUUAUCAUUUUAACAGAAAAUAUUUAAAAACAUGGAUGACCUUUGCUAAGGUUUGAGGUAAAAUUGUACCAUAUAGAACAUAAUGUAAGGGUAGGGAUUCAAACACAAGUUAUCAAGGACAGCUCCGCCACUACUCAACCACUAUACUUGAUAUCUAUUAAUAUCAAAAUAUAUUUAACAUAAAUAAAUAAAAUUUGGGCAACCACUCUCUUUGUUCAUUAAUCCAAUUUCUACUAAUCUGAUUUUUGGAAUGUGACAUUUUUCCUUAAUGGUAGAUGGUCUGGCUGGUUCACAACAAACAUACACGCAUAUUACUUAAGUUGAACAAGACAUACAAAACCCAUGCAAUGCGAACCUAAACAAUCACAUCCAAUAAGAUAGAGGCUUACCCUGAUAGGUACGAACUGAACUUAUAGCAAAGACUUUGACGGUAGAAUAUUCGGUGAAUAAUUUCACGGAAUUAAGGGUCGUAUUUAUAGAUCUAUGAGUCCUGGUAAUCUUUGGAUACCAUACUUGACUUACGAAAGAUGUUACUUGUAUGUAAAGUGGUCCUAAAUAAACUAAAUCUCUUUUUCCUAAUUUGAGGCUGAUUGUAUCUUUGAUUGGCAAACCCCAGUUUGCAAGUUAACUCGUAAACCCCAGUUCGCAACUUACCUGAUGAACCCCAAUUCAACAAAUAGAUUAGUGAAUCCCUGUUUGCCACCACAUCAGUAAACCUGCCUCAGAGAGAAUCUAGUGAAACCCUUACCACAUCAUUAUGUAUAUAAUGCUACUGGCGAACCCCAAGGUCGCCUAAACCUAGUCAAACACCCAAUUUGCCAGAACAUUUGUGAACCUUUCACGUGCAAGGCCAAAACAACUAGGCCCAUCUAUGGGGUGUUACAAUCUCCCACACUUAAUACAUUUCGUCCUUAAAACAUGAUUUGAUGAUGAUUAGUGUAUGUAUGUCUUAAAACAUGUGAAAUGUGAAGAAUAACAUGUGUCGGCUUUAAUAAAAUGAAUAUUGUAAUGUACAAGUAAUGAGACAGUGGAAUGACAUAUUUAUAUCCGAGUUCAAUGAUCGGGCCGGGUAUAGGGUGCUACAUUUCUCCACUUUCUAGCGAACAUACCUAGCUUGCCCUUACUUCGGCGAGCUCAACCUAGCUUUGAUACCAACCAAUGUAACACCCCAAACUCAACCUAAAAGUUUUUCCUCGAAUUUAGCAAGCUACAUUAGCCAUCAAAAUGACUCUCCGUUGACUCCCAACCUAACCUCCAACACACCACUUAAGUCUUAAUAAAAGUUGCGCUAACUUAAAACAUGACAGCGGUAAUAGAAAACAAACAUGCGAGCUUCACAAACAAACAUAAGUAGGUUUGUAUGCCUCAUAACAACAUAGUUCACAUAACAAGAAAACAUGUGAGUUCACAGUUCAGUUUAAGGCAUAGGCUCGCAUACUUAUCUGACUUCACAUGAAAUCACAUAAUACAAGAGUUCGCUUAGCAACAAUCAACAUAAGUUUGCAAAGUACACAUGAUCUCAUAGGAUUACAUACAAAGGAACAAGUUCGCUAAAUAUGAACUAUUGCAAUCAUAAAGAACAUGCAUGCAAGGGUUAUUAUAUUUCAACAGGGUUCACAUGCAUAUAUGGGUUUGCAUAUCGUACAAGUGGUUCACAUGUAAUAAAAUAAUCAUAAUAGGGGUACGCAUGUAAUUAAGGUUCGUAUCACUUACACGGGAUCACGUAUAUUUAUGGGAUCGCAGAGCCAGGGCUACGCAUGUAAAUAUGGCACGCAACAUGCGGUAAAUCUUAAUCUUAAAUCUAGCUAGUUUGUAAAUAAAACACAGUACUCUCAUGCAUGGAUAACAUUAAAUUUAUUUAUAAAAUAACAAGUACUUUAAACAUGGUUCACAAAUCAAUGCACUGAGAAUUUAGACGUAACUAAAUAGUUUAAACAUCAAAUAUUUUUUCAUAUUCAUUAAGUAUGAAAUAUAAUAUUUAGUUUUAAACCCAUAAUAAUAAUCUCAUCACCUUUAAACUAGGUUCGCCAACAUAUGCUUAGGAGUGCACCUCACCACAUCAUCGAACUUGCCAAUGCUAAUUUGCCACCUACUUACCUGAGAAGAAGUAAGAGAAGAAUGGGUGUGUUUAUUGUGAACUCAGUGAACAAUAAAAAACAUUAGGAUAUGUUUUAGAAAUAGAUACUUUAAAGAAAAUAAACUUUGGUCUUGAAAGCAUUUCGCGUGCACGAUUCGCGGGUGAAGUUGCGAGACCUAGUUUGCACAUUCUGUCAGAAAACAUAACUUUGUAAAACAAUUUUGAAAACUCAUUAGUCUUUUCUUAAAACAUACUCGACAGGGCUUACCUUAAAAUUGCAAGGCUUAUUUUGUUUAUCAAAAACCUUUUAGAAGCUAUGGGUUCGCCCUAAAAUCGCAAAGCCAACUCGUAUUUUUCAGAAAAACCUUUUCUUUGAACAGGGUCUUCCUUAGCUCAGAAGACCGGUUCACACUGAUAAACAGAGUCUGCCUUAGGCCGAAAGACUAGCUCGCCACUUUGUCUUAUUGUAUAUAAUCCAACCGAACUUGUAGAGGAGCACGCACUUUGAGACAUAUCACACUAGUUCGCAUAGAGCUUGGCUCAUUGAGGAGCACAUUCACUCAAGCUCGUAUGAGGAGCUUCGUUGAUACACAAAUUGUCAUUUAAACUCAUGUGGGGAGCAUCACUAAUACACAACUUGUCACUUCAGCUCAUGUGGGGAGCUUCGUUGAUACAUAGCUUGUCAUUUAAGCUCACGUGGGGAGCUUCGCUGAUAAAUAGCUUGUAAAACCAUUUAUGAAAACAUUCUUUUUAAACCUUAGCUCGUAUAGGAGCUCGCACAAAAAUGUGCUUUAAGACUCCUAUUUUCAAUCUGUAUUUGAAAACAAAGGUUCGUAGCUUUAAAACAUAUCGUUUCAGAAAAAUUACCUUUGAAACUUAUUUCAGAAACAUAAUUCUUAAAGAAAACAUAUCAGUAUAAACUAAACAACAUGAUAGUUAACAUAUUCCAAAUAAUUCCAGACCACUCACUAAAAAAUGAAGAAACUUAAACAAGUUUAGCUUUGCCUUUUUCCUUAGUGGUAGAAGGUUCGGCUGGUUCGUAACAAACAUAAACACAUAUUACUUAAGUAGAACAAGACAUACAGAAUUCAUGCAAUUCAAACCUAGACAAUCACACCCAACAAGACAGAGGCUUGCACUAAUAGCUACGAACUGAACUUAAAGCAUAGACUUUGACAGCAUAAUAUUCAGUGAAUAAUUUCACAAGAUUAAGGGUCGUAUUUAUAGACCUAGGAGUCUUGAUAAUCUUUGGAUACCUUACUUGACUUAGGAAAAAUGUUACUUACAUGAAAAGUAUUCUUAAAUGCACUAAAUCUCUUUUUCUUAAUUUGAGUUUGAAUGUAUCUUUGACUGAUGAACCCCAGCUCGCAACUUACCUGGCGAACCCCAAUUCACCAAUCAAACUGGCGAACCCCAACUUGACAACACAUUAGCGAACCUGCCUCGUAGAGAAACUAGCGAACCCUUUACCAUAUCAUCAAGCAUACACUACUAUUGGUGAACCCCCAGCUCAUCUAAGCCUUACUGAACACCCAGUUAGCCGGAACACUGGCGAACUUGCGAGGCCAAAAUUUUCAAGCUCAUCUGUAGGGUGUUACAUAGAUUGACUAUGUGGUUCCAAAACUAUGUUAUGCAUGUUUGACAUCAUUUUGUGCCUUGGGAUGACCUUUAUUAAGUUUAUGUUUUUAUAUGUUGUAUAAGGAUUUGAAUGAUAAAUCUUGAUUUCCAAAAGUGUUUAGGAAUGAUAUGGAAUGAAUGGUGAUAGUUUGGACUUGAUAUUUGGAGAUUUAGAUUUGUAUUAAAUAAUCUAUUUGCAAUGUUGCAACACCAAAAGCUUAUGUUGCAAAACUGGGAGCAAUCUGGUUCCCAUAUCGUUACACCACUAGUUGAUAUCAUGACACUAGGUGCAAACUAGCCUCAGUGUUGCGUCAUCAACUUACCAAUGUCGCGAUAUUGACAUUGUUUACCCUAUUUUGACCCAAAAAGGGCCUAAUGGUCCUUGUUUGCAACCAAACUUUAAAGAAAGUUUAGAAAUAACUUUAAUAACUUCAAAUAAGAUUAAAUAUGUUAAAAUAAAGUGUUUAACUAAAUAUUCAAGUUAAGUGAUCAUCGUGUUCAAAAGUGAUAUUCUUUACUUGAGAUAUUGAUUCAAUUCGAGUAAGGGGUGUUACACUCCAUACACAUAAAAAUACAUCCAAAAUUAAUAUCUAAACUUUCUAAGGUUUCUCAUAAUAAUCAAACACAAAUUUCAUGCUUGGAGAGUUGGAAAAACACAAUUCUUACCUAGUUGAAGCUUUUUCUUUCAAGCUUCAUUUUCUCACACUAAAACCUUUCAAACCUUAAGUUGAAAAUGAUGGUGGAAACCAUGUAGGAAGGUUUAUUUCCAAGUGAUUUUAUUAGAACCACAAAGUUUAAUUAUUGGGUCUUUAGGAAAUUUGGAGAGAAACGUAAAAGGAAAUGAAAGAAAAGUGAUAAAAGAGCUCCCAUUGAUAUGACUGACUACAAGGUUGGUUAGGGGUGUUUAUCAUCCCUUUUUUUAUCCAUUUAAAACUAAAAAAUGUCUCUAGUCAAAAUUGGUCCAAGUCAACAUAUAAAUUUGUUUCCCACAAUUCAUCAUACUAAAGUAACCUCUUUCAAAGGCUCAUGUUAAUCCCAAAUAUCAAAUUUAUUAUCCAAAUAACAUUUACAUUAUAAAAUUCUUAAGAAAUCAACAAAAUACUCUUGUAUAGCAAAAUUAUCAUUUAGCCUCUUUUUGAAUCUUUUUACAAUCUUUAAUAUAAAUCUAUGGAGGGUGAAAAUUACAUCGUUUCCCUUUGCUCAAUAAAACUAAAAAUUUUACAAUUUAAUCCCUGCACUUUUCAAUCUUUCCAAUUUUAACCUCAAAAGUGAUUUUCAUCAUGCCAAUGCAUAUUUAAAUAUAUGCUUAUGCUAAAUCAUCAUUAAUAAUUGGUUGUUCCCAGUUUGAUUAAAUUUACACUUUAGUUAUUAAACUUUCCAAAAUUUGCGAUUUGGUCAUUUUUCAUGUUUUCACUUCUAAAAUUCUUUUAAUGGAUUUUUUCCUUCUCAAUUAUCAAUUUUUCUUCCAUAAGAUUCUUUUAUUCAACUCAUUUUCCAAAAUUUCUUGUUUAUUUACUAUAUAUGCAACCGCAAUAGUGUCACUCGUCAUAUAAAAAAUGUUGGGAUGUUACACUAAAUUUCUUGUGAGAUUACACACAUAAGUUGAAACAGAAAAAAAAAUAUGAAUUUUAUUAGAAAACCUUAAAGCAACAUUGGUUUUCAAAUUAAAUAUGGAUUUCAUUUAAAAAGUGUCGUUGUGCUGAAAAGUUUGCAUGAUGAAUAUCAUUUGUUUCUUAUGUACAGAAGAAAAUCUAUAGAACUAAUAACUGCUCUUCAGCCUCAGCAAUCUUUCUUGAUUCCUAAAUUCUCUGAUCUCAUUGAACAUUUAGAACCUAAGGCAACAUUUUAUUUUCUUUUUAAUGAAAGCUAUAAGAAAAAGAGGUACAACUUUCAAAAUAAAAGUUGUUACAACAAUAUUUAUGGUGCUAUUUUUAGUUAUUAAAAUUUAAAUUUAAUUAUGAUUUAAAUUCUAAUUUACAAUAGCUUUAUAAUUAUUAAAAGUAAAAAGAUAAUUAAUGUUAACAAUUUUAUCUUGAAAAAAUGUAAAAGAGAUAAUUUUACAAGUGUUAUGAAUAUUUUAUUAAGUGAAUGUUCAUCAAAAUCUAGAUAUGUUUUGAUACUUUAAAUUCUAGUAGUCAUUAGAAGUAGAGUUUUAUUUUAUUUAUACUUCUUAUGCCUAUAAAUAGAGACUUUGGAGAAGUAUCGUAAAUAUUCUGAUUGAUCAAAAAAAUACACUCUCUUUUUUGCUCUCCUAUUUUCUUUAUUCUUUAGUUUUUGUCUUUUUAUUUUAUAACACGUUAUCAGCACGAUUCUCUUUUAUUUUAUAAUGCAGUCACUCUAAAUCUGUUGCUCAAGUUGUUGUCGAUUCCUUUCUAGAGCUAUUGCAAUUUCAGUCUUCAAUUAAGGCCUUCGCACUAUGGGUAAUCAUUUUCUAAAGUAAUUUAUAUAAUCCUUGCGUGGGUGAUGGCGAUGAUGCUAAAGAUCUUUAGGCAUAUUUUACUAUGAUUUAUUUAGUAUAUCAUGUUUGUUAUAAUUGGAGACUAAUCAUGACAACACGAAUAGAUAGAUUUUGAUUUGAAAUCCAUGUAUGUGCAUUUAGAAGUCUGUCCAACUAGAUUUGUUGCAUUCCCCGAAACGAAUGCAAACAUAAAGAAAAUAAAAAGAUAUAAUCAUGGACCACUAAAAGUGGGAACAUAGUAAUAAAUAAGAGAACAAUGAGAGUUCUCAAGAUAAUUAUUCAAGGGUUAAAGAUAACUUAUGUUAUCAAUGUGAUAUGAAAGAUUAUUGGCUACAUAUAUGGCGUAAGCUCAAAUAUUUUGUUUUUGUUAAUAUUCUUUGAGGAAUUAUAUAAGAAUGUAGUAAUAAAUUCUAUCAUUGCAGAUAGAAAAUAUUUAUCUUAUUUGGUACUGAAACAAAUAAAUAUUAUUUCAAUAUUUGAUAGUACAAAAUUAGUUGAAAGCUCUACAAGAGCUAAUAUAUCAGCAUCUAAAAAGCACAAAAUUCGUGGUGGUUAAUUCAUUAGUUUUAAGAGAUAUUCAUUAUAACGGAUAUCAUGUUGAGAUUGUGAAUAAAUAAAAUAUUAUAUUUCAUAUGAAUCACUAUUGCUAUAAAUAUCUAUUUUGAAAUGAUGAAAAAAAAGGGAGGAUUAAGUUAUUGAUUUGAUUUGAAGAUUUUGGCAUACUCCCUGAAGCGAAUAUUGCAUAUAAUUGUUUGGAAAUUAUAUUUAUUUUGUUAACUUAGUGGCAUUACAAACUUCACAUUGAUUUAUACAUUUCCAGUAGUAAAUGCCACAAUAAUACUUAUAUGUGGAUAUAAAUUACAAGGAAUGAUAGUAAAAUUAUCAAUUUGUCACAAUUUAUAUUGACAUUAUUAGUACAAUUGAAAUGCAUGUUAAAGUAAACAAGAAGUUUACUGAUACAAAUGCAUUUGCUAUUUGAUGUGACCAGUUAGACAUUCCUGGAUCAUGUAUGAUGCGAAAAUUAAUUGAGAAUUCACAUGGGCAUUCAUUAAAGAACCAGAAGAUUCUUUAAUUUAAAGAAUUCUCAUUUGUUGCUUGUUCUCAAUGAAAAUUGCUUAUUAGAAACUCACUAGCCAAAGUUGAGAUUUAAUGUCUUGUAUUUCUAAAACGAAUAUGGGCUCAUUCAUCCACCAUGUGCAUAGUUUUGAUAUUAUAUGAUUUUGGUAGAUGCAUCUACAAAAUAAUCACAUAUGUGUUAUCAACUUGCAACCUGUCAUUUGCAAGAUUGCUUGUUUAAAUAAUUAAUUUCAUAUUAUGCAAUUAAGACAAUUCAUCUUGCUAAUACUGAUGAGUUUAUAUCUCAAUCUUUUAUUGAUUGUUGUAUAUGAGUUUGAAAAAAAUUCGUAAAAGCUUGUUAUUUAUGCGCAUAAUGGUUUAGAGAAAUUAUUGAUUGAACGCAUUUGAUUAAUAUCUAAACUAUUACUUAUGAGAAAUAAACUUCCUAUUUUAACAUGAGAUUAUGUUGAUUUAUGUGUUGUAUGCAUCAAGUCAAUAAGUUAUAAAUACUCCCCAUUACAAUUGGUUUUUAAUCAAGAGUUAAAUAUUUCUCAUCUUUGAAUUUUUGUAUGUUCGUAUAUGUUCCAAUUGCUCCACUACAACGCACAAAGAUGAGUGAAUCCUCAAAGAAAGUUGGGAAUAUAUAUUAAUUACAAGUCUCCUUGUAUUGUUUGAUGUUUUGAAUGUAUUGGAGAUUCAAUUAUGACAUGAUUUGUGAUUACUAUUUUGAUUCGAUAGUUUUCCUGACAUUAGGGGGAGAGAAAUAAUAACUUGUAAUGAGUUAGGGGGGAGAGUAAUUUGAACCAAAAGUUCAAUAAGGAUAACUCAUUACAAGUUCCAAAUAUGAAAAUUCUCAUAAAAGAAAAUAAUAAAUCUAGAUGGUCAUAUGGUGAAGGCGGUGCUCCAAAAGAGGCCCAAGACAUAACUAAUAAGUAAAACUUCAGAAGAGAUUCAGGUACCUGAAAUUGAAGAUUAAAAUAGUGAAAAUAAGAUAUCUCAAUAAGUUAUGUCAAUUAGAGAAAAUGUGGAAUCGAUAAUAAAACUGGUCGACAAUGAUUUUGCAUGCAAUAGUAUUGUUGAAAUAAUGAAAUAAAAGGAGAAUCUUGGAUAAAUCCAUUGAGAAAUAUAGAUAUGGAAUAGAUUGGUCAAAAUAGAAAGACACAACUCAAAUUCGUGGAGUUUUUAGACCAGCAGUCCAAAUAUCUAAAGGUAUAAAGAGUGAGGAUACAAAUGAAGUAGUUUUACAAAAACUCAAUAAAAUAUGAAGUUCUUCGCUAAGCUCGAGAUUGAUUAUGAAAAGAUAUAAUAUUAUUUUUUGGUGGAUACAAUAACCUUUAGACAUAUUAUUAAACUGGCAAUUCAUUAAAGAUUUAACUUGCAUCUAAUGGUUGUUGUUACAACUUUUUAUGAAUCACUAUAUAGUAAAGUUUAUAUUAAGAUCCCUGAAGGAUUUAGAAUGCUAGAAGUAUAUUGGAAUUCUUGGAAAAUUGUUCAUUUAUAUAAAUUGAAAUAAUUUGAACAUAUGUGGUAAAUUUGACUUAGUGAAUAGUAGUUGAAUGAGGAUUAUAAAAUGAUCCAAAAUACCUAUUUGUGUUUUUAUAAAAGAAUCAUGAUUAAAAUUUUGCUAUGAUUAUUAUUGAAACUCCUAAAGAGAUCAAAAUAUAUUUCUUCAAAUUUUCCCUCACUCAUGACUUUCAAAAGAAUGGUGAUAUAAAUGCUCAUUUGAAAAGCUAGUAUUCAAGAUUGAAUACAUAGAAUAUGAGAAAUUAUGUGAUGUUUUAAUAAGGGGGAGUAAAUACGCGUUGUACUCUUUCUCCCUUAACCGAGGUUUUGUCCCAGUGGGUUUUCAUGGUAAUAUUUUUAAUGAGGCAGCAUAUUAUACGUAUUAUCGAUAUGUGUACUUUUUUUUUCUUCACUAGCAUUUUUUCCUAUAGGAUUUUUAUCUUAAUAAGAUUUUAAUGAGACACAUUAUUUACAUAUGGACAUUCAAUGGGGUAUUAUUAAUAUUUUAUUAAGUGGAUGUCCAUCAAGAUCUAGAUAAGUUUUUAUAUACUUUACAUUUUAAUAGUCAUUAGAAGUAGAGUUCUGUUUCAUUUAAAUUCUUAUGUCUUUUUAUUUUAUAACAACAGGUAAAUAAUUUUAUUCAGAUUAUCCUUUUUUUAAUGUGAUAAUUAUUUUUAAAAAUGUUUAUGUUAAAAUAAAUAUUUAAGUUAAAUUAGAUGGAUAAAUUAUUCAAUUAUUAUUUUUAUUUAAUUUAUCUAAAUUUUAAAAAAUCUAAUGAAUAGAUAAAUCAUGUCAUUUUCUUUUAAAAUAUGAUAAUUGAUUAUAGAAUUUGUAUGUUUAAAUUAAAAUUAGAUAAUAAUAUAAAUAAUAAAUAAAUAUUUAAAUAAAACUAAAUGGAUAAAUUAUCUAAUUAAUUUUUAUUUAAUUAAUAUUUAUCUAAAAAAGAAAAAGAAAUAGAUGCGACACUUGUUGCAAAUUUAGUGUAUACCUUAUUUAGAUUUUACAUACUUGUUUCAUUUAUUUGUGAUGCAUAGGUUAGUUGCAUGUAUAAAUAAAAAAUUGAUUGAGAUCAUAAAUUUUAUAUAAAUAUAUAAAAACAUUAAAUAUAAUAUUUAUAGUACCGGACAUCUGAAUAAACUUAAGUAAUUGUCAUCAAAUGGUAUAUUUUAACUUAAUUGUGAUUAUAUUUAAUUUACUUUUUUUUUUACUUUAAACGAUUGGUAUAUUUUAAAUUAAUUAUGAUUAUAUUUAUAGGAAUAAAAUAUUCCAAAAUGUCAAAACAAGCAUAAUUUUUUUUUCAAAAUUUAGAUAAUAAUUUAGAAUUUAUUUAAUAAAAUUUAGGGGUUUUAACUAAAAUAUAUUAAAUUAAUUGUUUUUAAAAUCUAAUAGAUUUAAAAAAAAUUAAAUAACAUUAAAAUAAUAAUAAAAGUAAGAAUUAACGUUUCAUUCAAAUUAUAUUAAAUUGAAUUACAAAAGCAUAUUAUUAUAGCAUAACAAAUAAAUAAAUUUAAUUCUACGAAUAAUUAUUUUAGUUGGGAUACGCCUUGAAUGUUAAGAGAAGAAAAGCAAUCUUUUAAUUAAAAAAAAAACCUUGAAACUCUAAUUGCAUAUAUUUAAGCGUAAAUAAACUUUUGUAUUAAUUUUGAAAUUUUUAAUCUGAUGAAUAAUAAACAUUAAAUAAAAAAAUCGUACAUAUUUAUUUUUAUAUUAUUACAUUGUAUAUUUUUAUAUUAUUUAUUUUCAAUAUUUUUCUAAAUUAAUGAAAUUCCAAUAACCUAAAUUAGUUUUAAAUGAUUAUUUAUCCAAUAAGUCAUGAACAUCAAUUACAAGUACUAAUAUUUUAAAUUGAUGAUUAGCAUUUUAAAAUCUCCAAAUUUAUCCGCCAAACAUAGCCUAUUAUUAUUAUUAUUAUUAUUAUUAUUAUUAUUAUUAUUACUAUUAUUAUUUAGCCAAUCUAAUUUUAAUCUAAAAAAAUGAAUUUCUCUACCUUUUUUAUUUAAUAAUUGAAGUCCAACUAAUAACACAAUAAGAAAAUUAAUAAUUGGAUUAUGUGACAUUUUUAAAAUUUUAAAAAAAGUUAAAUAAACAAAUAAAAAAGUUAAAUCUAGAAUUUCCUUUUUCUUUUUUUUUAAUAAAAAAUGCUACAUAAUAUAAUACAACAACAGUGCUUUAAUAAUGCUAUCAAAAGAGUAGAGAGAUCUAGGAUCAAUCUAGGAAUUUUAGAAACUAAAUUUGAAAUGAGUAAAGUGUAGAAAGACGGAAUGCAGAUCAACUUAAAAAUAAAAGGAGACCUAAAAAAAAUUAAAUUAACAAACAAAAAAAAAAGGACAGAUGUAGUGUACCUAGACUGAUAAAAGCAAAAGACAAAUUUCAGAGGAAAAAGAAAUCGGAAUAUAUAUAUAUUAUAUCUUAGUUUUGUCUAUUAACUACCACAAAUUGCAACAUGCUCAAUGUUUUACUUGAAACUGGCGAAUUUUGCCUUCAAAAGUAUGGACCCUACAUCCUCUGCGACUUCUAAAAGUACAAUCGCUAGAAAUGUACAUCCAUGAUUGUGUAGAAUAAAUAAAAGAAUGACUACCAUAUAUAUCCAUGAUGCAAUUGUGGCAUCAGAUAAGAUGUCCAGAGGAUUGAAGAUCACACGCUUCGUUAUAAAACGGUUCCGAGUAGCCAUAUAUGCAGGAGAAGACAAUAGGCAAUGAGGCCUAGCCUUGCUCUGGGACGACUGCUUAGAACCUGACCACCGGAUACCCUGCACCAAUUAAAAACAUAUGUAUGAUCAUUACAAAUUAUUCAAAUACAUGGUAAGCAUUAAGAAAGCACUUGAUAAUUCGCUCUUAAGAAAAGAAAAUUUCCCUUUUCAAUAUGAUAAUUUGGGUAGAGGAUUUUACCAGAUUCCAUCGACUCGAUCUGCAAUCAACUUUCCUUGUUUUGGGAUGAGACCCGAUGUGUUGAGGGAGUUGAACGAACGACCUGUCAAAAAGAGAAACGACCGUAUGCUUAAGUUUUGCAAGUUAGAGGCUUGUACAAAUAAGAAGUUAUUUUUCUAAGAAAGAAAAAAAUUGUAGAAUGCCAACAUUUCUGCUUAUCAGUUUCCUUGCUGUUGAUCAAGCGGUCAGCUUCUGAGUCAAUAUUAAGUGCAAGAUGGUCAGUUGAUCCUUUUCGCAUGGUUCUGACAUGGGCAGCUAAGGGCGCAGAAGAUAUUGGGUUCUUUCCAAAUGAUCCCUGCAGAAGCAUCAAUAAAGUAAAUUAGAAUUAGUAAGAGCAGAGUUUUUCUUUUCAAUGUCUUUGUAAAGUUAAGCAGUCUACUGAAAGUACAAUAUGUUACAUGAUUACAUGCAUUGAAAAGUCUAUAACUAACACCCAACUUUUUUUUCUAUUCAUCAUUGCUAUAUUUGUCAUCACAACCACAAAAUAAUUCAAUCAUUUUCCACACUAUUUCAUCAAACAUGUCUGCGCAAUGAUUUCCUUGAUUCACCUGCCUCCAUAUUCACACGCAAUUUCAAUGGGAAUUCUCAAAUCCUCAUCUACAGUUAUGAUAUAGUAAUCUCAACAAAAAAAGAUAGAAUAUCCAAGCAUCACUUGAAAAUGUUCUAAUAAUUUGAAUAUAUAUAAUAUGAAGGAUCAAUGAUUAGGCUCAUGAAAAAUUCAAUAUUACGGUCACCAUACAGCCAUAGAAGUUUUAGGUCAGAGAACUAUAUCUGUCAAAGCAAUGGUACUGCAAUAAUGAAGCACAUUCAUUAACAAAAAAGUUGAUCUAUUGCAUUGAUCUAGAACUAAAGAACCAUCAAUCCGUUUAAAUUUGAACCUGUCACUAAGAGAAAAUCAGAGGUCUAUUUAAACUGCCACGCAUAUAGUAAAUCUUCUAAACAAAAUUAUCCUAUACAAUUUACUCAAAUCAAGCCUAACUCUUUAUGUUAUACACAUGAUUUAAAAGCUUCUUAGACAGUUAGAUCCGCACAAAAUUUAAGUCGGAAUAAAAACUCAAAUGCUAAUUUAACAAAAUGUAUCAAACCAUAAAGUUCAUGGUGACAAGGUAAGUUAAUAAAAUUGAAUUAACUAUAUAGAUGCAGAAGGUGUAAAAGAAAAUUAUUUACCAGAUCUUCAAUUUCAGAUAUUUCAGACCCAGUGGAUGCAGAAGGUGCUUCAAAGAUGCUCCUUUCCUGGACAACCUCAGGUGGAACAGUCCUACCCUGUAUAGAAUCUUCAAGUAACUUAACCUUAGUUGACAAUUCAUUCACGACCUUUUGGCUUCCAGCCAACUUGGUACCAAGUUCCUCUGCUUUGGAUUUUGAAGUUUUGGCCUCCAACAGGAAUGCAUUAACCUGCUUUUCUAGAACAGGCAAAAGCACUUUCAUACCAACAGAAUUUUGGCCUCCAAUGAACUCCUUUCCUCCCAACACAACAAUAAUCUUUUCCAAACCAAAUGUAACCUCAGACAGCUCCAUUUUCAUAUGUUCCAAGUCUGGCUUGUUUCUAACAUGUGUUUCAAUUUCUCCUUUAAGAUGCUGAAUUUCAAAAUUCUGUCUUGAAAGGUAGACUGCAGUUCUUCCUUUUCAUUAGAGAGCAAAUUUAUUCGAUUCUGCAAAUCAGUGAAACUACCAAUAACAGAAAACAGUUUCUUAACAUCAGCAGAGAUAUGGGGCUCCAGGUCUUCAGACUCCACAAGAGGAAUUUCAAUCCCACUUAACAUUUCCAUCAAAGUUCUUAAUUGAGAUGCUGACAACAGAGGCUCCUCAGCUUCUGCAACAAUAAAAAUUCAACUUAAUAAAGAUUAUUGACAAUUAAACAUCAAGUGCACAAGAGUAACGAAGUGCGAGGGGAAACAUUUACCUUUUACUUUCAUUAACAAACUAUUGUACGAUGACAAAAGUUCUGCCUCCUUUUCCUUCCAUCUGUCUUCUUUGGCUUGAUAAUCCUCUAUCUUAAGCCUCAUUUCUCUGCAUGAACCUUCCAAUCCUUCUACAUCACUCUCCAACUUGAAAACCCUGCUUUGAGAUUCAUCUCUUUGUUCAAUUGUUUUCUGCAACUCUAUUUCUAUAUUCUUUUUACCAGUUUCCAUCUCGUUUUUCUCUCCAGCAAGUUGAGCCAAAUCAUUUUUCACUGUAUUCAAUGCGUCUUCAAGUAAUUUCAUAGUUGCUCGGGCCUCUGCUAACUUGCCAGCCAGGAUGCUAGCCUCUUCCUUCACUUCCCUCAACUCUUGUUCAGUCUGUUUCUUGGCAGUCUGACAAUCAUAAAUAUACUCAGAAAGCAAGUUCAGCUUCUGUACAGGCUCUAGAAAUGCUGAGUCAACUGGAAUAACAAUGCAAUUAAUAGAUUCAACUACCGUAUGCAAUCUUCUAUUGCUCUCAAACAAUAACUUUUCAAGUUGAUCCUUCUCCUCUUUCAUAGAUGCAAGGUUGCUCUCCAACUUCAGGCUGCGGUCUAAAUCAGCAGACAAAGAACUGAUCUGCUCCCCGCACUCAGCAAAUCUAGAUUCCUCCUGUUGUAACUCAAGCCUCAACUUCUCAAUUUCUGACAUUUUUUCCUCCAUAAGAACUUUCAAUUUUUCCCGAUCUUGAACCAAUCCCUUCCCUUUCUUGACUGCCAUUGAUAACUUCUCCUUCAACAGACCAGAUUUCUCCUCUGAUUGUUCAAGACCUUUUUGCAGAACAUCUUUCUCCUCCUUCAAUGCAAAAAGUUCCUGAGAAGUUACUUUGAACUGAUUUGACAGAUCAUUCAGUUGUGACCUCACCAACAUAUCUUCUUCCAGAAUUUCCUCACAAAGCAUCAACUCCAGACCCCUAACAUACAAAAGACUUUGAAAAUUUUCAAAAUGAUCUUUAUCCACAAAAGGAGUCUCCAAAGAUGCACUUCGUUCCUUUAUCUUCUCUAAGCACCUAUAUAUUAGCCCGGGUAGAUUAGAAGAAGCCUCUUCAGUCCCUUCUUGUUCACCUAUCACUAUUCCAGAACCCUCUACCAACAACUGGACCAUCUGGUCUUUCUCUAAUGAAAGUUGAUGGACCUUCUCAACUACUUUUUCAUAUUUACUUGUGAGAUCGUCCAACUCCUUUUGAACAUAUUCUUGUUUAAAGGAUUCCUUAUGCUUGAUCAUACUUUUUACCUCAUCCUCUAUGGCCUGUAAUUUUUUUAACAGGGUUGCUAUUGACUCAUCUAGGAAGCUUGAAAAGCCCUCAAACCUAUCUGCAAGGAUUUUGUUUCGCAUCUGAAACCCUUCAGUAACUCUUCUAAAACAUAAAGAAACAUCAAGAGCAUUUAUUGCAUUUGCUUCAUCAUUCUCCAUUUCAAUGUUUAAAGUAUUAUCAAUAUCAUCAGAAAAUUGUCUCAGCAGGCUAGCAAUAUCCUGUGAAAAUUGGAAGAGAAAUUUAGUAACAAAGUCUUCACUCAUUCAGGAAAUUGUGGAAAAAUGGUGAUUCAAUGUCCAGAAGGCAACAAGCUAAAUGAAAAUGUGAAGUUUGACAUCACCUCACUGAAUGGGUAACCUUGCUGCAGUUUCAAAUCCUUGUCAAACAAAUACUCCCUUACCUUACAUUUUUAAUGGUAAGAUCCAUAUCUUUAAGGCGCUCCGUAUUCCUGUCAAAGCAUUGUCUCAUUGUAGACAACAAACUUUGGUCUUUGGCAAGCAUUUGAAGAUUGUUGAGAUGACCAAUCAACUCCAUUGAUCUGCUUGCUAAGUUGCCACUGCUUCCAGCCAACUCUUCCAUGCAUACGUUCAGUUUGGAAUUAAGAGUUGACACCUCCUGAUCAGCAGUUCUUUUUUCACCUAGAAGUGCAGAAAAGUCAUUUUCUGCCUUAGCCAACACAUUGUCCAGCAAUUUUAUGGUUAUGCCAGCAUCUUUCAGCUGGCUAGUGUGUGUAUCAGUUUCAUUUUUUAGUUUCUUCAGCUCAUUGUCCAAGUUGGUUAUUUCCACUUGUGCAUUGUUAUUUUGUUCAGUUAGUGAAGCAACAGUCUUCUCUGCCAGAGAAAGUGCAUUUUCAAGUGUAGUUAUAGUGUUAUAUGCCUCUGCGAGUCUGCUGGUCUGAAUAGCAAUUUCCUCUCUCAUUUUCUCCACUUCCAUAUCUGAAGCAGAUUUGUUACCUUGGACAUCCUCUUUCUCAGUGAUAAGCACUGAAGUUUUAUUUUCUGCCUGUGACAACGCCUCUUCAAGUGACUUUCUAGCGUCGCAAGCCUCUUCAAGUAAACGAGCUUCUUCAAUUGUUUUCUGCAACUCUAUUUCUAUAUGUUUUUUAUCAAAUUCCAUCUCCUUCUUCUCUUCAGCAAGUUGAGACAAAUCAUUUUUCACAACAGCCAAUGCAUCUUCAAGUAAUUUCAUAGUUUCUUGGGCCUGGGCUAACUUGCCAGCCAGGUUACUAGACUCUUCCUUCACUUCCAUCAACUCUUGUUCAGUCUGUGUAUUGGCAGUCCGACAAUCACCAAAAUACCCAGCAAGCAAGUCCAGCUUCUCUACAGGCUCUAGAAAUUCUGAGUCAACCGGAAUAACAAUGCGAUCAAUAGAUUCAACUACCCUUUGCAAUAUGCUAUUGCUCUCAGUUAGGAACUUCUCAAGUUGAUCCCUUUCUUCUUUCAUAGCUACAAGGUUGCUCUCCAACUUCGGUACACGCUCUAAAUCAGCAGACAAAGUAUUGAUCUGAUCCCUGCACUCAGCAACUCUAGAUUCUUCCUGUUAUAUCUCAAGCCUCAGCUUCUCAAUUUCUGACUUCUUUUCCUCCAGAAGAAUUUUUAAGUUGUCCCGGUCUUGAACCAGUCCCUUUCCUUUCUUAACUGCCAUUGUUAACUUCUCCCUCACCAGACCAGCUUUCUCCUCUGAUCGUUCAAGAUCUUUUUGCAGAACAUCUUUCUCCUCCUUCAAUGAAAAAAGUUCCUGAGAAGUUACUCUGAACUGAUUUGACAGAUCAUUCAGUUGUGACCACACCAGCAUAUCUUCUUCUAGGAUUUCCUUACAAAGCAUCAACUCCAGAUCCCUAACAUACAAAAGACUUUGGUAUUUUUCAAACAGUUCUGCAUCCACAAAAGGAGUCUCCACAGAUGGACUUGUUUGUUCCUUUAGCUUCUCUAAGCACCUAUCUAUUAACACGGGUAGAUUAGAAGAAGUCUCUUCGAUCACUUCUUGAUCUCCCAUCACUUUUCCAGAACCCUCUACCAACAACCGAAACAUCUGAUCUUUCUCUGAUGAAAGUUGAUGGCCCUUCCCAACUAUAUUUUCAUAUUUAUUUGUGAGAUCAUCCAACUCCUUUUGGAUUUUAUCCUUCUCAGUUAGUUCUGCUGCAAGUGAAUCGCUUAAAUGAUCCUUGUCCAAUGAUAUCUGUUCUGCCUUUGCAACAAUUUCAUCGUUUUUAAUUCUGAGGUGAUCUAAUUCUUCCAUAAUGUAGUCCUUCUCUUGUUGUACAGCCGAACGUAAAGCACUCAAUUUAUCUAUCUCAUCACUUGCAGUUUCCUUUGUUCUGGACAUUUCAUUUUGCAACAUAUUUAUAUCAUCUUUAGCCCGGUAAAAAGAUUCCUUAAGCCAAGCCAAGCGAGAACCUAAAUCAGAAAAGGAGACGUUUUCUGGUAAAUCAAUUGCACAAAUGGAAUCUUUCAAUCUACAGAAGUCCAAGGAAGCACCCUUCAAUUCAUUUCUUUCAUUAGCAAGCCAUCUAGCUCUUCCAACAAUAUCCACUGAUUGGAGUUCCUCAGGUACAUCAAGAUGCGACAGGAUGUGUUCAAAUGUCUCAACAAUCAAGGUCUUUUGCGAGAGUAAUUCUUGCAAUGAUGCAACCAAGUUUUCACUUUUCACCAAUUCAACGUUGUGUGAUUCAGCAGCCUCUAGGGCACUAGUCUUCUCUUGCAAUUCAGCCAGACAUUUAUCAAGCUCACUUGCUUUAUCAGCCAGAGACUGCUUCAGAGCAUCCCGCUGCUGAACCAAUGACUUCCCUUUUGUCACGGCCAAAUUCAGCUUUUCUUUAGUAUUAGCACACUUCAUCUUUUCCUCUUCACACUCAGCCUUUGUUUUUCCAAGCUUCGAAUUCAGUGUAUUCACUGUCACUUUCUCAUUUUCAACUUGUUCAACAAAUUUCCUAUUUUCAUCUUCCAAAAGGCCUAUUUUUUCAACCAGCAGUGCUUCCUUCCUCCUCAACUCAAAUAACUCAUCACGGACCGCAACAAAUAGAGUCCCAAACUCCUGCACACCAAAAUCAUACUCAGCCUUUGUCAAACACUGCCUAAGUUGAUUAACUUCAAAAAGAAAUUGGUUAUACUUCUCGAUUAAUGCCAACAUGCUUUUCUCAACAAGGUCAACCUGUUCCCCACUGGAAUAACCCAUAACAUCUCCUUGAUUAACAACUGACGCAAGAGCAGCCAAAAUCCUCUCCAUCGUAACCUCAUACAGCCGGUUCUUCUCUGUAAAAACCUCCUUCCCAGCUUCAGCUACAGAACUUAUAUCCCUUGCAUUCAACCUUUCAAUCUCUUGAUCCUUCAUAUGAAUCUCCCUUGAGAGCACCUCCAUUUCUUCCUGCACACACAAAACCCUAAAUAACAUUUUGAAAACAUAAAAAUCAUUGAUCAAUAAUAUCUAGACAAAUCUACGAAACCUUGUAUUUGACCUCAAGUCUCUCUUUUUCGUCAACUGCCUGCUCCAGCAAAGCUCGCAGGUGCUCCAUUUCAUUGACGAAGUGAUUACUAUCAUUAUUAUCCGUUUCAUCAAACAGCCUAGCUACUGCAUUCCGUUUUCCCUCCGAAACGGCGACGUUUGGACUUACAGCGGGCAUUCCACCUUCCUUAUUAUCAUUAUUCAACUCAUCUGGAGCAUCCACAAACAGAUCUUCUCUGCUAUCAACAUGGGAAAGCUCUACCUAAAUUGAUUAAAAAAUUCGUAAUUAAAAAAUAAAUAUUACAUUAAAGUUUUUUCCUAUACAAUGACCAAAAAAAAUUAAAAACCUGAGAUUUCAAUUGAACCUGAUUAGUCGAAGAUUGAGGAUAAAUAGGUCGAUUAUCAACAGUUCCAGAAUUUUCCAAAUCGUGAAAUUCAGACAUUUUCUAUUUUCUCCUGAUCAUAUAAAUUUAUAAUAAUAAAUGAGUGUUCCUUCGUCAAGAAUCAAAUAUGAAAGAAAAAUCCAACGCCAAGGAUUGAAUAAAUAAAUACCUAGAAAUCAAGGUGUUAAUGGAUUAGACCAGGAUUUAAAUCAUAAGGUAGAUUGAUGCGCUGAUGAGAUUCGGAUUGAGCUUCGAUUCCAAGGAGAACUUUAUCAUAUAUCUCUUUUGUUUAUGAUAUUGUUUUGAUUCUUGGCCUUUCUCUGUCUAUUUUCAUUGGUGAAAACGUAUGACGACGAGGUUCGCUCCAAUUAUGCAAACGGCUAGUCUCGCCAUUGUCAAAGAUUAAAUUCCAAAAAAUAUCCGACCUCAAUUCGGUCAUAUUUUAAAAUAAAAAUACAUCUAACGGUAAUUUCAACUCCAAAAUCUUUACAACUCAUCCUACCCGUAUUUUACAUUUUUGGGUCUAAGCAAAAAUAAUAAAAUGAGAUUUUAAAUUCCUUAAAAAUUGAAAAAAAAAUUUAACUCCUUUAAAAGUUGGUAAAAAAAUAUUUUGGGCCCCUUAAAAUCAAAAAAAAAUUAUGGUCCCUUAACAACUGAAAAAUAAUAUUUUGGACUCUUUUAACUUUGGGCCCUGAAUGGCCGCACCUCCAAACGACCCUAGGAUCAGACCUAACAUCAAUUAAUAUAUUUUCUAAAAAAAUUAUAGGUAAAAAAACCCUUAAAAUUUUUUAAAAUAUAAAUUAAUUCCUCCAACUUAAUUCACUCCAAUUGAUCCAUUGUUGAAAUGGGUUCGAGUAUGUUGAAGUGCAUUAUCUUCUUAUUUAAAAUUUGAGAGGGACUAUAUAAAAAAAUAGAUAUGAUAAAAAGAUUAAUGUUAAAAAAAUUUAUUAUAAUCAAUUGACGGACUAAUCAAGUAGAGACACAUGACAUCCACCAAUUUAAUAUUUCAUUUUUCUAAUAAAAAAUCAUAAGAAAUUAUUAAUAUUGUAAAAUAUUAAAAAUUUAUAUAAACUUUCAUUUUUCUAAUAAAAAAUCAUAAGAAAUUAUUAAUAUUGUAAAAUAUUAAAAAUUUAUAUAAACUUUGCUUUAAAAUUUAUAUAAGCUUAUAAAAAUAUAAAACUUAUAAAAAAUUUAAUAUAUUAUAAAAAUUAAAAAAUUAAAAAACCAAACAUAUUAAAAUAUUUUAAAAAUUUAUAAAAACUUAUAAAUAUUUUAAAAAAUUAUAAGAAAUUCAAGUAAAUUAUAAAUAAUUUAUAAAAAAUAAAAAAAGUCACUUAUUACCUCCUUAUUUUAGAAAAUAAACCCCUGAAACCAUAAUGAACAUGUUACAUAAGACCAACCAUUAAAUAAUGUAAAUAGUCAUUAAAUCAUUGGGAUCAUUUUUAUACAAAAUCAAAUGUUUUCAAUCUUCCACAAAUAAAAUGACAAAUGUAGAUCCCUCUCCUUUUUAUUAAUAAUUGAUUAUUUUUAAUUUUUAAUUUUUAUUUCCAACUUUUAAGUACAAAACAGUAACUUGAACCUCGAAAAGUUGAAAUUUUUAUGUUAAGUAUUUUAUGCUAUAAAGUAUUUUUGGAAUGGUUAGAUACUAUAAAACCAAAAAAUUUCAUUAUCCAACUGUUAAUAAUAUUAGCAUAUGUUAGCAAAAAAUAUUUUGACGACUAUUCUCCUUAUCUAACGGUUAGUUAGAUGCCAUGUGUUCAUUCAAUUUAGGUGUUUAGUUUUCAAAAUAAGAAACCAAUAAGCAAUUAUUUUUUAUAAUUUAUACAUAUUAAUAUUUUAUAAAAAAAUUCAAAAAUUUUAUAACUUUUUAUAACUCAUUAUAAUUUUUUAUAAGUUUUUUAUGAUUUUUUUCUAAGUUUUAUAAUUUUUCAUAUUUUUAAUAUUUUUAUUAUAUUUUUUAGGAUUUCUAAUAAGUUUUUAUAAUGUUCCUAAUUUUUUAUGAUUUUUUAUAAGCUUUUAUAAAUUUUAUUUAUGUUUUUCUUAAAAAAUUAUAGGUUUAUAUAAAUUUAAUUUUUUUAAUAACUUUUUAAAUAAUUUAUCAUAAGUUUUUGUGUUUUUUUAUAAUUUUUAUAGCAUUUGUGAUUUUUUAUAAGUUUUUGUAUUUUUUAUAAUUUUGUAAAAAUAAUUUUUUUAUCAUUUUUAUAAAUUUUUAAUAUUUUAAUAUUUAUGAUUUUUAUAAAUUUUUAAUGAUUUUUCUUAGAAAAGUAAAUAAUUAAAUCAAGGGAUGUCCCGUGUUGCCUUUUGAUUGUUUAUUAGUUGAUUUUAACCGUCAACAUUGUAAAAGAUGGAAAUCGUUAUCAAAAGGACUUAAUUUAUUUUUUUGUUACUAACAAAGACUCAAUUGAGUGUGAAUGAAAUUGAGGAUCCUAAUUGAUUCUUUUUAUUUUUUUAUUAAGGACUUUUUAAACAUAUAACCCUUUAGAAAAUAAAACAAAUAUCUAAACUAGAAUUGAAAGAAAAAUGUUAAGAUUUUUACUUUUGUAAUUUUUAUAAUUUUUAUAAGUUUAUAUAAUUUUUAUAAUAUUUUAUAAAUUUUAUAAAUUUUUUAUAUUUAUAUUUUUAUAAUUUUUUUCAAUGAUAUUUCUAAAAAAAAAUGAAUGAUUAAAUCAAGGGUUGCCACAUGUUGCCUUUUGAUUGGUCCAUUAGCUAAUUUUAGCGAUCAACGUGGUCAAAGAUGAAAAUAGAUAAUGAAGGGCCUUAAUAUUUUUUUUUGUUAAUGAAAAAAGCUCAAUUGAAUGUGAAUUAAAUCGAGAGGCCUAAUUGACAUGUUCAUGGGCUAAGCUAUUUUGGCUUGGCAGUUUAUGAUAACUAAUUUGAUGAAUUCCUAAAACAAAUCUGACACUUUGGUCAAAUAUCAUAUGAUUCCUUUUAUGAGCUACUUUUUCGAGAUUGAGGAUAAUGGGGUCAAACUGGACCAGAACACACAAAGCAAGAUUUUGUUCAAAAGUUUGUUGAAUGAUUUUGCUAGCUUUAAGGCCGUAUGUAACCUCAGAGACAAGCAGUUGAUGUUUACACAACUAAUAAAGGAAUUCCAAUCCUAUGAGUUGGUGCUCAAUGGCGAUAAACCUGUCCGCAAAAGCAUAAGCUAACUUAGUAGUUUCCUCUUUCUCUAAAGGGAAGGGAAAAACAAACUAAGAGAAAUAAAGCUAAGUCCUCUAGGCCACAAAAAGAGGAUAAUAAGAGAACUAGGAAGCCUAAAGACUUAUCAAAGUCUAAGUGUUUCUUCUGCAGUAAGAAAAGACACUUCAAGGCCAAUUACAAAUUUACUACCCACAAAGGAUAAAGAUAUGAAACUCUUAAUGAUUGAAACUUGGUUAGUGGAAGAUUCAAUAGACCAUUGGGUCAUUGAUUCUGAAGCUACUAACCAUGUUUGUUUUUCUUUACAAGGGUUCAAGGAAAUGAAAGAUCUUAGAGCUUAAAACUUUUCGUUGCGAACCAAAGAUGAGACAAGAGUUGCGACUGAAGCAAUAAGAGAUGUAAAUUGUUAUUUUGAUAGUUUUAGGAAAAUUGUUUUUGUAAUAGUCCAUUUUUCAAUGCUAACGGAAAUAGUGGUUUUGAGACCACAAAUUUCGAUGAAUGAGUCCGUAGAUAUACUUAAUUAAUAUUUAUGAGUUAUGUAACACCCCUAACCCGUAUCCGUUACCAAAUUAGGGUUACAAGGCAUUACCGAACAAACAUAGUUCAGCACGGUCAUUUAUUAAAAAUGCAAGCACAAAAUAAUUUAAUCUUCUUUUCAAAAUUUUUUUUCGAACUCAAUUAAUAACCAACCUCUUACUCCUACAAGUCAAAUUCGUAUAUUAAACCAUAUCAACCCAUAACACACGACAUAUUAUUUAUUAGCAUAUAAGACAAUAGCUAACAUUACAACAUGGCCAAAUAUACUUUUGAUACUACUAAUUUAUGCACAAAUCUCCAGAAUAACAAUAGCUAUUUUUAAGCUCAAUUGUCGAACCAAACAUACCAAAUUGAGCUAAUUAUACUAUUUUGAGGCUAAUUAUACCAAAUUCAAUUUACGCCAAAAUUUCAUAAUCACAAACAAUUCAUUUCUCAUUUAUUCGGCUAGCAAAUUAGCCUCAAAAUUCAUACCAAUUCCACCAUUCAAUAUUAAGCUAAUUAUACUAUUUCAUAACCUAAUACAAACAUUAAUAUGUCACUCUAUAACUAUAUAUAUAACCAACAAAACAUACCUAAAACAUAAUCAUUAUUUACCAUUUAAAAUCAUACCUAAAUAACCAACCAAUCAAUCAUAGAACAUAUUCAUUCUUUGCCAUCAUAAACCACACCUAAAUAAACAAUACACAAUCAGUAUAAAUAUUCGUCAUAUAAUCUAUAGGAACAUACACCAUGAGUAAAAAAAACUACAUCCAAUAUCAUUUACCUCAUUACUCAAGUCGAAUUAUAUGACCAUCCACACAAGAUAUACCAUAUAACAUACUUCCAAAAUAAGCUAAUUACAUGACCGAUUUAUACAUCAUACUUAACAUUACUUUCAAGCCAUUUCGCAUGGCCAUAUAUAUACCAUUCAAAACAAAGCAUAUCGAAAAUAGCUUAUACAUCAUUUACAAGCCAACUCACAUGGCUAAUUUCAUAUCUCAAAACAUAUCCUAUUGACACUAGCCUAUACAUGCCAUAUACCAUAUAUACACAACUCAAAAUUACCAAGUAGAUGGUUGGAUAGUGUGACGUAGUCUCUGACGAUUCUCGAAUUCGAGCUAGCCUUGAAUUUACUAUAAAACACAGGAAAAACAAACAAGGUAAGUGUCGAAACCAUUUUUUUGAAAAUAAAAAAAAAAUUAGGUUGUCGACUUUUUAAAAAAAACAAAAAAUUGGGAGUCGCCACCAAUCUUUUAUUGAGGUGUGAUUGGAUCACCUAAAAAACGGCUUUGGUCUAUGAGUUUUAAAAAAUGGAUCCGGGAGUCAGUUACGUUCGAGGAAGGAUUAGCACCCUCGUAACGCCCAAAAUUGGUACCUAGUCAAUCAAUUAGUAUCUUAAGGUCGAGAAUUUGGAAAAUAUAAUCUUUAAAAAACUUAAAACGUUGCAUAUUAAGACCCUUUUCAAUUCAGAGAAGCAAAAAUGCCACACCCAAUACGUUAGGGCACAACAUUCUAAUUUCCCCCAAAAUGAAUUAGGUCAGAAUAAAACUAAAAGAACAUCCACUCAUCCAAGAUUUAAGAAAUCACACCCAAUACGUUAGGGCACGAUCCCUUUAGAAUCCUAAACUCGGAAUAUUUCCUUUACUUUAAAAGAACUUCCACUUAUCCAAGAUUUAAGAAAUCACACCCAAUACGUUAGGGCACAAUUCCUUUAGAAUCUCAAACUCGGAACAUUUCCUUCAUGAUUUUUUUUUUAAAAAAAUCCUCAUUUCGAGAAAUCAAUGCGUCACAUCCAAUACGUUAGGACACAACGUGUUGAAUUCCCAAUAAUGAGUUUAUUUUGAAUUAAAGAAUAUCCAUUUUGAAAGAGUUUGAUUUUUUUUUAAAAUUGAGUAAAACAUGUAAUGUUAAAUUGAACGUAUGCAUAAUUGUUACAAAACAAGUACCAUAAUAAAUACAUCAAUGGUGUAAUAACAUGAAUAGUAAACAAAUAAAAUUAAUGUAAAGGCAAAAAUAACUAAUGACAUAUAAAAUAUCACAUAAAUAUGCAAAAUAGAUAAAAACAAUAAUGUAAUAAAAAUAGCGAACGAAGAAAACAAACAGAAUAAAUAAAGAAUAGAAAGUUUAUAAUAUAUAUUGAAAUUAUAAGGAAUAAGAGGCAUAUACAUGAAUUUACAUGUAGAAUUCUAGAUUAUAAAGUUUAUAUAAAAUAUACAAUGUAUUUUAAAAAAUAUAUACAUAUAAAUUAUGUGUUUAAAAAAAUAAAUAGGUAUUUAGGCGUUUUUAGAAAUAAAAUAAAAUAUAUAUAUGCGUGUUUAUUGAUAUAAAAGAAUAUUUGUUUUUAAAAAACUAAAUAUAUACAUAUACGUAAAAAUAUAUAAAAAUAAUAAUAAUAGUUGUCAUAAAAAUAAAAAAUAUAUAUAUAAAAACAUUCGUUAAAAAUAUGUACAUAAAACAGUAAAUAUAUUGAAAAAAAAAUAUUAGAAAUACUGAUUUUAAGAAAAAAUAUGAAAAAAGGACUAAAUUGGUUAGCAAGUAAAAGAACAGGGGUGAAUCCGCAAAUAAAUAAAGUCUGGAGGACCAAAUUGAACGCAAGAAUUACAUAGAGGGGCUGGAAGGGCAAUUUUUCCUUCUCCUCUAAAACGGUGUCGUUCAAGAAGGGUUAAAUUGAAAUUAGAAUAAAUGACAGGGCGAAUUUAAAAAAAAUAAAAACUUAAUUGCAAUAGUAUUAAAAGGCGGAGGGGCUAAAAGUGCAAUUUUCCCCUCCGCGUAAAAACACACGGAUCCUGGGUCCAGGUCGGGUCGACGUACGGAUCCUCCCCCCAAAACGGCGCCAUUUUGAUUGGCCUAUUUAAGCCAAAUUUAAGUAAAAAAAAUUUCAUUUCAAAACAUUUCUAAAAAAAAAACAAAAACCCUUUUUUAAAAACUCUCUCAACCUUUCUGUCCUUAGGUGAUGGACCGAUCAUCGGACAAUCAUCGGCCGGUCAUCGGCCACCGUGCCGGCCGCCGAUCCCCAGCGCCGGCACCACCGUCUGCGGUGGCCGGAAAAAAAGUCCUCUUUUUAAUCCUCUCAACCCCCUUUACCCAAAUAUGGGCUUAAAACCUUCAAAAUAGAGGCAGAGACACCUCAAGAACUCGAGAAACCUUUCGGUUUCUGACCGUCUACCCUCGAAAACGGCUACCUCGGAGGCACACGGCGAUUUAAACGCAGGUGGUUUCUUUCCUUCCCUUAUCUAUUUACUUGUAUAUCUAUAAUAAUAAAAACAACAAUAAAUAAAAAAAACUACAAGUAACAACCUUUUGACUCGCUUGUUUCUCUGUUCUGUUGCAAAAAAAAUAAAGCUUUUUAUUGAUUUUCAGAAUCGGCCCGUUUACAGUAUUAUUAUGGCUUUUUAUAGCCGCAUGGAAAUACAAGAAAUAGAAAUGGGAAAUCUUCUUGAUUUGAUUUGGUUUGAUUUGAUUUUUGUUUCCCUUCUUGUGCUCGCAGGUAUAGAUCGUGAAGAUUCGGGGGUGAGGCAAAGCUCGACUGCGGCGCUGUUGAAAUUAGAAACCCUAGGGUUUCAUCCGUUUUGGGCCAUUGUAAUUUGGGCCACCACUUGUUUUUGGUUUGGGCCUUGUAGCUCGUUUUGUACUUGGACACUAUGACUGUUUUUUAUCUACAAAAGGGACGGGUGAAAUUUAGGUAUUACAGUAAGCUACAAAGCUUAGUAAGUUCAUACUAAAUAUACUCAACAAUUCAUAAAACACAAAUCAUCAAUUUGAAAAAAUUAGUGUAUAAUUCAUGAUAAUAUCAAGCCUUCCAUAAGCUUAUUCAUAUACUUGUAUGCAAAGUUUUAACCUUUUCUAUUUGAACUUCAUACUUACAUGUACAUACCUGUACAAAUUCAUAACGAAUUCAUACCUUAUCGUAACACUAUUGAAGACUCAAUGUUUCACACACUAAAUACCAUCGCAUAGCCGAAGCUAUUAUAAUCCCGCAUACUAAGUGCCUUACAUAGCCGAAGCUAUCUCAAUCUUGCACACUAAGUGCCAUAUAUAGCCGAAGCUAUUCCCAAUCGCACACUAAGUGCUAAACAUAGUCGAUUAAUCGUCAAACAUGACCGUAUUCUCGUGUAUACAAUUUAUGCAAUACCAAAGCAUUAAAAUCAUAAUUUUAACAAUGUUUAUCACGGACGAGCUUACCUGGGAUGCUAAAACGGUGACUCGAGUCGUUUAGUCGAUAACUUUAGUUUUCCCCCGAUCUAGGUCUGAAUUCUGCUUUUCUUGAUCUAUAUAAUAUUAAAUUCAGCUUAUUCAAUCACUAAUGUAAUCAAUUUAAUCAAAAACACACAUUUGGACAUGUUUACACUUUUGCCCCCAAAGUUUUACAUUUUUACAAUUUAGUCCCUAUUUCACAAAUACACAAAAUUCAUGAAAUUUAAUACCUUCCUAAGCUAGUCGAAUUUUCCUAGUGCACAUAUCAGCCCAUAUUUAUCAUUUAUUCACACAUUUAACCACACAUUUUUACAUUUUCACAAAUAAAUCCCUAUUUGACAUUUUUGUCAAAAAUCACUUAACAAAAUAUGAUAAUCUAUCAACAAAUAUCCAUUUUUCAUCAUCAAACAUUUAAAAGCUUAAACAUUCAUCAAUGACACUUCACAGAAACAUUGACAACUUCAAAAAUUAAGGCAUGGACUAGCUAGAAUACAAAGCAAGAAUCUUAAAAACGUAAAAAAAAUCAUCAAAAACUGAACUCAAAACACCUACCAAUUAAGAUCCCAAUUGAUCGAACCCUAAAAUGAACUAAAUGUUUUCUUCUUCCACCAUAUUCGGCCAAAGAAAGAUGAAAUGAAGCUUAGUUUUGGUUUUGUUUUAAUUUAAUUAAAUUUAAAUAACAAAUUACUUAAUUAACCUUAAUGAAAUAACAUUAAAUAUAUAUAAUGGUUGUCCAUAAAUGUCCACUUACACAAAUAAUGGUCUAAUAUCAGCAUAAGGACCUUUGGUUUAAUAAAUCAUAGCAAUUAAACACAUUUAACAUAUAGAAUGCCACUUUUGCAUUUUACGCGAUUAAGUCUUUUUUCUCAAAUUAAGCUAUUAAACGAUAAAAUUAAAUCACGAAACUUUCACACAUAUAUAAUCACAUGCUGUAAACACCAAAAAUAAUAUUAAAAUAAUUUUCUAACCUUGGAUUUGUGGUUCUGAAACCACUAUUCUGAUUUAGCUAAAACUGGGCUGUUACAAGUUAAAUAUAGUAUAUAGUGAAUCUUGAUUCAAUAGAUUUUAUUAAUUGGUCAGUUAGUCAAGCUACAAGCGGUGCGUACUGAAAGUCAAGUAAUUUUGGAAAAUAAGGUUUUGACCUUGUUUUUGUAAAUCAAGCUCGUGAAUAUUUUUAGAAAAUAUUUACGAAGCUGUUAUAUAGGUGAAUUAAAGUUUGGUCCAAAAAAUUUAGUGAUUGGAUGAUUAAUUAAGAAAAACAAACUAAAUUAUAAAAAUAGUAAAAGUUAAUUGGUAUUGAUUUUUAUCAGUUAAAAAGCUAAAUUAAUUAAUGUUAAGGGUUUUAAGUUGCAAAUUACCCUAUAAGUAUAUGGUCUAUUCCAAAUUUUAUAAUUCAAAAUUUAAUUAAAUUAAGUUAAAAUAAUAUAAUAAAUGUUAAAAACAUAAAACAAAAGAAACUAUCAUCAAAUUUGCUCACCACCACUGAAUUUUAAAAUCCAAAAAUGCCACUGAAGGAGCUUUGUAUAUAUAUUGUAUCUAAGGCCAAAAUUGAAUUCAUAUGUGAAUAUAUUAGUAGGCUAAGGCCAAAUAAGGUAAUGAAAUUGGGAUUAAAUAAUCAUAAUGAUACCUUCGACAAGAGCCUUGAAGAUAUACUACUAAAGUCAAUGACUAAAAUGUUAUAAAGGGGAAAGUUGAGCCUAAAGGAUUAGUAAUAUAAAAUGAAUCUGAUUAAAACCUUAACAUGUGAUAUGGUACUUAACACUUAUGUGUCUUUUGGUUGUAUGGGAUGGUUUUCGUGUAUCAGAGUCAUUUCCUUAGUCUCUACUAUGGGCUAAUUGAACAAAAAUCUUGAUAAUAACACGCGGUUAUGGCUAUAAAUUGACAAUGUGUUCUAACAAAAAGGUUGAACUAUGAGUUAUAAGUUAUAAAAUUAAGUUGAAAUUCAAGUUAUUUUGAUGUAAUUAUUCAAACUUUAUCCCAUUGCUUCAUGUUAAUGUAUUUUGUAUUUGUAUUUUGAGUUUAAAUGAGUUUUAAUAUUGAUAUUUAAUGUUUUGGGACAUAUGAAAAUGAUAUGGUUAUGCUUAGAUAUGAUUUUAAGUGUUUUUCAGUCAAAUUUUUAGCUAUAAGGGCCCAAGGUUCAAUACCCUUAUCAAAGGUUUUGCGCCCUAUUUGACAAAAUGAUUCCUAUAAUACCACAAGAAUCUAGGUUCAGACACCCAAUGCCUUAGUACAAAUACCUAGGGUCCUAAUAGUACUACUGCAAUGUUUUGUGGACAAUGAGCCUUCCAAGGUUCAUAUAUGAUCCCGGGCACUUCUGAACACCCAAAAAGCAUUCCUAAAUGGUUUUAAAAUUUUAAAGCCUACAAAAUGUGCCAUAUUGUUUCUAUGGUAUUAUUCAAAUUCCUUGAAGUUUUAAUUUACAGUAAAAUCUUACAGACCUCCAUCAGGAAGACCUCGAUUUAAGUCGAUAAACUUCAAACAUUUAUGUGUUAAACGGGUCCUAAAAUGUGUUUAAUGACCCAAAAUGAUUUCAAAUGUUAUUUUAUUCUUUCUUAAAUGUUGAGAAUUGUCUUAAAUAAAUUUUAUAUGGUUACCAAAUGGUGUUUUAUUUAGAAGAAAACUUUGAUUUAAUGUUUGAAAGUGCUCUAGUAGCAACUCCUAUUGGUGUUGUACGUCAGGACGAUUGAGGGGUGUUAUAUAUAUUUUAAUUUUAAUUAUAAAUUAUGCCACCUAAUACUCAAUGUGUCAUUUUACAAUUAAAUUAAAUAGUUUUAGUAAUGGAAGGACUUAAUUAAUAUAAAUUUGAUAGUUUAAUGUAAUUAAAUACUUUUAAAUUUGAAGACUAAUUUAGAACGAAGAUCAUAAGGAAUGUGGAGUGCAAUUAACUCUUUUAGAAAAAUAAUUUUUUAUACUAAAAAUAAUUAUUUGAUAAAUAAAGGCUAAUCACUUAGCGUCAAACAUUAAAAAAUGAGAAACAUUUAUGAUCAUUCAAAGGAAAAACCAAAAAUAAAGAUCGCUAAACCACAAACUCCUAUUAACACUUAGAAAUUUACGUUCUCCUAAAACCAAUGAGACUCCAUACAAGACCGCUUCCACAUAUACUAUCUUAAGAAGGAAAGAUAUGUAUAAAUCUCUGAAAACACACAAACUUAAACAAAAAAACAAAAACUAAAAAAAAGAAUAAAUAAUUAUCUCCAGUUGAUUUAUAUAAAAACAAAAUGAUGAUUUCCAAGCAUUUUUUUCAUGUUUUAUCUAUUGUUCUCUUCUUAUCAUUUUCAUUUCCAUAUGCACAUUUCACAGGGAUUGAUCAAGAUUCAACCAACCUUCACCCACUUCCAGUAAGCUUGGGUUCUAGUUCUUUUUCAAGUUCCGGCUCUUUUAAGCAUUCAAGUUCUUCCCAUGCCUCCCAGUCAUUUAAGAGUUCGCACUCUUUAAAGAGCUCUGAAAAUCAUGGUGAUGCUUCAGGUCAUGGCUCUUCCUCUAUGUCACAUUCAAGUUCAGCUUCUGGCUCAUCUUCACAUUCUAGUUCAUCUUCACAUUCUGGAUCUUUUAAGAGUUCAGGUUCAUUUAAAGGUUCUAGCUCUCCCGUAGAUUCUAAUAAUUCUAAAGAUUCCGGUUUAGGUCAUGGGGAUUCUAGUUCCUCUACAACUUCUAGUUCUUUAUCAGGUUCUAGCCAUUCUAAAUCUUCUAAAUCAUUGUCACAUUCUAGUUCAUCUUCACAUUCUGGUUCUUGGAAGGGUUCUAGCUCAUUCGAAGAUUCUAACAAUUCUAAGGAUUCUAGUUUAGGUCAUGGGGAUUCUAGAUCCUCUGGAACUUCUAGUUCUUUAUCAGGUUCUAGCCAUUCCAAAUCUUCCAGCUCAUUGUCACAUUCUAGUUCAUCUUCACAUUAUGGUUCUUGGAAGGGUUCUGGCUCAUUCGGAGAUUCUAACAAGUCUAAGGAUUCUAGUUCUGCUAUGGCUACUCACUCUUCAUUAGGUUCUGGAGAUAAUUUUAGCAAUUCUAAGGGUUCUGACUCAUCUGAAACUUCUAAGUCUGGCAACUCUAGUUCCUUAUCAGGUUCCAUCAAUUCAAUGGGUUCUAACUCUUCUAAGACUUUUAACUCUGCAUUAGGUUCUACUGCAUCUAACUCUUCCAAAAGCUCAAGUUCUAACAAUUCUAAAGAUUCUAGUUCUGCUACAGCUUCUGGUUCUUCUUCAAGUUUAGGUUCUAGCAACUCUAAGGCUUCUGGCUUAUCAGCACAUUCAAGUUUUGAAAAACAUGGUAGUGCUACGGGUCAUGGCUCUUCCUCUUUAUCGCAUUCAGUUUCAGCUUCAGGCUCAUCUUCACAUUCAGGUUCAUAUUCACAUUCUAGUUCUUCUUCACAUUCAAGUUCUUUUAAGCAUUCAAAUUCUGGUUCUUCUAGCUCUUCUACAAACUCGGGUUCCAACAAUUCUAAGGAUUCUAGUUCUGAUGCGGCUUCUCACUCUUCGUUGAGUCAAGGGGCUUCUAAUACAGUUUCUAGUUCAUCAUCACAUUCCAAUUCUCUAAAUCAUGGUGGUUCCACGAGUCAUGGUUCUUCCUCUUUAUCACAUUCAAGUUCAACUUCUGGAUCAUCCUCAAAAUCUAGUUUAUCUUCAGAUUCCGGUUCUAGUGCUACUAACUCAUCCACAAACUCGGGUUCCAACAAUUCUAAGGAUUCUGAUUCUACUACAACUUCUCAGUCUUCAUUAAAUCAUAAGGCUUCUAAUUCCUCUGCAAGUUCUAGUUCUUUAUCAGGUUCUAGCAAUUAUAAGGUUUCAGGCUUAUCCGCAAAUUCCAGUUCAUCUUCACAUUCUGGUUCUAGUGCUGCUAACUCAUCCAUAAACUCAGGUUCUAACCAUUCUAAGGAUUCUGAUUCUACAACGGCUUCUCAGUCUUCAUUAAAUCAUGGGGCUUCUAGUUCCUCCACAAGUUCUGAUUCUUUAUCAGGUUCUAAUAGUUCUAAGGCUUUUGGCUCAUCUUCAGACUCCAGUUCUUUUAAGCAUUCUGGUUCUGGUGCUUCUAACUCUUCCACAAACAUAGGUUCCAACAAUUCUAAUGAUUCUGUUUCUACUGCGGCUUCUCAGUCUACAUUAAAUCAUGGGGCUUCUAAUUCCUCUUCAAGUUCUGGUUCUUUAUCAGGUUCUAGCAAUUAUAAGGCUUAUGGGUCAUCCUCAAAUUCUAUUUCAUCUUCGCAUUCUGGUUCUUUUAAUCAUUUUGGUUCUAUUGCUGGUAACUCCUCCACAAACUCAGGUUCCAACAGUUCUAAGGGUUCUGAUUCUACUACGGCUUCUCAGUCUUCAUUAAACCAUAAGGCUUCUAAUUCCUCUGCAAGUUCUGGUUCUUUAUCAGGUUCUAGAAAUUAUAAGGCUUCAGGCUCAUCCUCAAAUUCUAGUUUAUCUUCACAUUCUGGUUCUUUUAAGCAUUCUGGUUCUAGUGCUGCUAACUCAUCCACAAAUUCUGGUUUGAACAAUUCUAAGGAUUCUAGUCCUACUACGGCUUCUAAGUCUUCAUUAGAACAUGAGGCUUCUGGUUCCUCUACAAGUUCUGCUUCUUUGUCAGGUUCUAGUAAUUCUAAGGCUUCUGGCUUUUCAUCACAUUCCAAUUCUAUAAAUCAUGGUGGUGCUACAGGUCACAGCUCCUUCUCUUUGUCACAUUCAAGUUCAGCUUCACAUUCUAGUUCAUAUUCACAUUCUGGUUCCUUUGAGCAUUCGGGUUCUUUUAAGGGUUCUGGCUCUUCCGUGGAUUCUAGCAAUUCUAAGGAUUCUGGUUCUGGUGCGACUCACUCUUCAUCAAGUUCUGGGGCUUCUGGUUCUUCUACAAGUUCCAGUUCUUUAUCAGGUUCAAGCAAUUCUAAGAGUUCUAGCUUUUCUAAAAUUUCUAAAUCUACGUUAAAUGUUUGUGCUUCUAACUAUUCUAGAAACUUUGAUUCUUUAUCAGGUUUGAAUAAAUCGACAAAUUCUAAGACUUCAGACUCUUCUUUAAGUCAUGAUGCUUCAGGUAUGUCCCUACGUUCAAAUACUUAACAUGGUUAUAAACAUUCUAAGGAUUCCAAUAGUUUGAAUUGUACAUUGGGUUUUGGUGCUUUAGGCUCUUCCACAAGUUUAGGUUCUAACAAUUCCAAGGAUUCAAAAUCUUCAUCAAAUUCUGGUACUUCUAGCUCUUCUGCAGACUCCAAUUCUUUAUCAGGUUUUAACAAUUCUAAGGGGUCUGGAUCUUUUCAAACUUCAAACUCUUCAUCAAAUCUUAGUGCAUCGGGUUCCUCCACAGGGUCGAAUUCUUUAUCAAAUUCUAACAAUUCUAAAGGUUUUGAUUCUUCUAAGAAUUCAAACUCUUUGUUUAGUUCUAAUGCUUCUGGUUCUUACAGAGGGUCGGCUUCUUUGACAGGUUCUAACAAUUCUAAGAGUUCCAAAACUUCUAGCUCUUCAUCCGACCUUGAUGCUUCUAGCUCUUCCAAAGGAUUCGGUUCUGACAAUUCUCAAAGUUCUGACUCUUCUCAAACUUCACAAUCUGGUUCUUCCGGCUCUACCACAGGUUCAAGAUCUUUAUCAAGAUUUAACAAUUUUAAAGUCUUUGGUUCUUCUAAUAUUUUCAAACUCUUCAUCUAAUUCUAAUGCUUCCGACUCUUUUCUAGGAUUAGGGUCAUUUUCAAGUUCAAACAAUUCUAAGAGUUCUGACUCUUCUAAGACUUCAAACUCGUCAUCUAGUUAUGAUGCUCAUGGUUCUGGGUCUGGUUCUGUCUCAAGUUCCAACAAUUCUAAAGGUUUUGGAUCUUCAAAAACUUCAGGCUCCUCGUCAGGUUCUAUUAUUUCUAACUAUUUUAACACGUUUGGCUCUUAUAAGAUUUAGUGAUUCUAAAGCUUUUAACCUUUAAAUGAAUUUUUACUUUAUUUUUAUUAUUAGGUUCUAACCGAUAUAAGUCUUCAAUGAGUGACUCUUCAGGUUGGGGUUCUUAAUCUAUUUCCAUUAUUUCAUCUAGUUAAGAUGCUUUUAUAUAUUUUAUAAUCAAAUUCUAGUAAUUUUAUGGUUUUUCACAUUUCUACCUCAGUUUGUGGUAAUUCCAAGUCUUCUAGAACUAAAAAUACGAGUGCUUGCACAGGCACUAGUUCUUCUGUGACUAAUGGUUCUACUACUUCAACUCCUCCUCCUAGCCCUCCGAAAGGUGAUGGAUAUUCUAAAGCAUCAAGCUCCUCAUCAGGUUCAACUAUUUUUGGUUAUUUUAUGAUGUUGGGUUUUUUAUAAGGUUAUAAUGAUUUUAAAGUUUUUAACAUUUAUAUGAAUUUUGACUUUUUAAUAGGUUCUGAAGGAUAUAAGUCUUCUACGAGUGACUCUUCAGGUCUGGAUUCCCUAUCAUUUUCUAUUAUUUCAUCCAUUUGACAUGCUUAUACAUACUUUAUAAUCAAGUUCUAGAAAUUUUAUGGGUCGUGACUUAUCUAUCUAUUCUUUAUCAGUUUCUGGUAUUUCUAAGGCUUCAAGUACUAAAAAUGAAAGUGCUUCCAUGGGUACCAAUGCUUCAGCGACUAACGGUCCUACGACUUUUAUUCCUACUAGCCCUUCCACAGGUGCUGGACCUACUAAAACUUCAAGAUCGUCAUCUAGUUCAACUAUUUAUGGUUAUUUUAUGAUGUUGAGUUCUUAAUAAUAUUAUAAUGAUUCUAAGGUUUUUAACCAUUAUAUGGAUGUUGACUUUUUAUUAGGUUCUGACGGAUCUAAGUCUUCUACAAGUAACCCUUCAGGUUCAAAUUUUCUAUCUUUUUCGUAUUAUUUUAUCUAUUUAACAUGCUUUUACAUAUUUUAUAAUAAUUUUGUGGGUUUUGACUUGUCUACUUGUUGUUUUUCACAUUCUUGUAAUUCUAAAGCAACUAGUACUAAAAAUUCGGGUGCUUCCACAGGCACUAGUACUUCAGUGACAAAUGGUCCUACAGCUUCUACUCCUUCUUCGAGCCCUUCCACAGGCGUUAGUUCUUUCACAACUAAUAGCCAUAAGGGAUCUGGUCAUACAAGUUCAAGCAAUUUUGCUCACUCUGGUUCGUUUACAGCUUCUGGUCACUCUUCCGCAAGUCAUAGUUAUGGUUUUAAAGCUUCAGGCUCCUCAUCAGGUUCAGCCAUUUUUUGUUAUUUUAUGAUUUUGGGUUUUUAUAAGGUUUUAAUGAUGUUAAAGUUUUUAGCAUUUAUAUGAAUUUUGACUUUUUAUUAGGUUCUGAAGGAUAUAAGUCCUCUACGAGUGAUUCUCCAGGUUUGGAUUCCCUAUCAUUUUCUAUUAUUUCAUCCAUUUGACAUGCUUAUACAUACUUUAUAAUCAAGUUCUGGAAAUUUUUGGGUCUUGACAUAGAUAUCUAUUCUUUAUCAGUGUCUGGUAAUUCUAAGGCUUCAAGUACUAAAAAUGAAAGUGCUUCCAUGGGUACCGAUGCUUCAGCGACUAAUGGUUCUACGACUUUUAUUCCUACGAGCCCUUCCACAGGUGCUGGACCUGCUAAAACUUCAAGAUCGUCAACUAGUUCAACUAUUUAUGGUUAUUUUAUGAUGUUGAGUUCUGAAUAAUGUUAUAAUGAUUCUAAGGUUUUUAACCAUUAUAUGAAUGUUGAAUUUUAUUAGGUUCUGACGGAUCUAAGUCUUCUACAAGUAACCCUUCAGGUUCAAAUCUUCUAUCUUUUUUGUAUUAUUUUAUCUAUUUAACAUGCUUGUACAUAUUUUAUAAUAAUUUUGUGGGUUUUGACUUGUCUACUUGUUGUUUUUCACAUUCUUGUAAUUCUAAAGCAACUAGUACUAAAAAUACGGGUGCUUCCACAGGCACUAGUACUUCAGUGACAAAUGGUCCUACAGCUUCUACUCCUUCUUCGAGCCCUUCCACAGGCGUUAAUUCUUUCACAACUAAUAACCAUAAGGGAUCUGGUCAUACAAGUUCAAGCAAUUUUGCUCACUCUGGUUCGUUUACAGCUUCUGGUCACUCUUCCGCAAGUCAUAGUUAUGGUUUUAAAGCUUCAGGCUCUUCAUCAGGUUCAACAAUUUUUUGUUAUUUUAUGAUUUUGGGUUUUUAUAAGGUUAUAAUGAUUUUAAAGUUUUUAACAUUUAUAUGAAAUUUGACUUUUUAUUAGGUUCUGAAGGAUAUAAGUCUUCUACGAGUGAUUCUUCAGGUUUGGAUUCUCUAUCAUUUUCUAUUAUUUCAUCCAUUUGACAUGCUGAUACAUACUUUAUAAUCAAGUUCUGGAAAAUUUUUGGGUCUUGACAUAGCUAUCU